UUGUUGUAGGUAAUGUACAACAGGUGAAGACUUGUGGUAUUUGUUACAAUAUGGGUCAUUCAACUGAUAUGUGUCCUACACUUCAAGAAGAACCCGUUGAACAAGCCAAUGCAGUUGGAGGAUUUCCAGGCAUGCCUCAGAGGAGGUAUGAUCCUUAUGCACAAACAUACAAUCCGGGAUGGAAGGAUCAUCCCAACUUCAGCUAUGGAGUUAGGCCGUCAAGAUUCCCACAACAGUAUCCACCAAGACAACCAACACCUCCACAGUCAAACUCCAAGUCAGGUAUAUCUCUUGAAGAAAUUGUUAAAUCACUUGCGACUAACACUCAACAAUUUCAGCAGGCAACUACAGCAAGCAUUCAGAACUUGGAAAACCAAGUGAGUCAAUUGGCAACUACGAUGAGCCGUCUAGAGUCUCAAGUAUCUGGGAAAUUGCCUUCACAAACUGAGGUGAAUCCAAAGCAAAACGCCAGUGCCGUCAUCCUUAGAAGUGGGAAGGAGUUGCAAGAGCCUAGUAAGAAAGUGACAGAGCAUGUAGAAGAUGAGCUUGAAAAGAAUGAAUUGAUGCCUAAAUCUCAGGAUGCGCAACCCACCAGAGCGAAACCCCUACCUAUUGUGAUACCUCCUCCUUUUCCAAGCAGGUUUGCAAAAUCCAAGAAGGAGGAACAAGAGAAAGACAUCCUUGAGACAUUUCGCAAGGUUGAGGUAAAUAUUCCCUUAUUAGAUGCUAUAAAACAAAUACCUCGAUAUGCUAAAUUUCUUAAGGAACUGUGCACCUCCAAGAGAAAAUUAAGAGGAGAUGAAAGAGUUCAUAUGGGGGAGAAUGUUUCAGCAGUUCUCCAAAAGAAAUUACCUCCCAAGUGCAAGGAUCCAGGUAUGUUUACUAUCCCUUGCAAAAUUGGUAGUGUUAGAGUUGAGAAGGCUAUGUUAGAUCUAGGAGCUUCUAUUAAUGUCAUGCCUCGUUCUAUUUAUUCGUCUUUGAAUAUUGGUGCAUUAAAAGAAACUGACGUGAUAAUUCAACUAGCUGAUAGGUCUAAUGCAUAUCCUGAUGGGGUAUUAGAAGAUGUCUUAGUACAAGUUAAUGAGUUGGUUUUUCCUUCUGAUUUUUAUGUACUUGAUAUGGAAGAUGAUAACUCCUCUAAUUCUAUCCCAAUUUUGCUAGGAAGACCUUUUCUUAAGACUGCUAGAACUAAAAUGGAUGUACAUAAAGGGACUCUUACUAUGGAGUUUGAUGGAGAGGUUAUAGAGUUCAAUAUGUAUGAUGCCAUGAAAUAUCUCAGUGAGGAACAUUCGGUAUUUUCUAUGGAUGUUAUUAACCCUAUAGUGCAGGAAGUUUUUUAUUUGGAUGUUGAAGAUUCAUUAGUAGCUGCUUUAAAUAACAGUUUGGGCCUCAAAGGAUUGCAAAAGGAUGAAAAUGAGUUUGUUUUAAAUUCUGUAUUGCAAGAGACAAUUUAUGAAUUAAAUUCUUUGAGAACUUUAACUCAUUAUAUGUCUAAUAAUGAAUUACCUUCAUCUAAUGCAAAACUUCUUCCAUCUAUUUUGCAGGCACCAAAAAUAGAGCUUAAACCAUUGCCUAGUCAUCUAAAGUACAUGUUUUUAAGAGAUGAUGAGACACUUCCGGUGAUCAUCUCUUCAAAGCUUAGUACUUUAGAGGAAGAGAAACUUAUUAGAGUGCUACGAGAUUACAAAAAGGCUAUUGGGUGGACAAUUGCAGAUAUUAAAGGGAUAAGUCCGUCCACGUGCAUGCAUAGAAUACUGCUGGAGGAAGAUGCCAAACCUUCAAUUCAAGCUCAACGCUGUUUGAAUCCACUCAUGAUGGAAGUAGUGAAGAAAGAAAUUCUAAAACUUCUUGAUGCAGGUAUAAUCUAUCCAAUUUCGAAUAGCAAAUGGGUAAGUCCGGUACAAGUGGUACCAAAGAAAACUGGUAUAACAAUUGUUGAGAAUUCUUAUGGUGAGUUAGUUCCUACCCGAGUUCAGAAUGGGUGGAGGGUUUGUAUUGAUUUUAGAAAGCUUAAUUCACUCACUAGGAAGGAUCAUUUUCCUAUUCCUUUUAUUGAUCAGAUGCUUGAAAGGUUGGCAGGAAAAUCUCACUUUUGUUGUCUUGAUGGCUAUUCAGGUUUUCAUCAGAUACCAGUUGCGCCUGAGGAUCAGGAGAAGACUACCUUCACAUGUCCUUUUGGAACCUUUGCAUACCGACGUAUGCCAUUUGGUCUUUGUAACGCUCCCGCCACUUUUCAGAGGUGCAUGGUUAGUAUUUUUUCAGACUAUGUAGAAAACACUAUAGAGGUAUUUAUGGACGAUUUUACAGUCUAUGCUGAUUCUUUCGAUGAUUGUCUCUAUAAUCUGAAGAAAGUGCUUGAAAGAUGCAUUGAAACAAACCUUGUCUUGAAUUAUGAAAAAUGUCAUUUUAUGGUAGAUCAAGGCAUUAUUUUGGGUCAUGUAGUCUCUGCUAGAGGAAUUGAGGUAGAUAAAGCUAAAAUAGAUGUUAUUAAAUCUUUACCUUAUCUCACAUGUGUGCGGAAAGUUCGUUCUUUCCUUGGUCAUGCAGGUUUCUAUAGACGAUUUAUCAAGGAUUUUUCGAAGAUAGCUCAGCCUUUAUGCAAGCUUCUUCAGAAAGAUGUGACGUUUGAUUUUAAUAAAGCAUGCAAGGUAGCAUUUGAUAAACUUAAGGAGUUGUUGACUUCAGCUCCAAUUAUACAGCCACCAGACUGGAGCCUCCCUUUUGAGAUAAUGUGCGACGCCAGUAAUUAUGCUGUUGGUGCUGUUCUCGGACAAAGGGUUGGAAGAGCUGCUCAUGUGAUAUAUUACGCAUCAAGAACACUUGAUAGUGCUCGGUGCAAUUACUCAACAACAGAAAAAGAACUUUUAGCUAUUGUUUUUGCUUUAGAAAAAUUCCGUUCAUAUUUAUUGGGUACUAAAGUGAUUGUUUUUUCUGACCAUGCAGCUCUCAGAUAUUUGCUCGCCAAGAAGGAAGCAAAACCGAGACUUAUUCGCUGGAUCCUAUUGCUUCAAGAAUUCAACUUGGAGAUCCGUGACAAGAAAGGAACAGAAAACUUAGUUGCAGACCACCUUAGUAGAUUGACCACGAGUGAAGAAGCAGCACCUUCGAAAGAUGAUUUUCCAGAUGAGCAUCUCUUUAUAACUCAAGGUAUGGUUCCUUGGUACGCUGACAUUGUCAAUUACUUAGUUACAAGAAUACUACCUAGUGAUCUGACGAGGGCUCAAAAGGAUAAAAUUAAGAGCGAUGCUAAAUACUAUGUUUGGGAUGACCCUUACUUGUGGAAACAUUGCUCUGACCAAGUCAUCAGAAGGUGCGUAUCUGAGUUUGAAAUUCCUUCUAUUCUUCAAUUUUGUCACUCAUAUGCAUGUGGUGGUCAUUUUGGUCCCAAAAGGACAGCAUCCAAGGUGUUAGAAUGUGGUUUAUUUUGGCCUACUUUAUUUCGUGAUUCAUAUAUGUUUUGUAAGUCGUGUGAGAGUUGUCAAAAGACUGGUAAUUUAAGUCAUAGAAAUCAAAUGCCACUUACCCCUAUUCUUGUAUAUGAAAUAUUCGAUGUGUGGGGCAUUGAUUUUAUGGGACCUUUUCCCUCAUCUUUUGGCAAUUCUUACAUUCUUUUAGCAGUGGAUUACGUUUCUAAGUGGGUAGAGGCUAAGGCCACCCGGACUGACAAUGCUAAAGUUGUUGUAGAUUUUGUCAAGUCUAAUAUUUUUGCUAGGUUUGGUGUACCGAGAGCGAUGAUAAGUGAUAGAGGCACUCAUUUCUGUAAUCGAGUGGUGGAAGCUCUGUUCAAAAGAUAUCAUGUUACCCACCGAGUGUCUACCGCCUAUCAUCCACAGACAAGUGGACAAGCUGAGAUAUCAAACAGAGAAAUCAAGUCUAUUCUUGAAAAGACAGUUAGUCCAAAUCGAAAGGAUUGGAGUUUGCGAUUAGAUGAUGCAUUAUGGGCGUAUCGCACCGCUUACAAAACUCCCAUAGGUAUGUCUCCUUAUCGUUUAGUAUUUGGUAAGCCUUGUCAUUUACCUGUAGAACUUGAGCACAGAGCAUACUGGGCAGUUAAGCAAUGCAAUAUGCGGAUGGAUGAAGCGGGAAAGCAGAGGAAGUUGCAGCUGCAAGAGUUGGAGGAGAUUAGAAAUGAAUCCUACGAGAGUUCGCGAUUUUACAAGGAAAAGACGAAGACAUUUCAUGACAGAAUGAUUUUGAGAAAGGAGUUCUCUGUUGGUCAAAAAGUUCUUCUCUUUCACUCUAAACUUAAACUUUUUCCUGGUAAAUUACGUUCUCGUUGGGUAGGACCUUUUAUUGUUACUAAUAUUUUUCCUCAUGGUGCAAUUGAGAUUCGGAGUCCAAUCUCGAAUAAAGCCUUUAAGGUUAAUGGUCAUCGUUUAAAACCUUUUUACGAAGGUUUUUCGGUGAAUAUUGUGGAGGAAUUGGCUCUCGAGAAUCCUAUUUAUGGAGAUUGAUACAUAAAUGUGUCUAGCCAAAGACAUAAAACAAAGGCGCUUUUUGGGAGGCAACCCAAAUGAUUUGUUUAUUUUGGUUUUUGUUUUAUCUUCUUUAAAAAAAAAAAAAAAAAAAACCAAAAAUCGAAAAUCACUGUUUACAAAUCCCUAAUUCAAAAAUUACUGUUGAUUAUCGUUUUACAGCAGCAUCAGCUCCAGCCUUCACCGCGCAACCAGCAGCAGCAGACGAGUACGCCCAGAACCAGCAGCAAGCUCCAACAUCCCCAGCCCGCGCGCGCAGCGCGAAUCAGCCCCAACCGCCGCGCACAGCAUCGCGUACCCCAACCAGCAGUAGCGCGAAUCAGCCUCAGCGCAGCAUAUCAGUCCCGCGCGCGUAGCGCAACAGAUCCGCAACGCAGACCCGCAACGCGAACUGGCUCUCGCGCGCAACAGCCCCGCGCGCGCAACACAACAACGAACCAGCACCCGCAAAGCAAGCCUCAGCAGCGCGCACAACCAGCCCCAACUCGCGCAACAAGCUCCAGCCGAGCAGCAAGCGCAACACAACCAGCCUACGCCCUGUAUUCCAGCCGGGUAAAUCGAAAUCCGUGAGUGCAAUUAUUGUAACAAUGCCGAAGAGGAAAGCAUCUACUUCCAAGUCGUCGAAAAAGACACCCGUCGCAAAGAAAUCUAAGAUUGCCGCUCCCACUACGGUUCCAUGGAACAUAAUUUCAGAUUCACGCCAAGCCGUGAGACAAAGAUCGAAGCAUGGAAAAGGCAUGAGUGUUUUGCCACUUGCGGAAUCCAAUCUCGGAGGGUGCCUCGCAUUCGCGACUCAACAAGAGAAAGAGAGGUACAAAGAUAUUUCCACGCGCAAAAUACUUCCAGCUAAGUAUAUUCAUUACCCGACUCUUGAAAAAUUAAAUGUUAAAGAUAAUUUUGAUUCUUUGAUAGAUAAGAUUGGGUUGCGUAAGUUUGUUGAUGUUGAUUGCUUGGGUUAUGUUGAGUUGAUUAGGGAGUUUUAUGCUACUUUUCAAUUCACUAUGCCGAAUGAUUUUACUUUGCAUACCCCGGAUGUCAUUAAGUUUAGGUUAAUGGGACGAAAUUUUUCACACUCUAUCACGGAUUUUAACCUAGCUUUAGGAUUCAUUGAUGAUGAUUAUUCUACUAGUGAUGAAUAUUUAGGAACAACUUGUGACUUUAGCGAAAAUUUUGAGCCUUAUGGUCUUUGGCGUAAUUUAUCUGUUGAUCACAAUGCCUAUGACCCGAGUAAAUCAAAGAGUUCUUUCUUACGUGAUCCUGUUUUGAAAUGUGUGCAUCGAUUCUUAGCAUAUAAUUUUUUAGGCAAGAAAGAUCACUCAGGAAUUUUCUCUAAAACUGAAUUUUAUUUUAUCUGGUGCAUGUUAAAUGAUGUGAGGCCUAAUUUAGGUUUUUGGUUAGCGGAUCAAUUUCAAAGUGUGCUUAAACGGUAUAGGACUUUAUUUCUUGGUCCAUACAUUACUCUGUUAGCUAUAAACCUAUGUGUGCUUGAUCCUGACAAUAAUGAUUUGCAUCCUGCUUGCAAAAAGGAAUUUUUGGAUAUGUCUGUGUUUGAAAGAACAGGUGUGGUCGAAUUCAAGGAGGGGAGAUUUCAGUUUACUGAACCAGGACCCACUCAACUUCCGAAGAAGCUUUAUGCUAGGAGUGGUGCUACCUCUGAUGACGAGUUUGACGACGACACUGUUGCCCCGCCAACUAUUCCUUCUACAUCCGCACCACCUUUGAGCAUUCAGUUAGAGAAAAUGGAGCACAAGUUGAACAAAAUGGAGCAGAAUUUGGCCGCAUACUUCGAGAGUGUGGGAUUUACCCCACCAUUUCCGCCAAGCCCAUAGACGUUAUGUGGAUCAAAGCUCACAAUUCAGGGAAGUUUCUUUUUGCCCUUAAACUUUUAUCCUUAUGCUUUAAUUUUUAUGUGAGCUUUGAUUAUCUUACAUUGGGGACAAUGUAAGUUCUUGGUGUGGGGGAGGGAUUUUUGCAUUAUUGAUGUCUGGAAUUAUUGUUUUCACUCUACUUAUCUUUUUUUUUUUCUUCACUCUACUCAUCCUUAAAUGAUUUUGGAGUUAGUAUGCUUUAUAUAUUAUUAUUUUUUCUUUUCUUUUAUUUCUCACUACUUUUUUUUUCCCAUCUAUCUCAAAUUAUUUACAUCUAUUUUUAUUCUAUCAUACUCUUUCAUCACUCACAUUUUAUCUUUCACUUUUCAUCUUUCUCACUUCUUAUCAUUUUUACCUUUCCUUUUAUAUAUCACUCAUACCUUCUUCUCAUUCUACACCACUAUUGAUGGUUGAUUCAUUUGAAGAGUGUACAUGAUUUGAUGGCAAAUUUACCAACUUUGUGAGGAUUUGAGCCUAUGAGCAACCACUUUGCUCUAAUUAUUUUUGUUAUGUGAAUAUCAAUCCUAGUUUGUUUAUUCUAGAACUUGCUUUGUUAUGCAUGUUGAAGCCACAUUACGGGAUUUUAGGCAUUAAAAUGAUAAGGGCAAACCAUUUACCAUUUUUCUAUUCUCGCAUUUUCAUUUUUCUUUACCCGAAGACCUUAAUUUGCUACCUUUGUUUGAGCCUUAACCAUUACCCAUCUAAUUCUCUCCGUCUACUUAACCAUUUUUCUUCUUUUUGAGCCUCAAUUUAAGGAGAUUUUUGGACUCAUUAUAUGGAUAUAUUUUGUUGCUUUUUCUACCUUGUAUUAAAGUUUCUCAAUUAGAUCAACAAGCAUUAUGCUUGAAUUCAAUUGUGCAAGGUUCGUUUCUUUUGUUUGAUUCGAAAAAAAAAAAAAACAAAAAAAAAAAUGAAAAAAAAAAAGAAAAAAAAAGAAAAAAAAAAGAAAAAAAAAAGAAAAAGAAAAAUCGAAAAAAAAAAUCGAAAAAAAAAAAUGUUUACAUUCUUGGUGACUUGAGUAGAAAUAAGCAUUUUGAUAUCAUAAGUUCAUUCAAUGAGUUCAUUCUUCUCAUUUUGAUCUCUUUUUCUUUCGUAAACCUUUCUUUUUCAUUUAACCCAUUUAACCCCAUUACAACCCUUUUAAGACCCUUAGAUUUUUGCAUUUUAUUCAUGUUUUGUGGAUUGAGAUGUGAUUUAUGAGCAAGCUUAUGAUAAUAGCAUUCUUUGAUUUGAUUUGAGUGGAUAAAUGACACCCUAAACACUUUGAGUGCAUGGAGUGAAGUUAUUGAGAGGGCUAUUACAUCUUGUUGCACUUGAAUUUUGAAUGGAUAUUCUUGGUGGUUGAAUGUUCUUAUUCUAUCUUAUGAGAUUCUAUGCUUUAAAAUCCUUGUCUCUUGAAUGUUGAUCGACUUAAUUUCUUGAGGUAUGCUUGCUUAAAAUUAUUUUUGGAUGAGUUGAGAUGAGAAUUGAGUGGAGAUUUAGGAUUAAUCUUGAGUUAUAUGCUUGAGGACAAGCAUCAUCUUGGUGUGGGGGAAUUUGUUAGAGUGCAAUUUAUGCACUAGUUUUGCAUUAUUUACUUCCCUUAAUAUCGAUGUUUUGCAUUUAAUAAUAAUGUUUUACUUGUGUUUUACUUUUGUAGGUGCAAUUAUAUUGAUUGAUGAUAAAAUUGAGCUAAAAGAUGAUGUUUAAGAAGGAUUGUUCUCUUGGAGAAAUUUCUGAGUGUCAGAAGAACUUUGUUGAUAAGGCGUGGGCGCGUGCUGUCAACUGCGGACCUGCAGUUUUUAGUUUAACGUGUUUUGUAUUUUUGGUUAUUUUUGUAAUUACGAAUUUAAUAUUUCAGAUAUUAGUAUUUUAUUUUAAAUAGAAUUCUAAAAGAGAAGAGAGAGAGAGUAUUUAAGGGAGGAAUCUAUUGUGAAAAAGGGGGGAUUUUUGGAUUGGAGAAAAAGAAACCCUAGAUCUAAUUUUUCUCUUCUCUCUAUGAGGAACUAAACCCAUUUUUCUGGUUGAAGGAUAAUGAAGCUUUGAUUCAUCACUACUGUGAGAUCUUUCUUGUGCUUUAAUUGUUUUAUUGCUUUUUGGGUAUUUGUUUAUUCUCUGAAUUAGUUUCAUGAUUAUGUUUGUUAAUUAGGUAAUUGGCCACUAUUUAAUUAUCAACUUAAUCUAUUGUCAAUUAAAGGAUUCAUCGUAUGAAGAAUUUAAUGUUUGUGACAAAUAACAUAGCAGAGAGCUGUGUUGUGAGAAUAAACAAUCUAAUUUAAAUGAAUCAUCUUAUGUGUUGAUUAGGAUUUGGGUCUCUCUGGUUUCUCAGGCUGUCUAUUGAUUAAAUCCUAUGAUCGUAUCUAGGGUUGUCUAUUGAUUAGGGAAGUAACCAACGGUCGUACCUUGGUUAUCGACUAGUUAAGGAGAGAUUGGCUAUUAGAGGGUCUCAGUAGCUAUAACCGAUCUAUUCAUAAGUAAUAAUAAUAAUCUAUAUUUGAAUCAAUGAUCAGUAGUCGAAUCAAGCUGAGUUAAUUCCUUCAACCAGAGCUUUCUCCAAUUUGAAUUACAACUUUAAUUUGCAUUCUUGUUUAUUUCAAUUUGAUUUUUAUUAUUGUCAACAAUUCCCCCAUUUUACGUUUUACGUUUCAAAAGGAUUUAAAUAAUUACCGAUCUCUGUGGACACGACCCUGCUCAAUCACUAUACACAAUUUAUUUAGAGUAGGAAUUUAUUUUUGUUGGCUUCGACACCCAUCACGCAUCCACCCACGAUUACAGAAAUGGAGCAUCCACGUCCGAGAGGUGGGAGGAUAACGAGCGCAAAUGAGGGGAAGGUCUGGAGUCAGGAGGACCUAUAAAAAGGUAGCCAACGAAGGUAAAAGGGUUAGACUUUUCACUGUUAGAACUAAGAAAAGAGAGCUCUAAGAACUGAGAUUAAAAAGAAGCCAUAAGAUUCGUGGCAUAGAUUCCCAAAACCUUCAUUUCUGACUUGAGUGUCGGAGGGUUUGCGCCGGGGAACCAACCGGCGUACUCUGACCUGUCUGUGUACGCAGGAACUUCUGGAGAAGAAGCUUUACGAGGAGAGAUCCUGAUCGUGGUGACGUUGAUCGAGCAGAGCUCCUGGUCGUAUAACGAGGAGGACCAGAAUCUCGCAUCAACAUGUACAUUAGUGUUUUUUUUUUUUUUUGGGGGGGGGGUGGAAUUUUUUUAUUGGCACAGGAAGAAAGCUCUUCGGCACUACUCGGAAGAAGAAUAUGAGCAACACAUGGUCCAAUUCGCAUUGUAUGGAAGUAAAACCGAAGCAUUAGACCAAAAGCAAACCUUAUUCAUAUUUUUAGUUACUGAUAACAAUUUCUUUCCCCUCUUAUUAUCAUCUUAAUUAAGAAAUAUAGUAAUUCGUUAACUUUUUGGGAAAUUAAAAAGGAUGGCAAUAUACAAUAUUCUUGUGUUGAUGACCUUAAAAGCUAGUUCCCUUGAAACAGGAAAACUGGUAUCGUUUUUCAAAGCACAUAAAUGAUAUAUCCCAGCUUUCAAUGUGAUCGAAAGAUUUCAUAGCCACACUCAAAAUUAAUAAAUGAUCCCUAAGAAUUACGAAAAUGAUAUCAAUGAAAUUACAAACUCUUCAAGAGUUUAUAGAACAUUAAUUGAUCCAAAGCCAAUACAAACUGCUUACUAGUACAGCAUCAAGAGAGCCAUUUAUUUUUUCAGUAGGCAAAUUAAACAACUGCAGCAGUCACUAGCGAGCUAGUAUAGACCAAUUGUUCAUCUACCAACUAAUUGUGAAAUUGUUACAUCAUUGCUUGAACAUAUUUCUGAUCCAAUCGUGGCUUUAUUUUGUUCGUCUUCAUAAUCUUUGUUUGAGAAAUCGGAGUCCAUUCGAUGAGUCUAUCAGCAUUCUUUAACUAAUUAUUAGAUUAAAUGUAUAAAUUUAAAACUAGUAAAAGUUUAGAAUAUGAAAGAACCUUGAUUCAUUCAAGAAAUAAUUAAAAUUUUAAUCCUUUUCAAACUGAUUAAUAUUAACCUUAUCAUUAUAAGAAAACACGAUUUAAAAGAAAAAAAAAAUCUCACAAAGUUGGUGUGUGGAAUAGUCAAUACGUUGUGUCCUUGAUUUUUUACAAACUCUUAAGAGUCUAUAGAUGUAGUUAGUGAUAUUACAUUACAUUAAUUGAUCCAAAUCCAAUACAAACUGCUUACCAGUACAGCCUCAAGAGAGUCAUUUAUUAUUCAAUUGGCAAAUUAAACAACUACAGUAGUCACUAGCAGCUUGCCAAGAGCUAUAGCGUAGAUCAAUUGUUAUCUACCAACCAAUUGUGAAAUUGUUACAUCAUUACUUGAACAAAUUUCCAAUCCAAUCGUGGCUUUCCUUUGUUCAUCUUCGUAAGCUUGCUUUGAGAAAGUUUCAGGCUUCUUUGGAGUCAUUAUAUCAGCCGUGCUCUCAUUUUCGAGCAUCGAAGAAACUUCCAGCAUAGAAGGUCUAUCGUCUGGGUUCUCCUGAACACACAACAGAGCUAUUUGCAGACAUGUUAGCAAUUUCCACGAGGAAUGCGUAUCAUCUAGUGAUGUAUCCAUUAACCCCAUGCCUUUCCCAUCUUUCCACAGCUCAUAAGCCUGUAAAUAUCGAAUAUGUUAUUGAGUUACAUUCAAUUAAUUAGCACUAUAAAGUUUUGAUCCAGUGUGCAUUAUAAAGGGGGUUAUGAAGAAACUUACAUACUGUACAAGGCUUAAAUUUUCAUUCUGGCCAGAUUGAACGAACAAUCUUCUUCCACUUAUAAUUUGCAAAAGUAAAACCCCAAAACUGUAGACAUCAGAUUUGGUGGAGUAGAUGCCUCUCGUCACAUACUCAGGAGGGAUAUAGCCACUGUUGUACCAAGUACUUACAAAUAUCAGUUAAAUUGUUUGACCUAAAAGGUUAAGCUGAUUGGUAAAGGCUCAACAAUAGUAUUAAAGACAAGUCGAAAAAUAGACGUAUAUACACUUACUGUGUUCCAACAAUUCGACUGGUGUUUGCUUCAAGGUCGUCUUUCACAAAAAUUCUAGCUAAGCCAAAAUCUGAUAUUUUAGGCUUCAUAUCUUCAUCCAAUAAAACGUUACUAGCUUUCAAAUCUUGAUGAAUAAUUGUUAAUCUAGAAUAUUCUUGAAGAUAGAGAAGCCCUUGAGUUAUUCCUUAAAUGAUAUGAAUGCGUUUUUUCCAAUCCAAAAUAAACCUUCGGAUGGAAUCUACAUCAAAUAUAAGUAUAGUUGGACGGUCGGUAGCAUUAGCAUUUGGAGAUGAGAAAGCAAAUGGAGGCACAUAAAUUAAAAAUUAAGCAGUUAAGCUCAUACCAAAAAGGAAAUAGUCCGAGCUUCGUUUUGGCAUGUACUCAUAGAUCAGCAUUUGUUCUUCUCUGUCAAUGCAAAAACCUAAAACCCUAAUAAGAUUUACAUGUUGGAGUUUUGCAGUAAGCAUAACCUCAUUCUUGAACUCCUCAAAUCCUUGUUUGGAUGUCUUUGAGAGUUUCUUCACAGCUAUUACCUGUCCAUCAGGUAAUACACCCUGCAAACAACCCCAAAACAUUAAAAAGAAAAAAAAACGCAAUGUUCAUAUACAUGUGUGUGUGUGUAUUUCGCUAAUUAAUUAAUAAGAUGAGAGAUAGCCAAGCUAUCGAUAUAUAACCUUGUAAACAGGGCCAUAUCCACCCUCCCCGAGCUUAUUUUCAAUUGAAAAUCUAUCCGUGGCCACCUCAAUAUCAGCCAAGCUAUAUUCUCUAAGAUCAGGAUCAUUGCUGUUAAAAUCUCCAGCAUGUGCUUGACUGUUUGCUCCGUCCUUUGAUGACUUGGCUGAGUCAAUUACUAUCCCAAUUAAUAUCAACCAAGGAAAAAAAAAAAAAAAAGCUAAUUUAAGUAAAUUGCCCACUUCUUCAACUGCGCUAAAUAGAAUAGAAGUAAAAAUAAUCCUAAACCAGUGUAGAAGAAGUUACCUUUUAAUUUGGGGUUUUUCAUCCAGCAGUAGUAAUAUAGACAAAAACCUAGUAGAAGAAUACAAGCUGCAGUUGUAGGCAAAACAAUUACCCAUAAUGGUCGCUUAUUUUGACCAUUCUUGUCAUCCUCUUCAGCUGAAAAGUCAAAUCACUUUGCGUUGGUUAGCCAUUGAUGCUGAAAUAAAGAUCUUAAUUCAAGUCAUUAUCCAGAAAAGUGAUCAACGGAUUGCAGUGAGUGCGGAAUUCCAUUUGCUUACCUGCAGCUUGAGAAAGCAUCCAAUCAUGAUCAUAGGAAACUAGCCACACAUGGUAACCGCGUAGCUUCUUCUCCUUGGCAUAAGCAACCUUCACUCUAAUGGCCUCCACAUCAUCAAAACCAAACCAAAUCUUCCCAAUCGAGCAGUAGUUCACCACAUAAGUUGAAUUGUACAUAACUUGGACAUUAGGACCAUAGCUCUUGAUGCGAUUCUUGAUUUCCUUGUAAGUCACAAGACCAUUUUCACUCAAAGCUGCUCCCGUUGCUGCUGCACCAAUACCAUUGUCCUCAGGUUUCACAAGCUUCCAUGCAUAGCCAUAGAAAGGCAAACAUAAAACCAAUUUAUCAGCCGAUAACCCUUCCUCAAUCCAUUCCGUGAUUCCGUAUUCAGUACUAUAGUCACUAUUUGGAUCAUACAGAGCCGCAUGAGCACCAGUAAAAUUUGUCCACGUAGGGGCUGAGUAAUCAGUAGUGAAAACAUGGACCCAAUUCAAGUACUGUCUUAUAAAGUCGACUGGAUAAGUUGCUUCUGUUAAGAAUGGUGAAUAUGAAACCGUUGCCGUCAAAAUCAACUGUGAUUGGCUCGAGUUAUUUCUUGCUUCUAAAUCUACGGCAGCUCGCCACUCUUUAAAGAGAAUGGCAAUAUUGUAAUUAUCCCAGCUUGUGUUUGCCUUAGACCAAGACAGAUCUAAGCCUUGAAAGCCAUAAAGCCUUGCUAUGUUUAUUGAGGAGUCAAUGAAGGAUUUCCUGGAAGAAGGAUUGCUUGCCAUGGAAGAAUAAGUUGAAUAGCUUACAUCAUUUCCUCCUCCGAUGGAGAGAAGUGUAGUGAUUGAUGGGUUCUUUAUUUUGACUGUGUGCGUGAAGUUGGAGAAUUGUUUUUCAUCCGAAGGUGAUAAAGAGAGCUCGUAGGAAGUUGAGUUGACAUCAGCAAAACCACACAUAAGGUGAGUGAAGAGAGCAGAAUUUACAUCUGAAACAGGGAACCCAUCGCCUGAAUCCCAGUAACCAGCUCUGAUUAAAGUUUGUGCUCUUGCAGGAAGCGAUUCUGAAAAUAUAAAAAUGUGGAGGACAAGAAUGAUAAUUUUGGAUGCCAUUGUGGGAACCUGGCUGCUUGAGGCAUACCUAGUAUGUGAUUAUAUAUUUGUACACACACAAAAUGUAAUGGAGAAAUUAUCCUAUACCGAUUGAGAUUAGUUAUUGCACUAAUAAUGCAAACUUGAGUCAACUUUCAACUUAUGAGCUUAGUCCAUAAGUUUUUAUAAUACGAUAUCAAAAUCAAGUUAUGAAUGAGGGACCCUAUAAUACCUUCCAACCUAACUUAAUAAUUAAUCUUAGCCAAUGUGACAUACUUGUUCUAUCGCUUUAUCACGACCAAGUCGAUCUUUUAGCUUUGUCUUUUUUUCAUGAUAAUAAGUGAUAAGAUUGAAGUUCUUAAAUUAAGCUAUGACUUUUUACCUCCGCUUAGCUUGACUUCUGAAGUUGGAGACUCGUUCUUUUGUAUUGACUUUGUUGGUAUUUAAAUGAACUCGGAGUCCUCGACGAGUUUCUGAAGCGAAGUCAUUAUUCCUCUAUGACUCCAUCCAUGCAAUUGGAAGGCAAAAUCUUGUGAAAAUAUUUUCUAAGUUGAUUCAGUCCAUGAUCAACGUGCACAAAACGCAAAAUCUUGCGAAAAUCAAACCCGUCCUCACUCAUGAGCUCGAUUUCUAGCUUAAACUCCUCCUCACUCAUGACCUCACUUUAAUUACAGCUUGUCAUUGAAUUGAGUGUUGCCUUAAUUAAGCCAUCAACUUAAUAAAGUGAUGGUCAUUAAGAAAUACACUUAGUUACUUCCUGAUGGUAAGAUUCAAUAAUAUUGUAAUUUAAAAAAAAGAAGAAAAGAUCCAUAUACCUUUUCCUUGUGUAAUUUAAUUUUCAGUCCAGUCCACCCUCCCAUUUUAUCAUAAAAGUCUAUACAAACAUACGUUUUACUCAAUGUUUACUUAGAAACAAAUGGUGGGCGUACGAGUGCCGAUCUAGUACCACUCUCGUAUACUUGGUGGGAUUCGGCUUCACCAAAUUUGUAGCAUAUAUUUUACUUUAAUGAGAAAAUCAAAUAAUUAUUGAACAAAUAAUUUUUUUUUCAAUAUACUUUCUUAAAAUGUAUGGAGUUGGUAAAGUGCAAAUUCAUUUUUUAGCCCUUUGACUCCUCCAAAAUCCAAACUCAAAUUAAUGGUCAGUUAAAUAAUGUUACUUGAAAAUCAUUUCCUAUCUAGAAUUUGUUUAAUUCUAUUAAUUUACAAUCGUUUUUCAUUUUACUUAAUUAAUUAAAGUGAAUUUAUUAUGUAUACAUCUACAUACGUAAAAUCUUAAAAUUCAGUGUUGAAUUGAAUUGUACUAAAUUUUUUAUAAUUUUUUGUGAGACCUGCGUUUUUAACAGUUUAAUAUUAAUAUUGAUAGCACAUAAUAUACCGGAUUAAGAGAGAUUGAUUUCGACUGCUACAAGAUUUUUAGGAUUGCAUGCACAAGGGUUUAAAAACAAAGUAUACACUUAAUUACACUAAACGAGGGUGCAUUUUUAUGAUGAAAUAAAAACUAUGUACAGGUUGUAAAAGUGGCUCCAUAAUUAGUGUACAUUAACAAUCAUCUAGCUACCACUUCCGAAAAUGAUAAAUCACAAGCCGAACAUUUUUCCAAUUGUGUUGUAGAUAAUAGUUCAAUCCCAAUUUCAUCAACUUGUUUUGAGAAAGCAGGCUUCUUGGGAGUAUUUAUAUUUGUGGUUUCAUUCUUGAGCAUUGAGGAAACUUCCAGCAUUGAAGGUCUAUCGUUUGGAUUCUCCUGGACACACAACAAAGCUAUUUCCAGACAUCUCAUUAAUUUACAAGGGGAAUUUGUAUUGUCUAGGAAUGAAUCCACAAACUCCACGCCUUUGCCACCUUUCCACAACUGAUAUGCCUGAAAUUAUCAAGUACCAUCUCGUUACAUAAUUUAUACUUCUUAAUUAAGUGCGCAUAUGUGUACUCAGGGUUACUAUAGCCGAAGAAACUUACGUGCUCUAGAAUGCUUAAAUUUUCAUUGAUGCCACAUAACACUGAAAGCCUCUUUCCACUUAUGAUUUGUAGAAGUAAAACUCCGAAACUAAAAACGUCUGAUUUGGUAGAGUAUACACCUUGUCUGGCGUACUCAGGAGGAAUAUAGCCUCUGCAUUCAAAAUAACCAAGUAUAUAUGAGUAAGGGAUUUUGCAAUUUAAUAAAUUUGUAAAACCCAUUUUAAAUUGUGGUAAAAGUCCAUUCUGCAUUUUAUUAAAGUGCUGAAUUCCUUAUUCGAAACCCAAUAUAUGUAUAACAAACAGAAGCUUGAGUAAAGGAUAUCAUUUAGAUGUAAUAUACUUACAUUGUUCCCACAAUUUGUUCUGUAUUCGCUUCGAGACUCUCUUUUGCAAAAAUCCUAGCCAUACCAAAAUCUGAAAUUUUAGGUUUCAUACCUUCACCUAACAAAACAUUACUGGCUUUCAAGUCUCGAUGAAUAAUAGUCAGUCUUGAGUAUUCUUAGAGGUAUAAAAGCCCUUGAGUUAUCCCUUCAAUGAUAUGAACACGUUUUUUCCAAUCCAAAAGAAGUCUUUUGAUGGGAUCUACAACAAAUAUAUAGUUUUGGACAAUAAGUGAUAUACAAAUGAAUUAUAUACACAUUUGAUAUUAACUUGAUUUCAGAACAAACCAAAAAGGUAGCAAUCCAAGCUUUUGUUUGGCAUGUAUUCGUAGACCAGCAUCCGUUCCUCACUCUCAAUGCAAAAACCUAAAACUCUAAUAAGAUUUACAUGUUGGAGUUUUGCAGUAAGCAUAACCUCAUUCUUAAACUCCUCAAAUCCCUGUGCGGAUGAUUUCGAAAGUUUCUUCACUGCUAUCACCUCUCCACAGGGUGAUACACCCUGCAACCCAAAAAAAAAAACCACGUUCAUAUAAAGCUUUCACUAGUUAGAGAAGCUGAGAAAUGUUAGCCAAACAAUAUGCUACCCCCCAAAGUUGAGGGCACCAUUUUAAGUUCUUUAAGUCCCCAUGGACGCAAAAUGUAAAUCUCCUCUCACAGAAUAUGGAUAUGGGUAGAGGUAUCUUCCUAAAAUGUUAGUCGAAGUAGUUAUAUCCCUCUAGUGUGAGGUUAGAGGUCUCAUCUCUAAUAGGCAUAGAUUUUUAAAUUAUAUGUUUUGGGCCUCUGAAUUCUACGACGAGUGUACAAAUUCAAACUUCCGAUAGGAUCCAAAUUGAAACAUUGUGGAUUGUAACAAAUUAAAAUAUAGGUACACACACACACACACACACACAUGUUACCUUGUAAACAGGACCAUAUCCACCCUCCCCAAGCUUAUUUCUAAUUGAAAAUCCCUCGGUGGCCGCCUCAAUAUCAGCCAAACUAUAUACUCUGAGAUUAGGAACAUUUCUGUUAAAGUCUCCAGCUUCUGUUUCAUUAUUUGCUGUCGUGUUUGAUGCUUUAGCAGAAUCCUCUGUUCCUAACAUCAACCAAGAGUACAUAUUAGAUAAAUAAUUGUAUGUCAGCCUCAGAUUUAUGUGUAUAUAUAUGAAUGAAAUUCAUGCUUAAUUAUAAUUGAUAGCUGAAACUUGUUACCUUCUAUUAAAUUGAGCCUUUUCAUCUGGUUGUAUUUAUAUGCACAACAGCCUAGAAGGAGAGUCAAAGCUGCCGCUGCAGUAGAAAUGAGUGCAAUGGACAGAUGGCGGUUAUUACUAUGUUCAUCUUUGUCAGCUGAAGCAGAAGUAAUCCUUUCUUUUUGUGCUGGAAAUAUGUAUAGUUCACCAAUUAAUAAUUACUAGCUAGAGAUGCCAUAACAAUCAUUAUUAAUCAGAGAGAACAAUUAUUGCAUAGAUAAAUACCUGCAGCCUGAGAAAGCACCCAAUUAUGAUCAUCAUAAUCAACUCGCCACACAAAGUAACCACGUAACUUCUUCUCCUUAGCAUAUGCAACCUUCAUUCUAACGGCCUCGACAUCAUCAAAACCAAACCAAAUCUUCUCAAUCGAGCAGUAAUUGACCUCAUAAGUUGAAUUGUACAUAACUUGGACAUCAGGGCCAUAGGUCUUGAUGUGAUUCUUGAUUUCCUUAUAAGUCACAAGGCCGCUAUCAUGCAAAGCUGGUCCUGCUGCUGCUGCAACAAUACCAUUGUCUUCAGGUUUCACAAGCGUCCAUGCAUAGCCAUAGAAAGGCAAACACAUAACCAACUUAUCUGCCGAUAAUCCUCUGUCAAUCCAUGCCUUUAAAACCUGAUCGGUACUUCUAACAAAGCCGCCGCUACUUGAGCCAUAGAGAGCCGCAGGUGGCGCCGUGAAGUUUGUUGACACAGGCUCGUAGUAGCUAGCAGUAACCGCAUGAACCCAAUUCAAGUUUCGUUCUAUCGAAUUCAAAAGAUAUGAAUUCGCUGGUGGUGAAUAAUGAAAUCUUGCGGUCAAGAUCAGCUGGGAUUGCUGGCGACUAGAGUUUUUUGCCUCUAAUUUUGUAGCAGCAAUUCGCCACUCGUCAAAAAGUAAACCAAUAUUGAACAAAUCGGUGCUUGUGUUUGGAGCUGUCCAAGCAAAGUCUAGGCCCUGAAAGCCAUAAAGCCUAGCUAUUCUUAUUGAAGAGUCGAUGAAAGAUUUUCUGUGAGAAGAAUUGCUCACCAUUGAAGAAUAAAUAGAAUAGUUUGUAUCCAUUCCUUGUCCAAUGGAGAGAAGUAUAGUGAUUGAUGGGUUCUCUUUUUUCACAGUGUCUACGAAUUUGGCGAUUUGAUUUUCAUCGGAUGGUAAUGAUAAAGAUAGCUGGUAAGUGGUGGAAUUGAUAUCAGCGUAAGAGCAAAUAAGGUGAGUGAAGAGAUCAUAAUUUAUGCCCGAAAUGGUGGACACUUCGCUUGAAUCCAAGUAACCGACCCUGAUCCACGGUUUUGCUUUCGCGGGAUAAAAUUCUGAAUAGAAUAACAUGUGGAAGAUGAUGCUGAUAAUUAUGGAUGCCAUUUGAGACUUUGUUAGGAAUGGAAAUGGAUCCACACAAGAGAAAUUAAAUAAACACUAGUUUCACAGAUCAUUUAAGUACUUAUGUAAACUAUUAACUUAUAGGUUCAUUUCGUUCCAAAAAAAUCUUAUGUGCUUCUGAUAGGGAAACAUACAUUGCAUGUUAUGAUGAUGAUAGGCGAUGCGACCAUUGCCUGAGAACUAAGAUUUUCUUCCAUCGCUUGGGUGACCUUUCACGAAGAAAAAUGAUGUUUUGAUUUACAUUUGGUUAAACUGAUGACAAAUUUCGGGCCAUAAAUAUCACUAUUGUUUUAUUAAAUAAUAAAAAAAUUAAUUUUACAUGUACGUUGAAAGUUAAUAUUGCAAUCACCAACAAGUGCGUAGAUCAACUGACAAGGGGUUGUUCUAGCUUAACCAAGGUCCUUGGUUCGAGACUUGAGAAUGCAGCUACGUUAAAUACUUGUUGGGAGAGUUUUGUCAUCCUAAUGGCCUUACACGGCUCGAAUCUGAAUUAGAGUUUUGUCACCCUAAUGGUCCUACACGGCUCGAAUCUGAAUUAGUCGAGACCCACUGAUACCAAAUGGCUUCAUAUACCAAAGAAAAAGUUAAUAUUGCAGUCUUUUGAGACUGUGUUGACGUUUAUUCGGUUCGUUUAUUAUAUAUUCCCGUUUUUCUCCCUGUCUGUUUGCUACAGUGCUCUUACAAGGAUAGCAUCUUUAAUGCACCUCAGAAGUAGUUAAGAAAGUCUUGAUAAAAAACCAGACAUUUUCUAUCUACUCAAAACGUAGUUAUUGGACUAAUUAAGAUUCUAAUCCCUUUAAUAAAUAUUCAAAAAGGGUUACUGUCACUACUCAGUCCUUGUUGUUUUAUAAAAAAAAAAAAAAAAGAUAUUUAAAGAGGCAUCACAUAAAUCCUUCCUAAUUACAUUUUGUUUCAUUCAAGUUGUUGACUUAAUUUGACUGCCUGGAAAAAUUAGUAAAGAGGUAAAAAUAAAAAAAAAGGUAAAUUCUAGUUAUUAGACUAAAUAUAUAGUAUAAAUUUGCAGCAACUAGCAAAAAGUUUAGAAUAUGAAAAAUCCUAUUUCAUUUAAAAAACAAUGAAAAUUCUAAUCAUUUUAAAAAAAAAAAACUCUGAAAGUUUGAAAAACUAAGAUUUUAAGAUCCUUUUACAAUAACCAUAAUUAACACAAAUUUCCGAAUUAUUAUUACAUAAUAAAAUUUUACUAAUAGAAAUAAGAAAACAAAACAAAUAGCACUCAAAUCGGAUAUAUAAAAAAAAAUCUUGAAAUAAAUAGAAAAAAUAAGAAAAUAACUAAAACUUGCAAAACGACCAUGAAAGAAAUGAAAUUUCCGGCCGAACCAAGGGGCCAAUGUGCAUAGUAUUAUUGGACUAGAUUUAUCAGACCACAAGCUUCAAAACAAUAUAUUAUAUUUCCUAAAUGGACACAUGUAGGUUAAGUUACUCAAUUGUAUUAGGAGCUGUCCAAGCAAAAUCUAGGCCCUCAAAGCCAUAAAGCCUAGCUAUUCUUAUUGAAGAGUCGAUGAAAGAUUUUCUGUGAGAAGAAUUUCUCACCAUUGAAGAAUAUAUAGAACAGUUUGUAUAUCUUCCUUGUCCAAUUGAGAGAAGUGUAGUGAUUGAUGGGUUCUUUUGUUUCACAGCGUCUGUAAAUUUGGGGAAUAUUUGAUUUCCAUCAAAUGGUGAUGAUAAAGAUAGCUGGUAAGUGGUGGAAUUGAUAUCAGCGUAAGAGCAAAUAAGGUGAGUGAAGAGAUCAUAAUUUAUGCGCGAAAUGGCGGACACUUCGCUUGAAUCCAAGUAACCGACCCUGAUCCACGGUUUUGCUUUCGCGGGAUGAAAUUCUGAAUAGAACAACAUGUGGAAGAUGAUGCUGAUAAUUAUGGAUGCCAUUUGAGAGGCUUAAGCUUCUUAAUUACCACUUCGAUGGGAAUGGAAAUGAAUGCACACUGACACCAGACACAAUAGAUGAGAAAGUACAACGUCACACACUCAAGAAAUCACAAGCUCACCACCACAGCAAACAACAAAAGGAUACAGAAAAAUAUUCACCACCUAAAGUUGUUAAGCUACGGAUACAGAGCUUAAAACACUCACCACUCAAUGGAAUCCACCAAAGAGAUACAGAGUUUGAUAAUAGCUCAAAGUUCAUUCAAUUUCUAAAAUUAAUCUUCGUCCUUUUGUUACAACUACAUAAGCUUAAAUAAUUUUCUUGGAACAAUCCUCCAAGCAUAGAUUUACUACAAAGAAACCCUUCAAAUAACUUGACUUUAAAGACCAACAUUAAAGCUAGACAUUAAUAAAACAUUAGUAUGCUUAAAACACAACAAAGAACAUUAAAAAAAAUCUAAGUCCCGAAAUAUUCUUCUUGACUCAAAACUGAACAGUCUGCACUUAACUGAUCAUAACUUACUGUAGAAAACUCCAAAUUUAGAUUAGUAAAAUUCAUUGGAAAGCUAACAGAAAUAUCUUUCCAAUGAUGUAUGGCUCGAAAAUUAAUUCGAUCUCAUGCAGUACAGUUUAAUUCCAAAAGAUGCCCCUUCUGCACAGAAAUUCUGCUCACUUGAUUAAUGUAAGAACUUGAGCUGCACUUGGUAUAACUUGAUUACCAAAUAUUUCAAACACUCCUGUGUUACACACUAAGAGAAAUUAAAUAAACACAAGGUUCACAGUUCAUUGAGCUCUCAUGUUAACGUAUAGGUUCAUUUCGUUGCAAAAAAAAAAAAUCUUACGUGCUCCUGAUAGUGACACAUACACUGCAUGUUAAGAUGAUGAUGGGCGAUGCGACCAUUGCCUAAGAACUAAGAUUUUCUUCUACCGCCUGGGUGACUUUCCAUGAAGAAACAUGAUGUUUUGAUUGACAUUUGGUUAAACUGAUGACAUAUUUUGGGCUACAAAUAUUAGUAUUGUUUUAUUAAAUAAAAAUAAUAAUAAUUUUACGUGCAUGUUGAAGGUAAUAUUGCAGUCUUUUGAGCCUGUGUUGAAUUUCAUUCGUGUGCGUUCAUUUAUUAUCCAUCCCCUUUUUUCUCUGAGUCUGCUAGCCGUAGUCAUCUUAAAACGAUAACAUGUUUAAUGCAUGUAAAUGCACCUCAGAAGUAGUCAAGAAAGACUUGAUCAAACCAGAAAAUUUUCCUCUUAACACAGACGUAGUUAUCGGACUAAUUAAGAUUCUAAUCCAUUUAAGAAAUAUUCAAAAAGGGUUAUUGUCACUACUUUAGUCCUUGUUGUUUUAUUAAAGAAAGAAAAAAAAAAGAAUAUAUUUAAAGAAGCAUCACAUAAAUCCUUCCUAAUUACAUUUUGUUUCAUUCAAGUUCUUGACUUAAUUUGACUGCUUGGAAAAAUUAGUAAAAAGGUAAAAAUAAAAAAAAUGUAGAUUGAUAUUAAGGAAUUCAGCAAGCAAGCUACAAGAAUAUCCAAAAGCGUGUAAUUUAUGUUUAAGGAAAUAAGUGGAGAUAGAGAUGAAAUUGUAAAUUCAUCCCAAUCUUAAGUGGUUUAAUUCAAGAUGUAUGUUAGCUACAAGCACAGUAAGCAUGGUGAUGUCUCUCUUUAACGCAGGGGACACAACAAAAACACUGUAUUUCUACCCUUUUAAAAAAUUCCAAUAAUAUGUACACGUUAUAUAUAAGAUAUAAAAAUCAUUACUUUUAGUAUAAGAUAUAAAAAAAAAAUCAAUUAAUAACCAUUAGAGAAUAAAAAUUUAUGUAAUUGAUGCAGAUAAAUGGAAUCAAGUAGUAACAUUUCCUUCUCAUUGAAGAGAAAAGAUUUAAAAAAAAAAAGGGGAACGCAAACAUGACAAUUUUUUUUAUCCGCACACGCCAUGAUAAUCGAUAAUCCGAUAUACCAACCGCGUCUAAUUGUCUGAAUUCUCCAGCUUACCAAGCUUGCUCAAUCGCACCGACAGACACUGACAAUGGGAGAUUAAUCACCACUCGCAGUAUUCGACGCGUGAAGGACACAUUCACCAAUAAUUUAUAGCGGACAGUAGCAUUCCCGAUGCUGCACGGAGAAAAAUAGUUGGAUUUGCGUAAGUUAAAUUGACUUGACUCGAGAGAGUGAAGAAUGGUGGUGGUUGCUGUUAAGCAGUCAGUACUUCUGGCGACUGCUUGGCUUACACGCAGUUCUUGGGGGUGUCAUUUGACUGUGAAAAAGAAUUUUGGCUUUAUUGAUAUCAUGUUGGAUUUGGAAUUUUGGAUGGCUUCGUUUGGACCAUAAGACGCUAUCUCAUCCAUAACACGUUAGCAGUCCUUCUCACGGGAGAAAAACUGGGGUGGGAUUGAGCAAGAUUAUAUGAGUCCUCGAAGUGUCACUUACAAAUUUUUAAUUAUAAAUGACUGCCGAAUAAUUAAUCAAAAUUUUAUUAUUUAUGGUUAUAAUUAGAAUGAUAAGAAAUCAAUUCGAUGUUAUUCUUUGUGGCUCUGCUUAGAAUACUAAAAAAUCAAGUCGACUUACUUAUCUUUAUGUUGAUCAUUACAGGCCUUUUGAAUUUUUUAUCUACUUUAGUUGUAAGUAAUAUAACUUCACUUUUUUUUCUUUACUUUGGUUUGGUUUUCUUUAUAACUCAUAAAAAUUUUCUCGUUAAGAUUGUAUGAACCAAUUGAAACUUCAGAUUUGUAUGAACCAAUUGAAACUUCAGAUUCAUACUAGAAUUAUGAUGAUUCAAUAAAACCUUCAAAUUAAAUUCACAUAUUCCAUGAGGGAGAACCCUUGGAUUACAUUUGUUCAAGUUUAUGCUUUGAGUAAAAUAAAAGUAGAAAUAGGAAUUUGAAAGAAGAAAUUUAGUUAUAAAAAAUUAUCAAAUAAUUAAUUGUUUGGCAUUUAUUUUAUGGGUCCCAACCCAUGUGAUCCGCCAAAUGAGACGUCUUAUGUGAUUGGUUAUGCCAUGGUGCGCUAGCCACAUUUAAGUUUCUCUCUUCUUAUGGAUAUAACUGUAUAUGGGUGGCGUUAUAUAGUGCCCCACAUGGGCUCAUUAAAAUUAUUUUAUGUGCAUUUUAAACAUACCCUCUUUAUUGAUUUGAAACACCAAAAAUACCUCUCUUAAAUUUUAAAAAUAUAAAAAAAAAUUACGUGUUAAAACAAUGCUUGAUGUCUCUAGCCUAACAGUUAGCACACCUAUUGUAUACACUUUUACUUUUUUCUUCUCUAAUUUUUUACUCCUCUUUUCUCUAAUUCUUCACACUUCACUACUCUUUUAUCUCUAAAAAAAUUAAGCAAUCUCUAGAAGCUUAUUACUAAUUUUUUGAUCAAAUUACUUAUAUAAGUACUCUUGAUUGAUUAACACUUCUUUAAUUUUUUUUGGGGAUUUCUCUUAGAUGAAAGAAUUAAGGUUAUGUUCUAAAAAAAAUUUAACUCCCAUAUUAUGGUUUUGAUAAUGCGAUUAUCCUUAAAUUUUUCAACAUAUUAAAAUACUUUGAAACAACUGUAAAUGUGUUGAAUGAAAUAUUCUAAUAAAUUUAUAUUUUGGUACUUAUUAAUUAUUUAACUUUUUUCUUAAAAUUACAUUACUAUUUCAGCUUAGCCCUUGUGACAUUAAAUUCCUGAUAGCGCCACUAAAUGUAAGUUUUAAACUCAUGUUCGAUUUCUCCCAUGUUCAAACUCUACCUUUAAUUUAUAUUUCAAUUUUGUGGCCUACUUUUGAGUUUCUAAUUUCACAUAGAAGGCAUGUUAAACUUACCUUAGAUGCAAUAUUAAGAAAUCAAAUACACCAUGUGCAUUAGUGGGGGCGAAAAAAAAAAGAAAAGAAAAAGUCUUUUAUUGGUAAAAGAUGAAAGCUCUUCGGCACUGAUCAGAAGAAAAAUCAUUCUCCAUACAAUGAGCAAAACAAAGUCCAAUUCGCAUUGCAUAGAAGUAAGACCGAAGCAUUGGACUAAAAGCAUACACUAGUCUUAUUUUUCGUUACUGAUAACAUUUUUUUUCCCCUUAUAUUAUCACCUUAAUUAAGAAAAAUAAUAAUUUGUUUAACUAUUUGCGAAAAAGGAUGGCAAUAUACAAUAUUAUUGUGUUGAUGACCUUGAAAGCCAAUUCUUUUGAAACAGAAAAACUGUUUUUGUGUUUUGAUUAUGUUAAGCAAAUGAAUGGUCUUUAAGAGUUAUGAAAAUGUUAUCAAUAAAAUUACAAACUCUUAAGAGUUUAUAGAUGUAGUUAGUGAUAUUACAUUACAUUAAUUAAUACAAUACAAACUGUUUACUAAUAGAGCCUCAAGAGAGUAAUUCAUUAUUUAGUUGGCAAAUUAAACAACUGCAGCAGUCACUAGCAGCCUUCCAUGAGCUAGCAUAGAUCAAUUGUUCAUUUACCAACCAAUUGUGAAAUUGUUACAUCAUUACUUGAACAUAUUUCCAAUCCAAUCAUGGCUUUGUUUUGUUCAUCUUCAUAAGCUUUGUUUGAGAAACUUGCAGGCUUCUUUGGAGUCAUUAUAUCAGCUGUAUUCUCAUUUUCGAGCAUCGAAGAAAUUUCCAGUAUAGAAGACCUCUUGUUUGGGUUCUCCUGAACACAUAGCAAAGCUACUUGGAGACAUGUCAAUAAUUUCCACGAGGAAUUCGUAUCAUCUAGUGAUGGAUCCAUUAACUCCACGCCUUUCCCAUCCUUCCACAACUCGUAUGCCUGAAAACAUCAAAUAAGUUAUCGAGUUACAUUCCAUUGAUUAGCACUAUAAUGUUUUGAUUCAGUGUGUAUUAGAAAGGGGGUUAUGAAGAAACUUACAUACUCUACAAGGCUUAGAUUUUCAUUUUGACCAUAUCGAAUGAAAAGUCUUCUUCCACUUAUAAUUUGUAGAACCAAAACUCCAAAACUGUAGACAUCAGAUUUAGUGGAGUAGACUCCUCUUCCAAUAUAUUCAGGAGGAAUAUAGCCUCUAUAGUAUCGAGUAAUUACAAAUGUUACUAAAACUAUUUGACGUAAAAGAUUAAGUUGAUUGGUAAAGGUUCAACAAUAAUAUUAAAGACAAGUCAGAAAAAAAAUAGAAAAAUAUAUACUUACUGGGUUCCAACAAUUCGAUUUGUGUUUGCUUCAAGAUCAUCUUUCACGAAAAUUCUAGCCAAGGCAAAAUCUGAUAUUUUAGGUUUCAAAUCUUCAUCCAACAAAAUAUUACUAACUUUUAAGUCUUGAUGAAUAAUUGUUAAUCUAGAAUAUUCUUGGAGAUAGAGAAGCCCCUGAAUAAUUCCUUGAAUGAUAUGAAUACGUUUUUUUCCAAUCCAAAAUAAACCUUCUGAUGGGAUCUGCAUCAAAUGUAAAUUUAGUUGGACGGUCAGUACCAUUAGCAUUUGGAGACGAGAAAUGCAAAUUGAGGCACAAAAAUUAGAAAUUAAGCAGUUAAGCACAUACAAAAAAGGAAAUAGUCUAAGCUUCGUUUUGGUAUAUACUCAUAGAUGAGCAUAUAUUCUUGUGUGUCAAUGCAAAAACCCAAAACUCUGAUCAAAUUUACGUGUUGAAGCUUUGCAGUAAGCAUAACCUCAUUCUUGAACUCCUCAAAUCCUUAUGUGGAUGUCUUCGAUAGUUUCUUCACUGCUAUUAUUUGUCCAUCAGAUAAUACACCCUGCAAGCACCCCCCAAAAUAUAUGUUUUUUUAAAAAUCAGUGUGUUCACACAUGUUGAAAAGUCAUGCACGUGACAUUGAAAUUCAAAAAUGAAUGCAAAAUUUCAAAUGGCUACCAAACAUUUGAAGAAAAAAUGGAAAGUUGGCAAAUUUGUCAAAUUUGCCAAAUGGACACCAUUGACUAUUGGCUUAGGUUAUGUGGAAUAGUAAAAGGGUUGGUGCAAUAGUGCCAUUAUUUUCCCUAUAAAUAGAUGGCACUUCUUCCAUUCUAAAUCAUCCCAAAAUUGUUAAGCUUAUAAGUUUCUAAGCUUUUGAGAGAAGUGAGAGAAGUGUGUCUGAGGAAUUUAUCUUUCCUGCAGAGUGUGAGAGUACUGGGUAUAUUUGGGUUUCUGGGAAGUGAGAUUCGUUACUCAAAUAUUGUAUUCUAUUAAUUGUUAAAUAAACAAUUAUUCUUUCUUGCCUUCGUGGAUGUAGGUUUAAUUACCAAACCACGUAAAUUCUUGUGUCCUUUAUUUUUCAGUAAUUAUUUGGUGCGCUUGAUUCCGCAUUCCGCGCACAACAAGUGGUAUCAGAGCCGACGGUUCGUACUUGGGGGGAUACGGUACUAUUCACGUAUACGGUACUGUUCACGUAUACGGUAAUGUUCAUGUAUACGGUACUAUUCACGAAUACGUUGGAGACGGCCAUUUGUACUUGGGAGACAGUCUAUUGUAAGUAGUGUGUAUUUUUGCAUGUCUAGGAAAGUUCUGUCAAAAAAGGCGAUAAGAGUCUAAGGAUUCUGGUUUUUAAUUGGGACCGAAUUCCCGUCCAGUUUUCUGGGAACUUUCCUGGUGCAUUUAUUCACGCGAAAUUAACAUCAUAGAGGCUGUUUUUCAAGUGGAAAUAGUUCGUUGAGAAAAAUCGUAGAAGGUGAAACUUCCAGAAUUGGGGAGAGAUCUACCGAGACUAUUUCAGGAGACAUUUCAGGUGGGAGGCGAGAUUUGUCAAAUCGCUAUUCAGCACCUGUUAUAGGAGGCCAGAAGAUCGAUGUUGAAAAGUUUGAUGGGAAAAUCAACUUCGGCAUGUGGAGGCGCGAAGUUAUGGAUGCCCUUAUUCAAAUCGAUCUCGAUGUUGUCCUGAAAAAUAAAAGACACUUGUAUGAUGAAGAAAUUUGGGAUCGUAUGAACGAGAAAGCCUGUGGUCAGAUCAGAUCUUGUUUGACCAAGGAGGUGAAAUACUUGGUGAAAGAUGAGGAGUGUGCAGUGACUUUGUGGCGUACAUUGGAAGAGAAGUACCUGGUGAAAAGUCCUGAAAAUCGUCUUCAUGCAAUGAGCCAAGUAUAUGGCUUUCGAAUGAAGUCUGGGGUGUCAAUGCACGAUCAUGUUUCAAGAUUUAAAAAGUUACUUGCUGAUUUGAAGAAUCUUGAUGAAGAUAUUAAAGAUGAAGUCAAUGCUAUGAUUCUGUUACACUCACUACCAGAGGAAUAUAGCCAUUUUGUGACUACUUUGAUAUAUGGGAAGAGUGUGAUCGUCUUUAAAGAUGUUUGCACAGCAUUGACUAGUUUGGAGAUUCGGAAUAAUGAUAAAAAUUCUGAACGAGCAUCGUCUGAAGCUUUGGUGAGCAGAGAUUGGGCGAUGGAGAAAAAGAUAAAUGGUGGUGGAAAGAAUUCUCGAUCCAAAUCGAGAAGCAGAAAUAUAGCUCGAGAUGAGUGUGCCUUUUGUCAUGAAAAGGGCCAUUGGAGGAAAGAUUGUCCAAAGGCUCAAAAGAGAGAUGGGAAAAAACCAGCAUCAGCAAACAUGGCACGGAAAGAUGAGGACUCUGAUUAUUCACUAAGUAUCACUCCUGCAGCAUAUGUGGCUAGUUCGAGUGAGUGGAUACUUGAUACUGGAGCAACCUAUCAUUUGUGUCAUAUUAAGGAAUGGUUUACGGAUUUUCGUAAUCUGGAAUCCGGUGCAGUUAUGAUGGGGAAUAAUCAACCUUGUCGCACAAUGGGGAUAGGAACAAUUCGGCUCAAAAUGUUUGAUGGAAUGGUCAGAGAACUCAAAGAGGUUAGAUUUGUUCCAGAGAUAAAGAAAAAUCUAAUUUCUGUGGGUGCUUUGGAAGCUAAAGGUUACAAAGUUACCAUUGAAGAUGGCACAAUGAAGUUUACACAUGGGGCUAUGGUGAUUCUGCAAGGGGUUCGGCGUCACAAUCUGUACUAUUUGAAAGGAGGUACAACUGAUGAAGCAAAUGUUGUUGAGGCGCACAGUGACACCACCAAGCUAUGGCAUGUACGACUGGGACAUGCAGGAGAGAAGUCUUUGCAAACUCUGAUGAGGCAUGGACUCUUAAAAGGUAUCAAAACCUGUAAAUUAAAUUUCUGUGAGCAUUGUGUAGUAGGCAAAAAAACAAGGGUCAAGUUUGGUACAGCUAAUCACGAUACUCGUGAGAUCCUUGAAUAUGUUCAUAGUGAUGUAUGGGGACCAACCAAGACUGCAUCAAUUGGUGGAAGCCAUUAUUUUGUUAUAUUUGUUGAUGAUUUCUCUAGACGUGUAUGGGUGUACACCAUGCGAGCAAAGGAUGAGGUUCUAGAGAUUUUCGUGAAGUGGAAGAAAUUGGUGGAGACUCAAACUGGCAGAAAGAUCAAAGUAUUACGAUCUGAUAAUGGGGGUGAAUAUACUUCUGAUCCAUUCUUGCAAGUAUGCCAGAACGAGGGUAUUAAAAGACAUUUCACAGUGAGACAUACUCCGCAACAGAACGGUGUGGCUGAGCGUAUGAAUCGUACUUUACUGGAGAAGGUACGAUGUAUGUUAUCUAAUGCUGGUUUAGAUAAAAAGUUUUGGCCUGAAACUGUGAGCUACGCAAGUCACUUGGUAAAUCGGUUGCCUUCUGCUGCAAUUGGAGGUAAAACUCCUAUGGAAAUGUGGUUUGGAAAGCAUGCACAAGACUAUGAUUCCCUUCGUGUAUUCGGGUGUCCAGCUUAUUAUCAUGUCAAAGAUGGUAAACUGGAUCCUCGUGCUAGAAAAUCUAUCUUUGUGGGAUUCAAAGGUAGAGUAAAGUGCUUCAAGCUUUGGGAUCUCGAAGACAAAAAGUUUGUGUGUAGCAGAGAUGUCACAUUUGAUGAAGCUUCAAUGAUAAAAGCUUCAAGUUCUCAGCAGGUGGAGAACAAGACCACAUAUGUAUUGCAGCGGGUGGAGUUUGAUGCAACUCCAUAUGUACCAGUUAGUUCUACAUCAAAGAAUGGUUCAACUAUGGAGGUGACACCUAAAGUUGAAGAAGAGGUUGUUUCUUCUGAUGUCCCACAAAAUGAAGAAACAAUUGAUGAUGUAGAUGAUGAUGAUUUUAUAGCAACAAGGAGGCCAAGAAGAGAGAUAAAGAAACACGGAUGGCUUACUAAAGAUAUGGUGGUAGCCUAUGCACUUUCAGUUAUUGAUGAUGACAUCCCCAAUACUUUCGGUGAAGCAUUACGCAGUAAUGAAAGUGAUCAGUGGAAGCUAGCCAUGGAGGAAGAGAUGAAAUCUCUCCAUCAAAACCAGACUUGGGAACUUGUAAAGUUACCAAAGGGGAAAAGGGCUAUUGGCAAUAAAUGGGUCUACACCAAAAAGCAAGGAUCUCCGAAUCAAACAACUCCUCGAUACAAGGCAAGGCUCGUGGCAAAAGGUUUUGCUCAAAAGGAAGGUAUUGACUACAAUGAAGUUUUGUCUCCAGUUGUAAAACAUACUUCCAUUCGUAUCCUACUUGCCUUAGUUGCAGAAUAUGAAUUAGAGUUGGCUCAGUUGGAUGUUAAGACGGCGUUCUUACAUGGAGAUUUGGAGGAGGAAAUCUACAUGAUUCAGCCUUGUGGUUUUAGAGUUGCUGGAAAGGAGAAUCAUGUGUGUAGGUUGAUUAAAUCUUUGUACGGACUGAAGCAAUCGCCAAGGCAGUGGUAUAAAAGAUUUGAUCAAUUUAUACAAGGGCAGAAAUUCACCAGAAGUGAACACGAUCAUUGUGUUUACUUUAGAAGACUACCAGAUAGAGCUUUCAUCUAUUUGCUACUCUAUGUCGACGAUAUGCUUAUAGCUUCGAAGAAUAGAGAUGAGAUCGAAAGAUUAAAGAAGCAGCUGGCUUCUGAGUUCGAGAUGAAAGACUUGGGUGAUGCACAGAGAAUACUUGGGAUGGAGAUUUGUAGAGACAAGAAGAAUGGGAGCGUAUGGUUGACUCAAAAGUCUUAUUUGAAGAAAGUGCUAGAAAGAUUCGGUAUGGAUGACAAAACUAAACCGGUAUGUACACCUCUAGCUCCUCAUUUCAAAUUAGGCUCUUCUUCAUGUCCUAAAUCUCAAGAGGAGCGCGAUUACAUGGCUCGUGUUCCAUAUGCUAGUGCUGUGGGUAGUCUUAUGUAUGCUAUGGUAUGUACAAGGCCCGAUAUAUCUCAAGCAGUAAGCAUGGUUAGUAGAUACAUGCACGAUCCGGGUAAAAGUCACUGGCUUGCAGUAAAGUGGAUUCUUCGAUAUCUGUAUGGGACAGUUGAUGUUGGGUUAUUGUUCAAGAAGGAUUGUGGUCAACAAUGUGUUGGCUAUUGUGAUUCUGAUUUCGCUGGAGACCUUGACAAGCGAAGAUCAACAACGGGCUACGUAUUCACAUUGGGUGGAGGUCCAGUUAGCUGGAGGUCAAUUUUGCAAUCGACAAUUGCUCUGUCCACUACGGAAGCAGAGUACAUGGCAACAACUGAAGCUGUAAAGGAAGCUAUCUGGUUGAAAGGCUUGUUAGGUGAUUUGGGAGUAAUCCAGGAGAACAUUACGGUCUUCUGUGAUAAUCAAAGUGCGAUAUUCCUUGCGAAGAAUCAAACAUAUCACGCUCGGACAAAGCACAUAGAUGUGAAAUAUCAUUAUGUGAGAGAGAUUAUCGAGAGCGAUGUUGUGUUGUUGAGAAAGAUCGAUACCAAAGAUAAUCCAUCAGAUAUGUUGACGAAGGUAGUUUCUGGAGUUAAGUAUCAACAUUUCUUGAAAUUAAUUCAAAUCCUUCGAUUGUGUUAAAGAUAUGUCCUUCGGGAAUUUUGAACUACGGUUGGCUUGAUCCCAAAUUUUGGGUACGUAGGCAGUCGAAACGACACAGCCAUUCUGGAUCCUUAUUGAAGGAUCACUUUGGGGAUGAGGGUUCGUUGGUAGUCGGCUCAGAUUUGGACAAAUUUUCGCCGAGGUGGAGAAUUGUUGAAAAGUCAUGCACGUGACAUUGAAAUUCAAAAAUGAAUGCAAAAUUUCAAAUGGCUACCAAACAUUUGAAGAAAAAAUGGAAAGUUGGCAAAUUUGUCAAAUUUGCCAAAUGGACACCAUUGACUAUUGGCUUAGGUUAUGUGGAAUAGUAAAAGGGUUGGUGCAAUAGUGCCAUUAUUUUCCCUAUAAAUAGAUGGCACUUCUUCCAUUCUAAAUCAUCCCAAAAUUGUUAAGCUUAUAAGUUUCUAAGCUUUUGAGAGAAGUGAGAGAAGUGUCUGAGGAAUUUAUCUUUCCUGCAGAGUGUGAGAGUACUGGGUAUAUUUGGGUUUCUGGGAAGUGAGAUUCGUUACUCAAAUAUUGUAUUCUAUUAAUUGUUAAAUAAACAAUUAUUCUUUCUUGCCUUCGUGGAUGUAGGUUUAAUUACCGAACCACGUAAAUUCUUGUGUCCUUUAUUUUUCAGUAAUUAUUUGGUGCGCUUGAUUCCGCAUUCCGCGCACAACAACACACACACACGUAGCUUGCACUAAUUAAUUAAUAAGCUGAGAGAUAACCAAGCUACCGAUACAUAACCUUGUAAACAGGACCAUAUCCACCCUCCCCGAGCUUAUUUUCAAUUAAAAAUCUAUCCGUGGCCACCUCAAUAUCAGCCAAGCUAUAUUCUCUCAGAUCAGGAUCAUUGCUGUUAAAAUCUCCAGCAUCCGCUUGUCUAUUUUCGCUGUCCUUUGAUGCUUUGGCUGAGUCAAUUACGGUCCAAUUAAUAUCAACCAAGAGAAAGAAAGCUAAUUUAAGUGAAUCGCCCACUUCUUCAUCUGUGUUAAAUGGAAUAGAAGUAAAAAUAUUCCUAAUCCCGUGUAGAAGAAGUUACCUUUUAAUUUGAGGUUUUUCAUCCAGCAGUAGUAAUACAGCAAAAAGCCUAUUAGAAGAAUACAAGCUGCAGUUAUAGGCAAAACAAUUGCCCAUAAUAGCCGCUUAUUUUGUCGAUUCCUUUCAUCCUCUUCAGCUGAAAAGUCAAAUCACUUUGUGUUAUUUAACCACUGAUGGUCAAAUAAAGAUCUUAAUUGAAGUCAUUAUGCAGAGAACUGAUCGAAUGGGUAGCAGGCAGUGAGUGAGGCUUUGCAUUUGCUUACCUGCAGCUUGAGAAAGCAUCCAAUAAUGAUCACUGGAAACUUGCCACACAUAGUAACCACGUAGCUUCUUUUCCUUGGCAUAUGCAACCUUCACUCUAACAGCCUCGACAUCAUCAAAACCAAACCAAAUCUUCCCAAUCGAGCAGUAAUUCACGACAUAAGUUGAAUUGUACAUUACUUGAACAUUAGGACGAUAGUUCUUGAUGUGAUUCUUGACUUCCUUAUAAGUCACAAGGCCAUCAUCAUGCAAAGCUGGUCCUGUUGUUGCUGCGCCAAUGCCAUUGUCCUCAGGUUUCACAAGCGUCCAUGCAUAGCCAUAAAAAGGCAAACAUAAAACCAAUUUAUCAGCCGAUAACCCUUCCUCAAUCCAUUCCGUGAUUCCAUAUUCAGUAUUAGAGACACUAUUUGGAUCAUACAGAGCCGCAUGAGCACCAGUAAAAUUUUUCCGCGUAGGGCUUGAGUAUUCGGUAGUGAUAACAUGAACCCAAUUCAAGUACUGUCUUAUCGAGUCGACUGGAUAAGCUGCUGCUGUUGAGAGUGGUGAAUAUGCGACCUUUGCUGUCAAAAUCAACUGUGAUUGGCUCGAGUUAUUUCUUGCUUCUAAAGCAACGGCAGCUCGCCAUUCUUUUAAAGAGAAUGCCAAUAUUGUACUUAUCCCAGUUUGUGUUUGCCUGAUUCCAAGACAGAUCUAAGCCUUGAAAGCCAUAAAGCCUUGCUAUUUUUAUUGAGGAGUCAAUAAAGUAUUUCCUGAAAGAAGGAUUGCCCGCCAUGGAAGAAUAACUUGAAUAGUUUGGAUUAUUGCCUCCUCCGAUGGAAAGAAGAGUAGUGAUUGAUGGGUUCUUUAUUUUGACAGUGUCUGUGAAGUUGGAGAAUUGUUUUUCAUCAGAAGGUGAUAAAGAAAGCUCAUAGGAAGUUGAGUUGACAUCGGCAAAACCACACAUAAGGUGAGUGAAAAGAGCAGAAUUUACAUCUGAAACGGGGAACCCACCGUCUGAAUCCCAGUAACCAGCUCUGAUUAAAGUUUGUGCCCUUGCAGGAAGCGAUUCUGAAAAUAUAAAAAUGUAGAGUACAAGAAUGAUAAUUUUGGAUGCCAUUGUGGGAACCUUGCUGCUUUGAGGCAAACCUAGUAUGUGAUUACAUAUAUAUGUACAGACACAAAAUGUAAUGGAGAAAAUAUCCGACACCGAUUGAGAUUUGUUAUUGGACUAUAAUACAAACUUGAGGCAACUUUCAACUCAUGAGCUUAGCUCAUAAGUCUUUAUACGGUAUCAAAGUCAAGUUUCGAAAGAGUGACUCUAUACUACCUUUCAAUUUAACAAAGAGAAAGAAAAGAGAUCAGCCUACACGUGGUAGGAAGAUAGAAAAAGUAUAUCACAUUGGCUAAGAUUAAUUACUAGGUUGAUAAUAUAAGCUCAAAACAACAUUUAACUGUUGCGGAAAUGUGGGUUGAGCAAUUACUAAUACUGCAACUUCUGAAGAAAUAUAAAUGUGGUGUUAAACAAAUGCAAAGAAAAUAUAACACAAUGAUUUACGUGGUUCGGCGUAAUGCUUACAUCCACAGGCAAAAACUAAAAGAUAAUUUUACUAACAAUGAAAAUUUACAAAAGUGAGAAAAAUUCACAAAACCCACAACCCCAAUACACCCAAAUGAAACCUAACUAGAACACUCAAAUGGAAGCUCUCGUAAAUUCUCUCAAAGAACUCACUUGCAAUUGCUCUCUCCAUUUCUUUCAAAUUGGGAUGAUUUACAAAUGCAUUUUGCUUCUCUAUUUAUAGGCAAAGCAUGCUCACCCACCACACGGCUUCAAUUUGACUUUAAUUGGCUAAAUUGACAAAUUUGGCAAUUGGUGCCAAAUUUGUCAUGCAAUGCAUGCUAGCUGUUCCAUGCCAUUUAUUCAAUUUGCAUAUUUUCAAAACCUAACUUUGCUUUUUUGAAAUUGGUAAGCCGACCAUUUGACUUUUCAACAUCAACUCCAUAACAAGCUGUAAUUUAAUAAAGUUAGGUCAACUCGAUAUUUUAUAUAGUACGUCAUGAGUGAGGAGGAGUUUAAGCUACAAAUCGCAGUCAUGAGUGAGGACAAAUUUGAUUCUCUCAAGAUUUUGCGUUUUGUACACGUUGAUCAUGGACUGAAUCAAAAUAGAAAAUAUUUUCACAGGAGUUUGCCUUCAAAUUGCACGAAUGGAACCAUAGAGGAAUACAUCGAAAAGUUUGUCUUCUUGCCAUGAUGUUAAGUGAGAAGAUUGAAGUUCUUAAAUUAAGCUAUGACGUUUUACCUCCACUUAGCUUGACUUCUGAAGCUGAAGACUCAUCCUUUUGCAUUGACUUUGUUGGUAUUUAAAUGACCUCGGAGUCUUGGACGUGUUUCUGAAGCAAUGUCAUGGUCUAUGAGUAGAUUUUAUUUUUUGGGUAAGAAAGGGAAAGUCUGUCGUUAGGAAAACAUCCUGACAACGAGAUGGUGAGAGGGGAUGAAAAAGAAAUUAUACACUUAGUUACUUCCUCAUGAUAAGAUUCAGUGGUAUUGUAAUUUUAAUAAAAAAUUAAGACCAUUUUGCCUUUUUCCUUGUGUAAUUUAAUUUUCAGUCAAGACCACCCUCCCAUUUUAGUACAGGGAAAUUAUCAUUUGUAUAUUCUUAGUUUACUCCAUUAUCAAAAAUAUUACAACACUUUGAGGGUGUAUCAAUCGUCUACCCUAAGUUGACAAAAUGUAUUAGCUGACCACCAAACCGUUAGUUGCCGUUUAAGUAUGAUGAUAUCAGAAGGGUAAUUUGGUUUUUUCAUAUGAUACAAGUGAUAAUUUAAGGGUAUACAAGUGAUAAAAAGAGAAUUUAAGGGUAUACAAGUGAUAAUUUUCAAGGGUAAAAUCGUCAAUUCACUGUAAUUCCGUUAACUUUCAAACGGCAACUAACGGUUUGGUGGUCGGCUGAUACAUUUUGUCAACUAAGGGUGGACGAUUGAUACACCCUCAAAGUGUUGUAGUAGUUUUGAUAACAGAGCAAAUAUAAGGUAUACGAAUGAUAAUUUUCCUUUAGUAUAAAAGCCUAUACAAAUGUACGUUUUACUCAAUGUUUACAUAGAAACAAAUGGCGCGAAGACGAUUUGUCAAUCUAGUACCACUCUCGUAUACUUGGUAAGAUUUGGCUUCACCAAAUUGUAGCCUAUAUUUUACUUUAAUGAGAAAAUCAAAUAAUAUAUGUUUGAACAAAUAAUUUUCUUUGCUCUAUAUACUUUCUUAAAAUGUAUGGAGUGGGUAAAGUAUAAAUUGAUCUCUUAGCCCGUUGACUCCUCCAAAAUUCAAACUCAAUUUAAUGGUAAGUUAAAUAAUGCUACUUGAAAAUCAUUCCACCAAAUAUCAUAAAAACUAUAAUUAAGUUUCACUGAUUAUUGAAUUAUAGAAUGUGCUAUCAUUUCCUAGCUAGAAUUUGUUUAAUUCUAUUAAUUUACAAUCAUUUUUAUUUUAUUUAAUUAAUUAAAGUGAAUUUAUUAUGUAUAAGUUCUAUAUAUGUAAAAUUUUAAAAUCUAAUGUUGAAUUGAAUUGUACUGAACUUUUUAUAAUUUUUUAUCACGCCUGCAAAUUUAACAGUUUUGUAUUAAUAUUGAUAGCACAUAAUAUAUAGGAUUAAGAGAGAUUGGUUUCGAGUUGCUACAAGCAUUUUGGGAUUGCAUGCACAAGGGUUUAUAAACAAAGGGUGCAAUUAAUUACCCCAAACGAGGGUGCAUUUUUAUGAUGAAAUAAAAACUACGUGCGGGGUUGUAAAAGUGGCUCCAUAAUUAAUGUACAUUAACAUUCAUCUAGCUAUCACCUCCGAAAAUGAUACAGCAUAAGCCGAGCAUUUUUCCAAUUGUGUUGUAGAUAAUAGUUCAAUCCCAAUUUCAUCAACUUGUUUUGAGAAAGGAGGCUUCUUGGGAGUAUUAAUAUUUGUGGUUCCAUUCUUGAGCAUUGAGGAAACUUCCAGCAUUGAAGGUCGGUCGUUUGGAUUCUCCUGGACACACAACAAAGCUAUUUCCAGACAUCUCAUUAAUUUACAAGGGGAAUUUGUAUUGUCUAGGAAUGAAUCCACAAACUCCACGCCUUUGCCACCUUUCCACAACUGAUAUGCCUGAAAUUAUCAAGUACCAUCUCGUUACAUAAUUUAUACUUCUUAAUUAAGUGCGCAUAUGUGUACUCAGGGUUACUAUAGCCGAAGAAACUUACGUGCUCUAGAAUGCUUAAAUUUUCAUUGAUGCCACAUAACACUGAAAGCCUCUUUCCACUUAUGAUUUGUAGAAGUAAAACUCCGAAACUAAAAACGUCUGAUUUGGUAGAGUAUACACCUUGUCUGGCGUACUCAGGAGGAAUAUAGCCUCUGCAUUCAAAAUAACCAAGUAUAUAUGAGUAAGGGAUUUUGCAAUUUAAUAAAUUUGUAAAACCCAUUUUAAAUUGUGGUAAAAGUCCAUUCCGCAUUUUAUUAAAGUGCUGAAUUCCUUAUUCGAAACCCAAUAUAUGUAUAACAAACAGAAGCUUGAGUAAAGGAUAUCAUUUAGUUGUGAUAUACUUACAUUGUUCCCACAACUUGUUCUGAUUCGCGUCGAGACUCUCUUUUGCAAAAAUUCUAGCCAUACCAAAAUUUGAAAUUUUAGGUUUCAUAUCUUGACCUAACAAAACAUUACUGGCUUUCAAGUCUCGAUGAAUAAUAGUCAGUCUUGAGUAUUCUUGGAGGUAUAAAAGUCCUUGAGUUAUCCCUUCAAUGAUAUGAACAUGUUUUUUCCAAUCCAAAAGAAGUCUUCUGAUGGGAUCUACAACAAAUAUAUAGUUUUGGACAAUAAGUGAUAUACAAGCGAAUUAUAUACACAAUUGAUAUUAACUUGAUUUCAGAACAAACCAAAAAGGUAGCAAUCCAAGCUUUUGUUUGGCAUGUAUUCGUAGACCAGCAUCCGUUCCUCACUGUCAAUGCAAAAACCUAAAACUCUAAUAAGAUUUACAUGUUGGAGUUUUGCAGUAAGAAUAACCUCAUUCUUAAACUCCUCAAAUCCCUGUGCGGAUGAUUUCGAAAGUUUCUUCACUGCUAUCACCACUCCACAGGGUAAUACACCCUGCAACCCAAAAAAAAACCACGUUCAUAUAAAGCUUUCACUAAUUAGAGACGCUGAGAAAUGUUAGCCAAACAAUAUGCUACCCCCCAAAGUUGAGGGCACCAUUUUAAGUCCUUUAGUCCCCAUGGACGCAAAAUGUAAAUCUCCUCUCACAGAAUAUGGAUAUGGGUAGAGGUAUCUUCCUCAAAUGUUAGUCAAAGUAGUUAUAUCCCUCUAGUGUGAGGUUAAAGGUCUCAUCUCUAAUAGGCAUAGAGUUUUAAAUUAUAUGUUUUGGGCCUCUGAAUUCUACGACGAGUGUACAAAUUCAAACUUCCGAUAGGAUCCAAAUUGCAACAUUGUGGAUUGUAACAAAUUAAAAUAUAGGUACACACACACACACACAUGUUACCUUGUAAACAGGACCAUAUCCACCCUCCCCAAGGUUAUUUCUAAUUGAAAAUCCCUCGGUGGCCGCCUCAAUAUCAGCCAAACUAUAUACUCUGAGAUUAGGAACAUUUCUGUUAAAGUCUCCAGCUUCUGUUUCAUUAUUUUCUCUCGUGUUUGAUGCUUUAGCAGAAUCCUCUGUUCCUAACAUCAACCAAGAGUAAAUAUUAGAUAAUUAAUUGUAUGUCAGCCUAAGUUUUAUAUAUAUAUGAAAUGCAUGCUUAAUUAUAAUUGGUAGCUGAAGCUUGUUACCUUCUAUUAACUUGAGCCUUUUCAUCUGGUUGUAUUUAUAUGCACAACAACUUAGAAGGAGAGUCAAAGCUGCCGCUGCAGUCGAAAUGAGUACCAAGGACAGAUGGCGGUUAUUACUAUGUUCAUCUUUGUCAGCUGAAGCAGAAGUAAUCCUGUCUUUUUGUGCUGGAAAUAUGUAUAGUUCAGCAAUUAAUAAUAACUAGCUAGAGAUGCCAUAACAAUCAUUAUUAAUCAGAGAGAACAAUUAUUGCAUAGAUAAAUACCUGCAGCUUGAGAAAGUACCCAAUUAUGAUCGUCAUAAUCAACUCGCCAAACAUAGUAACCAAGAAAUCUCUUCUCUUUGGCAUAGGCGAUCUUAGCUCUAACAGCCUCCACAUCAUCAAAACCAAACCAAAUCGUCCCAGUGGAGAAGUAAUUCACCACAUAAGUUGAAUUGUACAUAACUUGAACAUUAGGACCAUAGGUCUUGAUGUGAUUCUUGAUAUCCCUAUAGGUCACAAGGCCACCAUUACUCAUAGCUGGUCCUGCUGCUGCUACUCCAAUACCAUUGUCUUCAGGUUUCACAAGCGUCCAUGCAUAGCCGUAGAAAGGCAAACACAAAACCAACUUAUCAGCCAAUAACCCUCUCUAAAUCCAUGCCCUUAAAACCUGAUCAGUACUGUCAAAGAAGCUCAUAAUGCAUGGAAGGAUGCAGCACACGUGUGAGAUGAAUAUAGUCAGCUGAAUCAAUUGAAGAGUGGAGUGCCAGCUCAGCUGAAGUUAGUUAGACACGUUAAGAUCAAGUUUUAGUUAGUUCUUCAUUUUCUGUUAAGCUGAAAAACAGCUGAGUAUAAAUACAAGCAUAUUGUAAUCAUUUUGAGGUUAAGUAAAAAUAAAAUAAAGCAUUUGAUUCCAGAAUUUCUUUUACAAAUUUUCUUAGCACUUUAGAUACAUUUUCUCAGUAACCAAACAGUUUGUUCAUUCAAGCUUUUAAGCUUUCAAACAUGGUAUCAGAGCCUUACAGAGCUAGUUCCAGUAAUCAACAGUCAAGCCUUCGUAAUCAAACAACAAACAACACAAAUCAACCUACUCAAAUCAACUUCUCUUUUUCUAAUCCUAUCAAGCUAGAUCGAUCCAAUUACUUACUCUGGCGUUCUCAAGUUUUGGCCUCAAUAAGAGGCAAUCGUUUGGAAGAUUUCGUCACAAGAGCCAGAUCAGUACCUGAUAAGUGUCUUCUGUUAACUGAAGCAGAUGGAUCUACACAACAAGUUGAAAAUCCAGAAUAUCAGAUCUGGAGAUCACAGGAUCAGACACUUCUUGGCUGGCUACUGUUGUCAUUAAGUGAAGGUAUCUUAAGUCUUGUAAUCAAUUGUGAGAGUUCAUUUGAUAUAUGGAAAACUUUGGAAAAGAAAUUUGGAGUUCAAUCUGAAGCUCGAGUUCUUCAGCUCAGAUACGAACUAAACACUCUUAAAAAGGAAGCCCUUAGUGUUGAAGAUUAUUGUAUUAAAAUGAAAGCAAUAGCAGAUAAGCUGGCCAGUGCUGGUAGUUCAAUUACAGAGAAGGAUCUUAUGCUAACUAUUCUUAAUGGAUUAGGAUCAUGAUAUCGUGAUAUUGCUACAUUUAUAACUGGUUCACGAAUGGAGUUUGAUGAUGCUUAUGCACUGUUACUCACUCAUGAGACUAGAUUAGAGCAGGAGCAAGGUGACAAAAGUAUGUUUAAUGCAAACUAUGCAUACACAAAUGCAUAUUAUCCUAGAGCUUAUUUUGCACAGCCUAGAAGAAGUUUUAAACGAGGAGGUUAUUCUGGUGGUAGAACUCCUUUCUUUGGCAGAGGAAAUAUGAAUUACUCUCCAAGAAUGUUUAAUGGAGGCUUUAGAAAUGGAUAUGGCAGAGGAUUUUUUCCUGGAAAUAACUCAACUGAUUUCAAUCAUUUUCCAGCUCCUAGGAAUCCAGUACCUAGGAACUCAUCUUUUCCAGCUAGAAAUGGAUCUGCUAACAUGAGUGGAUCACAAGGAAGUUUUAAUAAUGCUGGAGAGAUGACAUGUCAGAUUUGUUUUAAGAAUGGCCAUACUGCUGAUGUCUGUUGGCACAGAUUUGUUGAAGAUUUUGUACCUGUUCCAAGAGGUUUUGGCAAGGGAAGAACACCAAGAGCAGCAUAUUUAUCAAACUUUGAUGGCUCCAUUUCUAAUCCAGAUUUUGGCUAUGAAAAUCUUAAUACUAUGUUUCCAGGUUAUGACUCUAUAUCUGGCAAUAGCUACUAUUCUGGAAUGGAUGGAUACACUUCUGGAGCAGCUAGAACAGCUUUCAUGGCAAAUUUUGAAGGGACUGCUGAUGAUGGAUGGUAUCUGGAUAGUGGGGCAACUCACCAUUUAACCAACAAUAUGGAGAAUUUGCAGAUCAAUGAAGAGUUUAAAGGUACUGAUUAGCUUAUCAUUGGAAAUGGUCAAGGUUUGUCUAUUACUCAUGUUGGACAUGCAUUUCUGGUAUUAAGAGCUUCUAAACCCUUAUCUACACAUGCUAGAAUAAAACUUAAAGAUAUGUUACUUGUCCCUUCAAUUACCAAAAAUCUAUUAAGUAUUUCUAAACUCACAUCUGAUAACCCUUUAUCUGUUGAAUUCUGUGGAAAUGCUUGUUUUGUGAAGGACAUGAAGGGUCAAGUUCUUCUGCAGGGUAUUGCUGAAAAAGGCCUUUACAAGCUGCUGCUGAACUCAAAUUCUCUUUCUUCAUCACCUACAUCUUAUCUUUGUAAAUCCCAGCCAAAUAAACUAGUCUCUAUGUUGUCUGCUUUCAAACACUCUGAUAAUGGUACUCGAGCUUGUUUUCAGUUUGUUUUAAAUAAGUGUAAUGCCAAACCUAAUGUAAUAACUUUGUUACAUAGAAAGUUUGGUCAUCCAAGCUCAAUGACAUUGAUGCAUUUGCUCAAAUCAUGUAAACAGUUUAAAGUCUCUCCAAAAGACAUGUUAUCUUCUGCAAGUACUUUAUGUGAAGCAUGUCAGCUAGGCAAAGUCCAUAAGCAACAUUUCUCAAUAACCGAAACAAAAACAAAAGAGGUAUUAGAAUUGAUCCAUACUGAUCUUUGGGGGCCUUCACCCACUGUGUCUAGAGAUGGAUACAAAUAUUACAUUAGUUUUGUGGAUGAUUACACUAGGUACUCUUGGAUCUAUCCUCUUAAGCUCAAAUCACAAGCAUUUGAAGUUUUCAAAUUGUGCAAAACUCAAGUUGAAAAUCAGUUUGAUACCAAAAUUAAGAUGCUACAAUCUGACCUUAGGGGAGAGUUUAGAGCAUUUACUGAUUUUCUCAAUCAAAAUGGAAUAAUCUUUAGGCACUCAUGUCCUUACAUCCAUCACCAGAAUGGUCUUGUUGAGAGGAAGCACAGGCAUAUAGUUGAACUAGGAUUAACCCUCAUGGCUCAAGCAAAUCUUCCUCUUCAAUUCUGGUGGGAAGCUGUUCAUACAGCAGUGUAUCAUAUUAAUAGAUUGCCUACCCCUGUUCUGAAAUUCUUAUCUCCUUAUGAGAAACUUUUCAAACACAAACCAGAUUACACAUUUCUAAAGUGUUUUGGUUGUCUUUGUUAUCCAUACUUGAGAGACUUUAACAAACAUAAGUUUGAUUUUCACACUUCUAAAUGCAUUUUUAUUAGAUACAAUCCCUCUUAUAAAGGAUACAAAUGCUUAGCAAGUUUUGGUAAAGUCUAUGUUCUUAGACAUGUCAUUUUUUAUGAAACACAUUCCCUUAUCCAAUAAACAUUGCAUUCUCAACAGAAAAUCACAUAUCUUCUAAAACCUCAGUGUCUAAUUUCUCUCAGCAACAUAUCUAUCAUCUUUCUACAAUAGCCUUACUCAACAGCAGCUUUGAAGGUCUUCAGUCAGCAAGCUCAGCAAGAAAUGAACAAAUGCCCUUUGGUCCCACACAUACAGAUGUUUUGAAUCAACAAGAACAUCCAUCACACACAUCCUUAGAGUUAUCAUCCUCAACCUCACCAUCACCAAACACAUUACUAAUGCAAUCAUCCAUUCUACAACCAGAGGAAACUUCUUCACAGAAUAUAGACCAAAUUCAAACCAGAAAUCAUUCCCAACCAUCUUCUCAUCCAAUGAUUACCAGAUCGAAAUCUGGAAUCUUCAAACCAAAGGUCUAUACAGUCACCUUAGCCAACAAAGAACCCAGUACAGUUCAAGAAGCUCUUAGUAGUCAGAAUUGGCAUCAAGCCAUGGUAGAUGAGUAUGAAGCUUUGAUGAAGAAUAAGACUUGGUCACUGGUACCAUUUUCAAAUGCAUACAAAGUAGUUGACAACAAAUGGGUGUUUAGACUCAAGCAAAAUACUGAUGGAAGCAUAGCCAAACACAAGGCCAGAUUGGUUGCCAAAGGUUUUCAGCAAACUGAAGGUGUGGAUUACUUUGAGACAUUUAGCCCAGUUGUAAAAGCUUCAACAGUGAGGAUUGUUUUGAGUUUAGCUGUGAUGCAUAAAUGGAAAAUAAGGCAAGUGGAUGUGAAUAAUGCCUUUUUGAAUGGAGAAUUGACAGAGGAUGUCUAUAUGUAUCAGCCUGAAGGUUUUAUUGAUCAACAAAAACCUAAUCAUGUAUGCAAGCUGAAGAAGGCCUUGUAUGGCUUAAAGCAAGCUCCUAGAGCUUGGUAUGACAAGCUUAAGAAUUGUCUGAUUGCUAAUUGGAAAUUUCAGAAUUCAAAGGCUGAUACCUCUCUUUUCUUCAAAGAAGUGCAGGGCUCAAUGAUACUCAUCUUAAUCUAUGUAGAUGACAUUCUAAUGACAGGACCUGACAAUGGUGAACUGGAGAAAUUCAUCUCAAAAUUCAGUAAGACUUUUGCUUUAAAAGACUUGGGAAUUCUGUCAUAUUUUCUAGGAAUAGAAGUGUCCUAUGCUGAAGAUUGCAUCUAUCUAUCUCAGAAGAAAUAUAUCUUGGAUUUGUUAUCCAAAGCUAAUAUGCAAAAUUGUAAAGGCUGUGACACUCCCAUAGUUACUGGAUCAAAGCUUCAGAAAGAAGUCACAGGCUGUUUGGGUCAAUAUAUUGAGGAUGCAACAAGCUAUAGAAGCUUAGUUGGAGGUUUACAAUAUCUAGUAUUAACCAUACCAGAGAUAGCAUUUGCUGUGCAUAAGUUGAGCCAGUAUGUGACAGCUCCAACACUCCAGCAUGUUAUGGCUUGUAAAAGAGUUCUUAGAUACCUCAAGGAGACUGCAGAUUAUGGUUUGAAGUUUUCAGCAGGUGGGGAAAUGAAGAUCACAGGAUUUACAGAUGCAGAUUGGGCAUGUGAUGUUGAUGACAGAAAAUCAAUAGGAGCCUAUUGCAUUUAUUUUGGAAGCAAUCUAAUUUCCUGGUCAUCCAAGAAGCAGGCUGUGGUUACACGAUCCAGUGCAGAGAGUGAAUAUCGUGCUCUUGCUUCUGCAAGUGCAGAGAUAACAUGGAUCCAGUCGUUAUUCAAUGAACUUAGCAUUAAGUGUACUUCAUUACCAACUAUCUGGUGUGACAAUAUAAGUGCAACAGAGUUGGCCAAGAAUCCAGUUUAUCAUUCAAGGACUAAACACAUUGAACUGGAUAUGCACUUUAUUAGAGACAAGGUUUUGGCAAAGGAGUUAGAGAUUAACUAUAUUCCCAGCGAGGAGCAAAUUGCUGAUGCUUUGACAAAGCCUCUGACAUUUAUUCAUUUCAACUAUUUCAGAGCCAAACUCAAUGUGCAACCAUGCCCCUUGAGUUUGAGGGGGACUGUCAAGGAAGCUCAUAAUGCAUGGAAGGAUGCAGCACACGUGUGAGAUGAAUAUAGUCAGCUGAAUCAAUUGAAGAGUGGAGUGCCAGCUCAGCUGAAGUUAGUUAGACACGUUAAGAUCAAGUUUUAGUUAGUUCUUCAUUUUCUGUUAAGCUGAAAAACAGCUGAGUAUAAAUACAAGCAUAUUGUAAUCAUUUUGAAGUUAAGUAAAAAUAAAAUAAAGCAUUUGAUUCCAGAAGUUCUUUUACAAAUUUUCUUAGCACUUUAGAUACAUUUUCUCAGUAACCAAACAGUCUGUUCAUUCAAGCUUUUAAGCUUUCAAACAAGUACUUCUAGCAUAGCCGCCGCUACUUGAGCCAUACAGAGCCGCAUGUGCCUCGGUGAAGUUUGUUGACAUAGGCUCGUAGUAUUCAGCUGUAACAACAUGAACCUAAUUCAAGUUUCGUUGCAUCGAUUUCAAAAGGUACGAAUUGUCUGGUGGUAAAUAACGAAAUCUUGCGGUCAGGAUCAGCUGGGAUUGCUGGCGGCCAGAGUUUUUUGCCUCUAAUUGUGUAGCAGCUCGGCACUCGUCAAAGAAUAAACCCGUAUUGGACAUAUCGGUGCUCGUGUUCGGAGCUUUCCAAGCAAAGUCUAGGCCCUGAAAGCCAUAAAGCCUAGCUAUUCUUAUUGAAGAGUCGAUGAAAGAUUUCCUGUGAGAAGAAUUUCUCACCAUUGAAGAAUAUAUAGAAUAGUUUGUAUAUCUUCCUUGUCUAAUGGAGAGAAGUGUAGUGGUUGAUGGGUUCUUUUGUUUCACAGUGCCUGUAAAUUUGGGGAAUAUUUGAUUUCCAUCAAACGGUGAUGAUAAAGAUAGCUGGUAAGUGGUGGAAUUGAUAUCAGCGUAAGAGCAGAUAAGGUGAGUGAAGAGAUCAUAAUUUAUGCCCGAAAUGGUGGACACUUCGCUUGGAUCCAAGUAGCCGACCCUGAUCCACGGUUUUGCUUUCGCGGGAUGAAAUUCUGAAUAGAACAACAUGUGGAAGAUGAUGCUGAUAAUUAUGGAUGCCAUUUGAGAGGCUUAUGCUUCUUAAUUACCACUUCGAUGGGAAUGGAAAUGAAUGCACACUAAUAGAAAUUAAAUAAACACAAGUUUCACAGUUCAUUAAGCUCUCAUGUGUACUAUUAACGUAUAGGUUCAUUUCGUUGCCCAAAAAAAUCUUAUGUGCUCCUGAUAGGGACACAUACAUUGGAUGAUAAGAUGAUGAUAGGCGAUGCGACCAUUGCCCAAGAACUAAGAUUUUCUUCUAUCGCGUGGGUGACUUUUCAUGAAGAAAAAUGAUGUUUUGAUUGACAUAUGGUUAAACCGAUGCCAUAUUUCGGGCUACAAAUAUCAGUAUUGUUUUAUUAAAUAAUUAAAAAAAUUAAUUUUACGUGCAUGUUGAAGGUAAUAUUGCAGUCUUUUGAGCCUGUGUUGAAUUUCAUUCGUGUGCGUUCAUUUAUUAUCUAUCCUCUUUUUUCUCUGUGUGUCUGCUAGCUCUAGUCAUCUUAAAAGAAUAACAUGUUUAAUUAAUGCAUGUAAAUGCACCGCAAAAGUAGUUAAGAAAGACUUGAUCAAAGAUCAGACAUUUUCUCUCUACUCAAAAAGUAGUUAUUGGACUAAUUAAGAUUCUAAUCCCUUUAAGAAAUAUUGAAAAAGGGUUACUGUCACUACUUCAGUCCUUGUUGUUACAUAUAUAUAUAUAUAUAUAUAUAUAUAUAAAUUUAAAGAAGCAUCACAUAAAUCCUUCCUAAUUAUAUUUUGUUUCAUUCAAGUUGUUGACUUAAUUUGUCUGCUUGGAAAAAUUAGUAAAAAGGUAAAAAUAAAAAAAUGUAAAUUCUACUUAUUAGACUAAAUAUAUAGUAUAAAUUUGCAGCAACCAGCAAAAGUUUGGAAUAUGAAAAAUCCUAUUAAUUUUUAAAAAAUCUCCGAAAGUUUGAAAACUAAUAUUUUAAGGUCCUUUUACAAUAACCAUAAUUAACAUGAAUUUACUAAAUUAGGCAAACCCGAAUUACUACCAUAUAAUAAAAUUUUAUAACAGAAAUAAGAAAACAAAACAAAUAGCAUCAAAUCUUAUAUCUAAAAAAAAAUCUUGAAAUAAAUAGAAAAAAUAAGAAAAUAACUAAAACUUGCAAAAUGACCAUGAAAGAAAUGAAAUUUCCGACUGAACCAAAGGGCCAAUACACAUAGCAUUAUUGGACUAGAUCUAUCAUGGUGCAAACUUCAAAACAGUAUAUUAUAUUUUCUAAAUGGACACAUAUAGGUUAAGUUAUGAUAUUAAAAAAUAUCCUAUUCAUCUUACACAACCAUUCUAUGUCACUAUAUCUAUACACUAAUAAUAUAACCCAAACAUUUAUGGAGCAUAACUCACAGACCUCCACUAAUUACACUAAAGUUUACUCUCAUUUUAUAAGAGAGAGAAAUGUUCUCGUUCUCCAUUUAUGGGGGAUUAAACCAAAUGGUCUGUUUUUGAUUUUCUGGUAAGUUGUGUAACGUUGGAGCUUUUUGGCACUUCUUUGACGAAAAGUCGUUCUCUUCGACAACCCAAAAUUCGGGCCAAUGGGCAAUUAUGAAAGUCCAUUGGAUGCAUUGGACCAAACUAAAAGUCCAUAUAUAUAUGUAUAUAUAUAUAUAUAUUCAAUAAAUGAAAUGAAAAAAUGCAAUUGGCUUGCAGUUGCAAAGCUUCUUUGUUUAUUAUUAUAUAAUAUAAUAUAAUAUAAUUUUAUAUCAUUUUGAAUAUCAAAAUUUUAUUUCAAAAUUUAUUUAACACUAGUGUUUAAUAUAAGAUACAAUACUACCAAAAUUCUAUUCAAUAGUUUAUUUAAAAUAGUAUUGACUAUUAAAAAUAAGAAUUUACACUAAUAUUAAAUAUUAAAUUCAACAAUUAGUAACAUUAUUUAAAAUAAUUAUAGUAUUUAAAUGGUUAUUUAUCUUUAUUAAAUAAGAUUUAACAUAAUCCUCUGCGACAUUUUACUAAAUAAAUACAGUACUAUAUAUAAUCCAAUCUAAUCUUAAACAAUAAUCUAUUCUAUUCCUACCUUCCAAAUAUAAACACAAUAGAUAAUGAGAGCAUGAGCUAUGAGAUUAUAAAUCAUGGAUCAAGGGAGUAGAGAUACAGACCUUGAGAUCAUAGAUCGUAGACUAUUAGAGACUAAAGACCGUGGACAAAUCCGAGUACAUUAAAAAAAGGGGAAUUUUAGUCAAAUGUAGAUUGAUAUUAAGGAAUUCAGCAAGCAAGCUACAAGAAUAUCCAAAAGCGUGUAAUUUAUGUUUAAGGAAACAAGUGGAGAUAGAGAUGAAAUUGUAAAUUCAUCCCAAUCUUAAGUGGCUUAAUUCAAGAUGUAUGUUACCUACAAGCACAAUAAUAUGUACACGUUAUGUAUACAUGCAUCACAUACGUGCGUCGAUCAUCGAUGUAAAAGUAACAGUAAAUUUCUAGUAAAACAAACAUCAUUACUUUUAGUAUAAGAUGUAAAAAAUAUCAAUUAAUAACCAUUAGAAAAUAAAAAUUUAUGUAAUUGAUGCAGAUAAAUGGAAUCAAGUAGUAACAUUUCCUUCUCAUUGAAGAGAAAAGAUUAAAAAAAAGAAAAGGGGGGGGGGGGGGGGGGGGGAGGAGCGCAAACAUGACAAUUAUUUUUAUCCGCACGUGCCAUGAUAAUCGAUAAUCCGAUAUACCAACCGCGUCUAAUUGUCUGAAUUCUCAAGCUUAUCAAGCUUGCUCAAUCGCACCGCAGACACUGACCAUGGGAGAUUAAUCACCACUCGCAGUAUUAGGCGCGUGAAGGACACAUUCGCCAAUAAUUUAUAGCGGACAGUAGCAUUCCCGAUGCUGCGCGGAGAAAAAUAGUUGGGCUUGCGAAAGUUAAAUUGACUUGACUCGACAGAGUGAAGAAUGGUGGUGGUUGCUGUUAAGCAGUCGGUACUUCUGGCGACUGCUUGGCUUACACGCAGUUCCCGGGGGUGUCAUUUGACUGUGAAAGAGAAUUUUGGCUUUAUUGAUAUCUUGUUGGAUUUGGAAUUUUGGAUGGCUUCGUGUAGACCAUAAGACACGAUAUCGUUCAUAACACGUUAGCAUUCUUUCUCACGGGAGAAAAACUCGGGUGGGAGCAGAUGUACCAUCUCAACUGCCGUUUAUAAAUGGCUGUCAAAUAAUUAAUCAAAAUUUUAUUAUUUACGGUUAUAAUUGGAAUGAUAAAAAAUCAAUUCGAUGUUAUUCUUUGUGGCUCUGCUUAGAAUACUAAAAAAUCAAAUCGACUUAUUUAUUUUUAUAUUGAUCAUUACAAGUCUCUUGAAUUUUUUACCUACUUCAUUAACUUGUUAUUUUGAGUUGUACGUAACAUGGCUUUUUUUGUUUUUUACUUUACUUUGGUUUUCUUUAUAACCCAUAAAAAUUUUCUUGUUAAGACUGUGUGAACCAAUUGAAACUUCAGAUUCAUACUAGAACUAUGAUGAUUUGAUAAGAGCUUCAAAUUAAAUCCACAGAUUCUAUGAAAAGAAAAGAAAAGAAAAAGUCUUUUAUUGGUAAAAGAAGAAAGCUCUUCGGCACUGAUCCGAAGAAAAAUCAUUCUCCAUACAAUGAGCAAAACAAAGUCCAAUUCGCAUUACAUAGAAGUAAAACCGAAGCAUUGGACUAAAAGCAUACAUUAGUCUUAUUUUUCGUUACUGAUAACAUUUUUUUUCCCUUAUAUUAUCACCUUAAUUAAGAAAAAUAAUAAUUUGUUUAACUAAUUACAAAAAAGGAUGGCUAUAUACAAUAUUCUUGUGUUGGAUGGCCUUAAAAGUCAAUUCUUUUGAAACAGGAAAACUGGUAUCGUUUUUCAAAACACAAAAAUAUUAUGUUAAGAAAAUGAAUGGUCUUUAAGAGUUAUGACAAUGAUAUCAAUAAAAUUACAAAAUCUUAAGAGUUUAUAGAUGUAGUUAGUGAUAUUACAUUACAUUAAUUAAUACAAUGCAAAUUGUUUACUAAUAGAGCCUCAGGAGAGUGAUUCAUUAUUUAGUUGGCCAAUUAAACAACUGCAGCAGUCACUAGCAGCUUGCCAAGAGCUAGCAUAGAUCAAUUGUUCAUCUACCAACCAAUUUUGAAAUUGUUACAUCAUUACUUGAACAUAUUUCCAAUCCAAUCGUGGCUUUGUUUUGUUCAUCUUCAUAAGCUUUGUUUGAGAAACUUGCAGGCUUCUUUGGAGUCAUUAUAUCAGCUGUAUUUUCAUUUUCGAUCAACGAAGAAAUUUCUAGUAUAGAAGGUCUAUUGUUUGGGUUCUCCUGAACACAUAGCAAAGCUACUUGCAGACAUGUCAAUAAUUUCCAUGAGGAAUGCGUAUCAUCUAGUGAUGGAUCCAUUAACUCCGUGCCUUUCCCAUCCUUCCACAACUCGUAUGCCUGAAAACAUCAAAUAUGUUAUUGACUAACAUUCAAUUAAUUAGCACUGUAAUGUUUUGAUUCAGUGAAUAUUAAAAAGGGGGUUAUGAAGAAACUUACAUACUCUACAAGGCUUAGAUUUUCAUUUUGACCAUAUCGAAUGAAAAGUCUUCGCCCACUUAUAAUUUGCAGAAGCAAAACCCCAAAACUGUAGACAUCAGAUUUAGUGGAGUAGAUGCCUCUUCCGACAUAUUCAGGAGGGAUAUAGCCUCUGUAGUAUCAAGUAAUUAUAAAUGUCAGUGUUUGACAUAAAAGAUUAAGUUGAUUGGUAAAGGUUCAACAAUAAUAUUAAAGGCAUGUCAGACAAUAAUAGACAAAUAUACACUUACUGUGUUCCAACAAUUCGAUUUGUGUUUGCUUCAAGAUCAUCUUUCACAAAAAUUCUAGCCAAGCCAAAAUAUGAUAUUUUAGGUGUCAAAUCUUCAUCCAACAAAAUAUUACUAACUUUUAAGUCUCGAUGAAUAAUUGUUAAUCUAGAAUAUUCUUGGAGAUAGAGAAGCCCCUGAAUAAUUCCUUAAAUGAUAUAAAUACGUUUUUUCAAAUCCAAAAUAAGCCUUCGGAUGGGAUCUGCAUCAAAUGUAAACUUAGUUGGACGGUCAGCACCAUUAGCAUUUGGAGACAGAGAAAUGCAAAUUGAGGCACAAAAAUUAGAAAUUAAGCAGUUAAGCACACACCAAAAAGGAAAUAGUCUAAGCUUCGUUUUGGCAUAUACUCAUAGAUGAGCAUAUAUUCUUGCGUGUCGAUGCAAAAACCCAAAACUCUGAUCAAAUUUAUGUGUUGAAGCUUUGCAGUAAGCAUAACCUCAUUCUUGAACUCCUCAAAUCCUUGUGUGGAUGUCUUCGAGAGUUUCUUCACUACUAUUAUUUGUCCAUCAGGUAAUGCACCCUGCAAGCACCCCCCAAAAUAUAUGUUUUUUUAAAAAUCAGUGUGUUCACACACACACACACGUAGCUUGCACUAAUUAAUUAAUAAGCUAAGAGAUAACCAAGCUACCGAUACAUAACCUUGUAAACAGGACCAUAUCCACCCUCCCCGAGCUUAUUUUCGAUUGAAAAUCUAUCCGUGGCCACCUCAAUAUCAGCCAAGCUAUAUUCUCUCAGAUCAGGAUCAUUGCUGUUAAAAUCUCCAGCAUCUGCUUGACUAUUUUCGCUGUCCUUUGAUGCUUUGGCUGAGUCAAUUACGGUCCAAUUAAUAUCAACCAAGAGAAAGAAAGCUAAUUUAAGUGAAUUGCCCACUUCUUCAUCUGUGUUAAAUGGAAUAGAAGUAAAAAUAUUCCUAAUCCCGUGUAGAAGAAGUUACCUUUUAAUUUGAGGUUUUUCAUCCAGCAGUAGUAAUACAGUAAAAAACCAAUUAGAAGAAUACAAGCUGCCGUUAUAGGGAAAACAAUUGCCCAUAAUAGUCGCUUAUUUUGUCGAUUCUUAUUUUCCUCUUGAGCUGAAAAGUCAAAUCACUUUGUGUUAGUUAAACAUUUGAUGGUCAAAUAAAGAUCUUAAUUGAAGUCAUUAUGCAGAGAACUGAUCAAAUGGAUAGCAGGCAGUGACUGAGGCUUUGCAUUUGCUUACCUGCAGCUUGAGAAAGCAUCCAAUAAUGAUCAUAGGAAACUAGCCACACAAAGUAACCACGUAGUUUCUUCUCCUUGGCAUAUGAAACCUUCACUCUAACGGCUUCGACAUCAUCAAAACCAAACCAAAUCUUCCCAAUCGAGAAGUAAUUCAUCACAUAAGUUGAAUUGUACAUAACUUGAACGUUAGGACCAUAGUGCUUGAUGCGAUUCUUGAUUUCCUUAUAAGUCACAAGGCCGCUAGAAUACAAAGCUGGUCCUGUUGCUGCUGCACCAAUACCGUUGUCCUCAGGUUUCACAAGCGUCCAUGCAUAGCCAUAGAAAGGUAAACAUAAAACCAAUUUAUCAGCCGAUAACCCUUCCUCAAUCCAUUCCGUGAUUCCGUAUUCAGUAUUGGAGAUACUAUUUGGAUCAUACAGAGCCGCGUGAGCACCAGUAAAAUUUGACCACAUAGGUUUUGUGUAUUCAGUAGUCAAAACAUGAACCCAAUUCAAGUAUUGACUUAUCGAGUCGACUGGGUAAGCUCCUGCUCUUGAGAAUGGUGAAUAUGCGACCAUUGCCGUCAAAAUCAACUGUGAUUGGCUCGAGUUAUUUCUUGCUUCUAAAUCUACGGCUGCUCGCCACUCUUUAAAGAGAAUGCCAAUAUUGUACUUAUCCCAGCUUGUGUUUGCCUGAGGCCAAGAGAGAUCUAAGCCUUGAAAGCCAUAAAGUCUUCCUAUUUUUAUUGAGGAGUCAAUGAAGGAUUUCCUAGAAGAAGGAUUGCUCGCCAUGGAAGAAUAAGUUGAAUAGUUUGCAUCAUUUCCUCCGAUGGAAAGAAGUGUAGUGAUUGAUGGGUUCUUUAUUUUGACAGUGUCAGUGAAGUUAGAGAAUUGUUUUUCAUCAGAAGGUGAUAAAGAAAGCUCAUAGGAAGUUGAAUUCGUUGAAACAAAAACAAACGUUAUGCCUUUGAUCGUGCAUUUCCAAAUAAACACAUAUUUUAGGUAAUUCCGAAAUUUACCACGAUCUCCCAUGAAUCCGAACUUGCAGCUUGUUAUGGAGCUUCAACAGAGUUGCUGCUGCUUCGGUCUAGCUUCUGAAUUCCGCUUUCUUUUCCUUCAGCUCCAGAUUCGGCUUUUCUCAGUAAGUUACUGUACACACACGGGAGAGAAACGGGAGAGAGAGAGAUGCACUGCACUCAUGCCAGAGAUUUCUUGAACAGUCAACUUCCAAUGGGCUGAAGUUACUUAAAUACAGUGGUUGAGCGCAGGGAACCCUCAUGUGUUAGUACAAAAUUACCCAUCCCAUUAUGGGCUUAAAUAACACAAUUAAGGAUAUACUUGUCCAUAAUAUACUACUGUACAGGGUAUGUCAAAAUUAGACUCAUUAACACCAUAUUUGAUCACUUAAUAAAUGAGUCUGUCAAAAUUGCUCAACAAUAUUUGACUUUAGUCACGUAUUAAUUCGGUAAAAUAUAGAAAAUAAUUAGAAUGAUUUAUGUCAGUCCACAUAAUGUGAGAAAUAAAUCUAACAGAAUUGACAUUAGCAAAACCACAUAUAAGGUGAGUGAAAAGAGCAGAAUUUACAUCUGAAACGGGGAACCCGUUGCCUGAAUCCCAGUAACCAGCUCUGAUUAAAGUUUGUGUUCCUGCAGGAAGCGAUUCUGAAAAUAUAAAAAUGUGGAGGACAAGAAUGAUAAUUUUGGAUGCCAUUGUGGGAACCUAGCUGCUUUGAGGCAUACCUAGUAAGUGAUUACAUAUAUAUGUACACACACAAUGUAAUGGAGAAAAUAUCCGAUAGCGAUUGAGAUUAGUUAUUGGACUAUAAUACAAACCUGAGGCAACUUUCAGCUCAUGAGCUUAUCUCAUAGGUCUUUAUACGAUAUCAAAGUCAAGUUACGAACGAGUGAUUCUAUACUACCUUUUAAUUUAACAAGGAGAAAGAUAAGAGAUCAACCUACACGUGACAGGGUGAUAGAAAAAAUUUAUCACAUUAGCUAAGAUUAAUUACUAUGUUAAUGAUAUAAGCUCAAAACAACACUCAACUCAAUAACAAGUUGUAAUUUAAUAAAGUUAGGUCAACUCGAUAUUUUAUAGAGUAUGUCGUGAGUGAGGAGGAGUUUAAGCAACAAAUCGAGCUCAUGAGUGAGGACACGUUUGAUUUUCACAAGAUUUUGCGUUUUGUGCACGUUGGUCAUGGACUGAAUCAACUUAGAAAAUAUUUUCACAAGAUUUUGCCUUCCAAUUGCAUGGAUGGAGUUAUAGAGGAAUACAUCGAAAAGUUCGUCUUCUUGCCAUGAUGAUAAGUGAAAAGAUUGAGGUUCUUAAAUUAAGCUAUGACCUUUUACCUCCACUUAGCUUGACUUUUGAAGCUGAAGACUCGUUCUUUUGUAUUGACUUUGUUGGUAUUUAAAUGACCUCGGAGUCUUGGACGUGUUUCUGAAGCAAUGUCAUGGUCUAUGAGUAGAUUUUUUUUUUUGGGUAAGAAAGGGAAAGUCUGUCGUUGGGAAAACAUCCUGACAACGGGAUGGUGGGAGGGAAAAAAAAAAAAAAAUUAUACACUUAGGGUCUGUUUGGAAAAAUGAUUAUAGGGUAUUAUAAUACUAUUCAUAUUGACUUAAUAUCAAUACUAUUCACAUCGAGUUUAGCUUAAUGUGGUAGUUGCCGCAUUAACGUUUUGCUUUUGUUUUUUUUUUUUUACUUUUGCUUUUUAAUAAUAAUAAAUAAUUAUAACUUUUUAAUUUAAUAUAUUAUUAUAUAAUAUCAAUUAUUAUUUUUUAUUUUUACCUCAAAAUUAUUAAAAUAAAUUAAUAAUUUUAUAAUUUAUUAUUCAUAUUUUAAUUUUUAUUAUAUUAAAAAUAUAACUAAAUAAUGUAUUAUUUAAUUAUAUAAUAAUUAAUAUAUAAAAUUAAUUAAUAUUUAAUAAGUUAAUAUAACUAACAAUAAGUACUUAAAUAAUAUAUAAAAAUUGAUUAUUAUUUAGAAAUUUAAUAUAACUAACAAUAAAUAUUUAUAUAUGAAUAAAUUUAAAUAAUAUUAAUUUAAAAUUAAUAUCAACAAAAAUAAUAACGUAAAAUAUCAUUAUGUUAUGAUAUUAUUUAGAGAUUAUUUGAUUAAAUUAUUUACUUCGAUCUUUAUUUCACAUGUUAUAUAUUUAGAAAAUACUGAAAAAUAAAUGUUAUGCUGCCGAAAAUAUAAGGCUAUAAGUUUCGAUCUUUACAAAAAAUUGUGAUGCUUUUUAACAUUUAUACUAAAAAAUAAUGUUAAAUUUCUAAAAUUUAAGACUUAUAUAUUUAGUAGUUUUCUAGGUACUAUAAAUAUUAUUUCCUAAAUAUAUAAUUUAAGUUAAUCACAAAAAAUUAAUACAAUAUAGUGUAGCAUCAAACGUUGUAUAACAUUAUUAUAAUAUAGUGCUAAUACAAUACAGCAUAAUGCAAUACACAUCCAUUAAAAUAAUAUAACAUAGUGUGCUAAACUCACCAUUAAUUACUUCCUAAUGUUAAAAUUCAGUAGUAUUGUAAUUUUAAUAAAAAAUUGAGACCCUUUUAUCAUUUAGAUGUAAUAUACUUACAUUGUUCCCACAACUUGUUUUGUAUUCGCUUCGAGACUCUUUUGCAAAAAUCCUAACCAUACCAAAAUCUGAAAUUUUAGGUUUCAUAUCUUGACCUAACAAAAUAUUACUAGCUUUCAAAUCUCGAUGGAUAAUAGUCAGUCUUGAGUAUUCUUUGAGGUAUAAAAACCUUUGAGUCAUCCCUUCAAUGAUAUGAACACGUUUUUUCCAAUCCAAAAUAAACCUUCUGAUGGGAUCUACAACAGAUAUAUAGUUUUAGACAAUAAGUGAUAUGCAAAUGAAUUAUAUACACAAUUAAUAUUAACUUGAUUUCAGAACAAACCAAAAAGGUAGCAAUCCAAGCUUUGUUUGGCAUGUACUCGUAGACUAGCAUUCGUUCCUCACUGUCAAUGCAAAAACCUAAAACUCUAAUAAGAUUUACAUGUUGGAGUUUUGCAGUAAGUAUAAUCUCAUUCUUAAACUCCUCAAAUCCCUGUGUGGAUGCUUUCGAAAGUUUCUUCAUUGCUAUCACCUCUCCGCAGGGUAGUAUACCCUGCAACCAAAAAACAAAUGUUCAUAUAAAGCUUGCACUAAUUAAAUAAGUUGAGAAAUGUUUGCCAAACAAUAUGUUUCCCUCCAAAGUUGAGGGCACCAUUUUAAGUCCUUUAAGUCCCCAUAGACGCAUGAAUCUCCUCUCAGAAAAUAUGGAUAUGGGUAGACAUAUCUUCCUAAAUAUUAGUAGAAGUAGUUAUAUCUCUCUAGUGCGAGGUCAGAGGUCUCAUGUCUAAUAGGUAUAGAUUUUUAAAUUAUAUGUUUUGGGCCUCUGAAUUUUACUCUAAGUGUAUGAAUUCAAAGUUCCGACAGAAUCCAAAUUGUAACAUUUGUGGAUUUUGUGUGUGUGUGUGUGUUAACUUGUAAACAGGACCAUAUCCACCUUCCCCUAGCUUAUUUCUAACUGAAAAUCCCUCGGUGGCCGCCUCAAUAUCAGCCAAACUAUAUACUCUGAGGUUAGGAACAUUUCUGUUAAAGUCUCCAGCUUCUGCUUCAUCAUUUGCUCUCGUGUUUGACGCUUUAGCAGAGUCCUCUGUUCCUAACAUCAACCAAGAGUAAAUAUUAGAUAAUUAAUUAAAUUUCAGUCUCAGUUACAUGUAUAUGAGUGAAAUACAUACUUAAUUAUAAUUAAUAACUGAAACUUGUUACCUUCAAUUAAGUUGAGCCUUUUCAUCCUGUUGUAUUUAUAUGCACAAAAGCCUAGAAGGAGAGUCAAAGCUGCCGCAGCAGUCGAAAUGAGGACCAAGGACAGACGCCGGUUAUUACUAUGUUCAUCUUUGUCAGCUGAAGCAGAAGUAAUCCUGUCUUUUUGUGCUGGAAAUAUGUAUAGUUCACCAAUUAAUAAUAACUAGCUAGAGAUGCCAUAACAAUCAUUAUUAAUCAGAGAGAACAAUUAUUGCAUAGAUAAAUACCUGCAGCUUGAGAAAGCACCCAAUUAUGAUCAUCAUAAUCCACUCGCCACACAUAGUAACCAAGCAAUCUCUUCUCUUUGGCAUAGGCGAUCUUAGCUCUAACAGCCUCCACAUCAUCAAAACCAAACCAAACCGCCCCAGUGGAGAAGUAAUUCACCACAUAAGUUGAAUUGUACAUAACUUGAACAUUAGGAGCAUAGUUCUUGAUGUGAUUCUUGAUAGUCCUAUAGGUCACAAGGCCAUCAUUAGUCAAAGCUGGUCCUGCUGCUGCUGCUCCAAUACCAUUGUCUUCAGGUUUCACAAGCCUCCAUGCAUAGCCAUAGAAAGGCAAAGACAUAGCCAACUUAUCAGCCGAUAGCCCUCUCUCAAUCCAUGCCUUUAAAACCUGAUCGGUACUUUUAGCAAAGCCGCCGCUACUUGAGCCAUGGAGAGCCGCAGGUGGCGCAGUGAAGUUUGUUGACAAAGGCUCGUAGUAGUGUUCAGUAGCAACAUGAACCCAAUUCAAGUUUCGUUGCAUCGAAUUCACAAGGUACGAAUUGUCUGGUGGUGAAUAAUGAAACCUUGCGGUCAGGAUCAGCUGGGAUUGCUGGCGGUUAGAGCUUUUUGCCUCUAAUUUUGUGGCAGCAGCUCGCCACUCGUCGAAAAGUAAACCAAUAUUGAGCAUAUCGGUGCUUGUGUUAGGAGAUGUCCAAGCAAAGUCUAGGCCCUUAAAGCCAUAAAGCCUAGCUAUUCUUAUUGAAGAGUCGAUGAAAGAUUUCCUGUGAGAAGAAUUUCUCACCAUUGAAGAAUAUAUAGAAUAGUUUGUAUUUCUUCCUUGUCCAAUGGAGAGAAGUGCAGUGAUUGAUGGGUUCUUUUGUUUCAUUUGUUUCACAGUGCCUGUAAAUUUGGGGAAUAUUUGAUUUCCAUCAAAUGGUGAUGAUAAAGAUAGCUGGUAUGUGGUGGAAUUGAUAUCAGCAGAAGAGCAAAUAAGGUGAGUGAAGAGAUCAUAAUUUAUGCCCGAAAUGGCGGAAACAUCGCCUGAAUACAAGUAACCGACCCUGAUCCACGGUUUUGCUUUCGCGGGAUGAAAUUCUGAAUAGAAAAACAUGUGGAAGAUGAUGCUGAUAAUUAUGGAUGCCAUUUGAGAGGCUUAAGCUUCUUAAUUAUUACCACUUCGAAGGGAAUGGAAAUGAAUGCACACUAAGAGAAAUUAAAUAAACACAAGUUUCACAGUUCAUUAAGUUCUUAUGUGUACUAUUAACGUAUAGGUUCAUUUCGUUGCCCAAAAAAAAUCUUAUGUACUCCUGAUAGGGACACACACAUUGCAUGUUAAGAUGAUGAUAGGCGAUGCGACCAUUGCCUAAGAACUAAGAUUUUCUUCUAUCGCCUGGGUGACUUUUCAUGAAGAAAAAUAAUGUUUUGAUUGACAUUUGGUUAAACUGAUGACAUAUUUCGGGCUACAAAUAUCAGUAUUGUUUUAUUAAAUAAUAAAAAUAAUAAUUUUACGUGCAUGUUGAAGGUUAUAUUGCAGUCUUUUGAGCCUGUGUUGAAUUUCAUUCGUGUGCGUUCAUUUAUUAUCCAUCCCCUUUUUUCUCUGAGUCUGCUAGCCGUAGUCAUCUUAAAAGGAUAACAUGUUUAAUGCGUGUAAAUGCACCUCAUAAGUAGUUAAGAAAGAUUUGACCAAACCAGAUAAUUUUCCUCUUAACACAGAAGUAGUUAUCGGACUAAUUAAGAUUCUAAUCCAUUUAAGAAAUAUUCAAAAAGGGUUAUUGUCACUACUUUAGUCCUUGUUGUUUUAUUAAAGAAAAAAAAAAGAUAUUUAAAGAAGCAUCACAUAAAUCCUUCCUAAUUACAUUUUGUUUCAUUCAAGUUCUUGACUUAAUUUGACUGCUUGGAAAAAUUAGUAAAAAGGUAAAAAUGAAAAAAAAAAUGUAAAUUCCAGUUAUUAGACUAAAUAUAUAUAAAUUUGCAACAAGUAGCAAAAGUUUAGAAUAUGAAAAACCCUAUUUUGUUUACGAAAUAAAGGAAAUUCGAAUCAUUUUCAAAAAAAAAAUCUCUAAAAGUUUGAAAACUAAGAUUUUAAGGUCCUUCUAGACUAACCAUAAAUAACAUGAAUUUACCAAAUUAAGCAAACUCGAAUUAUUAUUACACAAUAAAAUUUUACUAAUGGAAAUAAGAAAACAAAAUAAAUAACACUCAAAUUCGAUGUCUAAAAAACAAAGAUAAAAAUCAUGAGAGCAAUAGAAAAAAAAUAAAAUAAACUAAAACUUGCAAAAUGACCAUGAAAGAAAUAAAUUUUUUUGCUGAACCAAGGGGCCGAUACAUAUAGCCUUAUUGUACUAGAUUCAUCUCACUGCAAGUUUCAAAACAAUAUAUUAUAUGUCUUAAACAAACUCUUGUAAAUUAAGUUAUGACCUUAAAAAAUAUCCUACUCAUCUUACAUAAAUAUCCUAUGUCACUAUAUAGCUAUACAAUAAUAAUAUAAUCCAAACACUUAUGGAGCAUAACUCACGCACCUCCAUUAAUAACCGUGAAAUUUACUCACAUUUUAUAAGAGAGAGGAAUGUUCUCAUUUAUUGGGGAUUAAACCAAAUAGUCUAUCUUCGAUAUUUCUGCUAGGUUGUGUCAGGUUGGGCUUUUUAGAAUUUCUUUGACGAAAAGUCAUUCUCUUCAACAGCCAAAUCUUGGGCCAGUGGGCAAUUAUGAAAGUCCAUUGGAUGCAUUGGACCAAACUAAACGUACAAUUUUUUUUUUCUUACAAAAAAAAAAUUAGAGUUGGACUAUUGACACCCCUCUCAUCUCCUCAUAAAACCCCCUUUUUAGUUAUAUUUAUUUUAUUUUAGAAAAUGCCCUUUUUUAGAUACACGUUUCUAAGUUUUUAAUUUUCAUUUGAUUUGUUUUAUUGUUAAAACUCAAAGUAUUAUUGUGUUAUUUUUUAAUUAUUUUCAAUUUUAUUAUUAAUCUACAUACAAAUUAAAAAUUUAUAUGGGUGAUAAGUUUUUUAGUGUUAAUCAUUGGUUGAAAUAACACAUAUUUCAAAUUAUAAUUUCAAAGCAAUUUUAAGUAUAAAAAUAUUUAAUCAAUAAGAAAUCAAAAGAGAAUAAUAGAUUAUUCUAAAUUUGUACAAUUUAUUUUAGUUAAAUAGGAAGUAAAAUAUAAAUUUUUUUAAAAAAUGAUUGAUUAUGAAUUAAGUAAUUUGCUGGGAAAAAAAAUCUAUAUAUGUUUAAUUUUCAAUUGUCUUUAAUUGUAAUUUUAUUUAAAGUGGUGUUUUGUAAGAAUAAUGUAGGGGUGCCAAUAGCUCCACUCAAAAAAUUAUAUCUAUAUAUUCUCUUCAACAACCUAAAACUGGGCCAAUGGGCAAUUAUGAAGUCCAUUGGAUGUAUUGCACCAAACUAAAAGUCCAAUUUUUUUUAUUACUACAAUAUAUAUAUAUAUAUAUAGUAGUUUUCUAAUUAGGGAUUCCUGACUUUAAUAAAGUCAUGGAUCAGCUAAAAGACAAAUAUACAGUGCAUUGGAGUCUGUGUUUAUUUUGUCUUUUAGCUAAUUCCUGAUUUUAUUAAAGUCAGGGAUCCCUGAUUGGAAAACUACUAUAUAUAUAUAUAAACAAAUGUUUUAAUUUAGAAUUUUAAAGUGCGGGAUAGUAUAUAUAUAUAUAUAUAUAAACAAAUGUUUUAAUUUAGAAUUUUAAAGUGCGGGAUAGUCUGGAAUAUGCAGUUUUAAAAACUUAAAACUGUAAGCCUUUAAAACCAUACAAUUUUAAAUUUUUCUCAAAUUUUCUCGUACUUUAAAAUUUCAUACUAAAAAACUACUACAUAUAUCAAUAAAUGAAAUGACACAAUACAGUUGGCUUGCCGUUGCAAAGCCUCUUUGUUUGUUAUUAUUUAUUGGCUUAUUGCAAUAAAGACUAAAGAGAGCUUUGAGCCAUGCAGCAUGGGAAGCUACAUUAAAAAAUAAAAGAAUUUAAAGCUUCAAGGGCAUAAAGCGUGCCCACCCAAUUAAAUUUUUCUUUAAAAAAGAAAAAAAAAGGCUGCAAUUGCAAUGACUUGAAUUUAUCAUCAAUUCUGGCUUAAUUUGCCCCCGUCAUUUUUUCAAGGAGAAUGUCCAACUCAAUUGUGACGGCUACUGCUUCAAUUUUAAUUUUAUUUUUCUCAAGAAUAGUCAUUUUCAUCCACCAUAUUCCUGCAUCCUGAUGCGUCCUUAUUGCUUAUAUUAUUAUAGACCACUUUUGGAAGCAUAACAAAUUUUGCACACAUGGUAUCCAUCUUGCGGACCCAAAUGUUGAUGAUAUACUUGCAUGCUGCAAAAUAAGCCCUUUUAAUAACUUAUCAUCUGGUAAAUGAUAGUUUAUUUAUUUAUUACAUAACAAAUAUGUUAUGCCAUAUGCCACCUAUUAGUGAAAGAUGUUUAAAUAACUACUCUUGUAGUAAACUCCUGAAUGAUGGCAAGUUAGAUUUAUACUUAAUGCACUAACUUCGAUAUUAUUUUUUUUUUACAUGGUAAUUAUUUUCUUCUCGCUAGGAAGUUGCAAUGAUUGAUAAUAAGGGAGCAUUUUGCUUUAUAUACAAUCCUUAAUAGAAGAUUUUCUAGAGAUGUUUAUUAUUAUUAUUAUUAUUAUUAAUCCCGCGUUGGUCAGGAUUUGAUUACUAUAAUAUUGACGAUUCGAUUUCUAACAAUUUUGUUUAUUAUAAAAUUAAAACAAAUGAGUAGUCAUCUAGAAAAUCAUAAUCUCUUUAAAGGCAUCAAAAGGCAAUGGCAAUGUAAAGUGAAUGUGCAUGAAUCUAUUAGUAACAUGUUUGCACGUGUAUUAAUCUUAAAAUAGUCAGUCUUGAAUAUUCCUGGAGGUAUAAAAGCCCUUGAGUUAUCCCUUCAAUGAUAUGAACACGUUUUUUCCAAUCCAAAAUAAGUCUUCUGAUGGGAUCUACAACAAAUAUAUAGUUUUGGACAAUAAGUGAUAUGCAAAUGAAUUUUAUACACAAUUAAUAUUAACUUGAUUUCAGAACAAACCAAAAAGGUAGCAAUCCAAGCUUUUGUUUGGCAUGUAUUCGUAGACCAGCAUCCGUUCCUCACUGUCAAUGCAAAAACCUAAAACUCUAAUAAGAUUUACAUGUUGGAGUUUUGCAGUAAGAAUAACCUCAUUCUUAAACUCCUCAAAUCCCUGUGCGGAUGAUUUCGAAAGUUUCUUCACUGCUAUCACCACUCCACAGGGUAAUACACCCUGCAACCCAAAAAAAAAACCACGUUCAUAUAAAGCUUUCACUAAUUAGAGACGCUGAGAAAUGUUAGCCAAACAAUAUGCUACCCCCCAAAGUUGAGGGCACCAUUUUAAGUCCUUUAAGUCCCCAUGGACGCAAAAUGUAAAUCUCCUCUCACAGAAUAUGGAUAUGGGUAGAGGUAUCUUCCUCAAAUGUUAGUCGAAGUAGUUAUAUCCCUCUAGUGUGAGGUUAGAGGUCUCAUCUCUAAUAGGCAUAGAGUUUUAAAUUAUAUGUUUUGGGCCUCUGAAUUCUACGACGAGUGUACAAAUUCAAACUUCCGAUAGGAUCCAAAUUGCAACAUUGUGGAUUGUAACAAAUUAAAAUAUAGGUACACACACACACACAUGUUACCUUGUAAACAGGACCAUAUCCACCCUCCCCAAGGUUAUUUCUAAUUGAAAAUCCCUCGGUGGCCGCCUCAAUAUCAGCCAAACUAUAUACUCUGAGAUUAGGAACAUUUCUGUUAAAGUCUCCAGCUUCUGUUUCAUUAUUUUCUCUCGUGUUUGAUGCUUUAGCAGAAUCCUCUGUUCCUAACAUCAACCAAGAGUAAAUAUUAGAUAAUUAAUUGUAUGUCAGCCUAAGUUUUAUAUAUAUAUGAAAUGCAUGCUUAAUUAUAAUUGGUAGCUGAAGCUUGUUACCUUCUAUUAACUUGAGCCUUUUCAUCUGGUUGUAUUUAUAUGCACAACAACUUAGAAGGAGAGUCAAAGCUGCCGCUGCAGUCGAAAUGAGUACCAAGGACAGAUGGCGGUUAUUACUAUGUUCAUCUUUGUCAGCUGAAGCAGAAGUAAUGCUGUCUUUUUGUGCAGGAAAUAUGUAUAGUUCACCAAUUAAUAAUAACUAGCUAGAGAUGCCAUAAAAAUCAAUAUUUAUUGGAGAGAACAAUUAUUGCAUAUAUAAAUACCUGCAGCUUGAGAAAGCACCCAAUUAUGAUCAUCACAAUCAACUCGCCACACAUAGUAACCAAGCAAUCUCUUCUCUUUGGCAUAGGCAAUCUUAGUUCUAACAGCCUCCACGUCAUCAAAGCCAAACCAAAUCGUCCGAAUCGAGCAGUAAUUCACCUCAUAAGUUGAAUUGUACAUAACUUGGACAUCAGGACCAUAGUCCUUGAUGUGAUUCUUGAUUUCCUUAUAAGUCGCAAGGCCGCUAUCAUACAAAGCUGGUCCUGUUGCUGCUGCACCAAUACCAUUGUCUUCAGGUUUCACAAGCCUCCAUGCAUAGCCAUAGAAAGGCAAACACAUAACCAACUUAUCUGCCGAUAAUCCUCUCUCAAUCCAUGCCUUUAAAACCUGAUCGGUACAUCUAGCAAAGCCGCCGCUACUUGAGCCAUAGAGAGCCGCAGGUGGCGCCGUGAAGUUUGUUGACAUAGGCUCGCAGUAGCUAGCAGUAACCGCAUGAACCCAAUUCAAGUUUCGUUGUAUCGAAUUCAAAAGAUAUGAAUUCGCUGGUGGUGAAUAACGAAAUCUUGCGGUCAAAAUCAGCGGGGAUUGCUGGCGACUAGAGUUUUUUGCCUCUAAUUUUGUAGCAGCAAUUCGCCACUCGUCAAAAAGUAAACCAAUAUUGAACAUAUCGGUGCUUGUUUUAGGAGCUGUCCAAGAAAAGUCUAGGCCCUGAAAGCCAUAAAGCCUAGCUAUUCUUAUUGAAGAGUCGAUGAAAGAUUUUCUGUGAGAAGGAUUUCUCACCAUUGAAGAAUAAAUAGAAUAGUUUGUAUCCUUUCCUUGUCCAAUGGAGAGAAGUAUAGUGAUUGAUGGGUUCUUUUUUUUCACGGUGUCUGCGAAUUUGGCGAUUUGAUUUUCAUCGGAUGGUAAUGAUAAAGAUAGCUGGUAAGUGGUGGAAUUGAUAUCAGCAGAAGAGCAAAUAAGGUGAGUGAAGAGAUCAUAAUUUAUGCCCGAAAUGGUGGACACGUCGCUUAGAUCCAAGUGACCGACCCUAAUCCACGGUUUUGCUUUCGCGGGAUGAAGUUCUGAAUAGCAACGUGUGGAAGAUGAUGCUGAUAAUUAUGGAUGCCAUUUGAGACUUUGUUAGGAAUGGAAAUGGAUCCGCAGAAGAGAAAUUAGAUAAACACUAGUUUCACAGUUCAUUUAAGUUCUUAUGUAAACUAUUAACGUAGAGGUUCAUUUCGUUCAGAAAAAAAUCUUAUGCGCUCCUGGAUAGGCACAUACAUUGCAUGUUAAGAUGAUGAUAGGCGAUGCGACCAUUGCCUAAGAACUAAGAUUUUCUUCCGUCGCUUGGGUUGGCUGACUUUCCAUGAAGAAAAAUGAUGUUUUGAUUGACAUUUGGUUUAACUGAUGACAAAUUUCAGGCUAUAAAUAUCAGUAUUGUUUUAUUAAAUAAUAAAAUAUAAUAAUUUUACAUGUACGUUGAAAGUUAAUAACUUAAUAUUGCAGUCUUUUGAGACUGUGUUGACGUUUAUUCGGGUGCAUUCGUUUAUUAUAUAUUCCCGUUUUUCUCCCUGUGUGUUUGCUACAGUGCUCUUAAAAGAAUAACAUGUUUUUUUUCGACAAUAAAAGAAUAACAUGUUUAAAGCAUGUAAAUGCACCUCAGAAGUAGUUAAGAAAGACUUGAUAAAAAACCAGACAUUUUCUCUCUACUCAAAAAGUAGUUAAGACUGUAUGAACCAAUUAAAACGUCAGAUUCAUACUAUAACUAUGAUGAUUCAAUAAGACCUUCAAACUAAAUCCACAGAUUCCAUGAGUAAGAAACAAUGGAUCACAUUUUUUUAAGUUUAUGCUUUGAGUAAAAUAAAAGUAGAAACAUGAAUUUGAAAGAAGCAAUUUAGUUAUAAAAAAUUGUCAAGUAAUUAAUUGUUUGGCAUUUAUUUUAUGGGUCCCAACCCAUGUGAUCCGUAAAAUGAGACACCUUAUGUGAUUGGGUGCGCCAUGGUGCGCUAACCUCAUAUAAGCUUCUCUCUUCUUACGGAUAUAACUGUAUAUGGGUGGCAUUAUGUAGUGCCCCACAUGGGCUCUUUAAAAUUAUUUUAUGUGCAUUUUAAACAUUCCCUCGUUAUUGAUUUGAAACACUAAAAAUGCCUCUCUUAAAUUUUAAAAAUAUAUAAAAAAAAUUGCGUGUUUAAAGAAUGCUUGAUGUCUCUAGCCUAACAGUUAGCACACCUAUUGUAUACACUUUUACUUUUUUCUUCUCUAAACUUUCACUCCUCUUUUCUCUGAUUCUUCACACUUCACUGAUCUUUUAUCUCUAAAAAAAUUAAACUGUCUCUAGAAGCUUAUUACUAAUUUUCUGAUCUAAUUAUUUACAUAAGUAUUCUUGAUUGAUUAUCACUUCUUUAAUUUUUUGAGGGGGAUUUCUCUUGGAUGAAAGAAUUAAGGUUAUGUUCUAAGAAAAUUUUAACUCCCAUGUUAUAGUUUUGAUAAUGAGAUUAUCCUUAAAUUUUCAAUAUAUGAAAAUACUUCGAAACAACUAUUAAUUCGUUGAAUGAAACAUCCUAAUGAACUUAGAUUUUGGUACUUAUUAUUUAUUGAACUUUUUCUUUUAAAUUACAUUACUAUUUGAAGUGUGGCGGUAUAUGGUCUCUAGUCCAAAUGACGAAAUCAAAUCACCAUGUGCAUUAGUGUUUUGUUUGUGUGGUUGGAGGGGGGGGGGGGGGGGCGGUGUUUUUUAUUGGUGCAGGAAGAAAGCUCUUCAGGACUACUCGGAAAAAUAUAUAUAUAUAUAUGAGCAACACAUAGUCCAUUUCGCAUUGCAUAGAAGUAAAACCGAAGCAUUACACAAAAAGCACACGUUAUUUAUAUUUUUAGUUAUUGAUAAGAAAAUUUUUUCCCUCUUAUUAUCAUCUUAAUUAAGAAAAAUAGUAAUUCGUUUAACUGUUUGCGAAAAAUGAUGGCAAUAUACAAUAAUAUUGUGUUGAUGACCUUGAAAGCUAAUUCUUUUGAAACAGGAAAACUGGUAUCGUAUUCAAAACACAUAAAAGACGUAUCCAAGCUUUUAAUGUGAUCUAAAGAUCUCAUAGCUACAUUCGAAAUUAAUAAAUGAUCCCUAAGAGUUACGAAACUGAUAUCAAUGAAAUUACAAACUCUUAAGAGUUUAUAGAACAUUAAUUGAUCCAAAUCCAAUACAAACUGCUUACUAGUACAGCCUCAAGAGAGCCAUUUAUUUUUCAGUAGGCAAAUUAAGCAACUGCAGCAGUCACUAGCAGCUUGCCAAGAGCUAGCAUAGAUCAAUUGUUCAUCUUCAUAAGCUUUCUUUGAGAAAGUUUCAAGCUUCUUUGGAGUCAUUAUAUCGGCUGUGUUCUCGUUUUUGAGCAUCGAAUAAACUUCCAGCAUAGAAGGUCUACCGUUUGGGUUCUCCUGAACACAUAACAAAGCUAUUUGCAGACAUGUCAAUAAUUUCCAUGAGGAAUGCGCAUCAUCUAGUGAUGGAUCCAUUAACUUUAUGCCUUUCCCAUCCUUCCACAACUUGUAGGACUGAAAACAUCAAAUAUGUUAUUGAGUUACAUUCAAUUAAAUAGCACUAUAAAGUUUUGACCAAUUGUGCAUUAUAAAGGGGGUUAUACAGAAACUUACAUAGUGUACAAGGCUUAAAUUUUCAUUAUGACCAUAUUAAAUAAAAAAUCUCCUUCCAUUUAUAAUUUGCAAAAGUAAAAUCUCAAAACUGUAGACAUCAUAUUUAGUAGAGUAGAUGCCUCUUCUACAUACCCAGGAGGGAUGUAGCCAUUGUGGUACCGAUUAAUUACAAACGUCAUUGAAAUUGUUUGACCUAAAAGAUUAAGUUGAUUGGUAAAUGUUUAACAAUAGUAUUAAAGAUAAGUCGAAGAAAAUAGACAUAUAUAUACUUACUGUGUUCCAACAAUUCGAUUUGUGUUUGCUUCAAGAUCAUCUUUCACAAAAAUUCUAACGAAGUCAAAAUCUGAUAUUUUUGGUUUCAAAUCUUCAUCCAACAAAAUGUUACUAGCUUUCAAGUCUUAAUGAAUAACUAUUAAUCUAGAAUAUUCUUGAAGAUAGAAAAGCCCUUGAGUAAUUCCUUAAAUGAUAUGAAUGCAUUUUUUCCAAUCCAAAAUAAACCUUCGGAUGGGAUCUACAUCAAAUAUAAGUAUAGUUGGACGGUCUGUAGCAUUAGCAUUUAGAAAUGAGAAAUGCAAAUAAAGGAUUUCGUAAAUGAAGAAUUGCUCGCUGGAAGAAUAAGUUGAAUAAUCUGCAUUUCCUCCUCCGAUGGAAAGAAGGGUAGUGAUUGUUAGGUUCUUUGUUUUCAUAGUGUGUGUGAAGUUGAAGAAUUGUUCCUCAUCAGAAGAUGACAAAGAAAGUUUGUAGGACGUUGGAUCGACAUAAGCGAAACCACAAAUAAGGUGAGUGAAGAGAGCACAUUAUUUAUAUCUAAAAUGGGGAAGCCAGGCCUGGUUCCCAAAUACUAGCUCUGAUUAAAGUUUUUGCUUUUGCAGGAAGCGAUUCUGAAAAUAUAAAAAUCUGGAGGACCUAAGUGACAAAUUUGGAUGCCAUUUUGGAAAGCCAGCUGCCUGAAACAUGCCCAGUCUGUAUGUGUUUUUAUACACACACACAGAAAUUAUCCUAUAUUGACCGAGAUUAGUUAUGGUCCUAAAUAAUAUAUGUUUUAAGCAACCCUUAACCCAUGAGUUAAAGUUUAUAAACAGUAUCAGAGUCAGGUUAUGGACAAAUGCGCUUAUAUUACCAGACUAAAAUAUCAGCGUGCAUUUGAUGGAAUGAUAGGAAAAAUAUCCCACCUUAGUUAAGAUUAGUUACUAAGUUAAUAAUAUAAGAUUAAGGCAAUCUUCCACUCAUAUAACGCAAGAGUAUGAAUCACAAUUUAAUAAAACUAGGUCAAUUCGAUUUUUUAUAAAGAUAUAUGAGCUACAACUUGAGGUCGCUCACGAGUGGGGACGAGUUAGAUUAAGGCAAUCUUCAACUCAUAUAAUGUUGAUCAUGGACCGAAUCAACAUAGGAAACAAAAGUCGAGGAAGUUGAAUCUCCUUGCCUUCAAGUUGCAUGGAUGGGAGUCAUACAACGAAAAGGUUGUCUUCGUUCAAUGACGAUCGGCUUGAAGUUCUUAAAUUAAGCUACGGCGUUUGCCUCCACUUAGCUUGACUUCUGAAGCUGGAGACUCUUCCUUUUGUAUUGGCUUCGUUGGUACUUAAAUUACCUCGGAGUCUCGGAUGUGUUUCUGAAGCCAUGUCAUUGUCUACGAGUAGAAUUUUUUUUUUUUUUUUUUUUUUUGGGGGGAAGAAAGAGGAAGUCUAUCGGAAAAGUAGUAAAAUGAUAUUUUUUGUAAAGAUAUAGUAGGAAAAUGAUAGGGAGCAAUACUUCUUGUAGUCAUUUGAUAUUUGUCAAAUUUUAAAGUAGUGAAAUGAUAAUAACCCAAAAAAAAAAACAAAACGUUUUUCAAUCAAAAACAAAAAUAAAGAAAUAAAUAGACAAUCCCAUGUAUAAAAAGCUAACCGGGAAUGGUGAAGACGACACUGACAUCCUCCGUUUCUCUAUUAAGCUACUUCAAGUGUUUAAGGUUUUUGAUAAUUAUAGAAAUUAAGAAAUAACAUGAAGAAGAAUGAUCAAUUAGGGGAAGUGAUUGAAGUUGAUGUGGGUUUGGACGGUGGAUGAUGAAAGCUGACUUUGUUUUGUUAUGUAAAAUCAACGGUGCCCAAAAGGCUGUUCUGACGCAGAUGCUUCACUUCCUUGCAUACUGCUGUAGAAAAAAAUGGUUUUUUUCUAUCUAAAGGUUAAUAGUUUAGUUUGGUGAAAAAGAAUUUUAAGUACAGUAAAAUUUUUAUAAAUUAAUAAUUUUCUAUCAUAUAAAAUUUAUUAAUUUAAAAGAAGUAUUAAUUAAUCUAUAUUAAUAAUUUAUCAAUUUAUAAAGUGUAUAUACAAUUCGAUAAACAUACAUUUUAAUCAAUUAAAAUUCAUUGUAUUUUACCAAUCUAAUAAAUUAAAAAUGAAUUAAUCUACUAAAUAUAAAUUAAAUUAAUAAAAAAAUUUAUAAUUCUUACAAUUUCAAAAUUCAACCCUUAAACUUCUAGAAGUGAUACGCAUAGCAUUACUCAAUUUAAAUUCAACCCUUAAAAUCAUGGCAAGAGAAUAGUGAAGAAAAAAGAAAAGAAAAGGAAAAAACAAACUCACAAACACUUAGUUAUCGACCUCUAUGGCCUAUGCCACUGGCCUGUAGAACUAACUCCCUCAGAAAUGAUUUCAAGUUCCUGUAAUUUUCUGUAUAAAAUGAGAGCAUUUUCCUCUUUAAAGCAGGGGCAGUAACAGUGUCACAAUAGAAAGCAUUCUGAUGGUAAGAUUAAGUAGUAUUGUGAUUUUAAUUGGGGGGAAAAUGUCCCAUACGCUUAUUUCCUUAUGUGAUUUAGAUUCAAGUCAAGACGACCCUCCAUUUUAGUAUAAAAGUCUAUACAAAUGUACGUUUUACUCAAUGUUUACGUAGAAACAAAUGAUUUGCUGAUUUAGUACCACUCUUGUUUACUGGGUGGGAUUUGGCUCCUCCAAAUUUGUAGCCAAUAUUUUACUUUGAUGAGAAAAUCAAAUAACGUUUCAACAAAUAAUUUUUCUUUUCUACGUACUUUCUUAAAACGUAUGGAGUGAGUAAAGUACAAAUUGAUUUUUUAGCCCUUUGACUCUUCCAUAUUCAAACUCAAAUUAGUGGUCUGUUAAAUAUUGCUACUUAAAAUCAUUCAGCCAAAUAUUGUAAAAACUAUAAUUUCACAAAGUCAAAGUUUCAUUGAUUAUUGAAUUGUAGAGUGUGCUAUCAUUUCCUAGCUAAAAAUUUGUUUAGUUCUAUUAAGUUUCAAUCAUUUUUUAUUUUAUUUAAUUAAUUAAAGUGAAUUUAUUAUGUAUAAAUGCUAUUUAUGUGAAAUUUUAAAAUCCAGUGCUAAAUUGAAUUGUACUAAAUUUUUAUAAUUUUUUGUCACACCUGCAUUUCUAACAGUUUAGUAUAAAUAUUGAGAGCAAAUAGUAUAUAGGAUUAAAAGAGAUUGAUUUCGAGUGCUACAAGAUUUUUAGGAUUGCAUGCGCAAGGGUUUAAAAACAAAGUGUGCAUUUAAUUACACUAAACGUAGGUGCAUUUUUAUGAUGAAAUAAAAACUGGUUGUAUAAAUGGCUCCAUAAUUAGUGUACUUAAUAUCCAUCUAGCUAUCACUUCCGAAAAUGAUAUCAGAAGCCGAACACAUUUCCAACUGUAUUUUAGAUAAUAGUUCAAUCCCAAUUUCGUCAACUUGUUUUGAGAAAGCAGGCUUCUUGGGAGAAUUUAUAUUUCGUCAACUUGUUUCGUCAAUUUGUGCAUAUAAAUGUCUAUCAUUUGGAUUCUCCUGGACACACAACAAAGCUAUAUCCAGACGUCUCAUUAAUUUACAAGUGAAAUUUGUAUAAUCUCGUGAUGAAUCCACAAACUCCAUAUAUAUUUUUUUUUUUACCACGAGGUAUCAUGGGGAGGGCCCCAACUGUGGGAGGCACCUUUAAGUCCGUACCACAACUCAGACUAGAAGUCCCCGCUCGAACCGAGAGGCACAGGUUCUCCCAACAAAGGCGACUUCCCUACGACUUGAACUGGGGAGCAAACCCAGUCAAGCCAUUUAAGGGGACUCCAUUGCCAGUGGAGCCAACACUUUGUUGGUUAAACUGGAUAUUUUAUCUUGCUACAAACUCCAUAUUUUCACAACUCAUAUGCCUGAAAUUAUCAAGUAUUAUCUUGCUACAUAUUUUAUACUACUUAGUUAAGUGCAUAUAUAUAUAUAUAUAGACACAUACACACACACACACUAAAGGUUACUAUAGCCAAAGAAAUUUACAUGCUCUAGAAGACUUAAAUUUCCAUCGAUGCCACAUAGGCACAUAACAUAAAAAGACUUUUCCCAGUUAUCAUUCGUAAAAGUAAGACUUCAAAACUAAAAAUGUUUGAUUCGGUAGAGUAAACAUCUCUAUGAGUGUAUUUAGGAGGAAUAUAACCUCUACAUUUGAAAAUAACCAACACUCACUACUACAAAAAUGACUUUUACUGACACUUUGUUUCUGACACUUUGAAAAAAGUGUCAGUAAUUACCUAACUAUGCACAAUUUUCCGCUUUUAACAAAUAAAUGUCACAAAUUAUUAAUACUAAUGUAUCAGUAAAUUAAAUAUUAGAGAUCACUGAUACUUCAGCAUCAGAGAUCUAAAAAGAAUCAUUAAAAUUUGUUUUGAUUUUAACUCGAACCUGGGAUUUCUAAAACUCAAAACUUUUACGUUUAGAUUGCAAACCACUGGACCCCAUAAAAUUGAGUUGGAAUUACAAUGUUAUAUAAAAUAUUAACAUAUAAAAAACCAAACCCUAAUUCCCCUUUUCCAUUGUGCAAUAGAGCCCAUGCCGCAGCUGCUGCGUAAUUUCCUUGCCUUUCUUGACUUCUUCUUCUCUAUCGUGAAAGAUGGAGAAUGACCAGGCCCAAACGCCCACGCCCACAGCCGCGCCCAACCCCCACGGCUGCGCCCACCCCCACGCCGUUGCCACUAUCACUUCCGUUCAAGUGGUUCGACACUGCAGGUACUAAAUUAAGAAUUUAAAACAUGUAAAACGAAAGUAAAACAUAUCCCAAACUUAGCAAUUGUCCCCAUCUCCCUGUCUUUUAUACACACAAAUCUCUAACCCAAACUCAAACCCAAAACUGUCUCUUGCCUUUCUCUUUCUCUUUCCUUUUUCUCUUCUCGAUCUCUUCCUUUUUUUUCUGUCCAUUCACAAACUCGUUCAUUUAACUUAAAUAGAUAAUAUAAAGCUAAAACCCUAAGUGAGGCUUUUAUUCCCUUUUUCCUUUUUUUUCCCAAAUUGAAAAACGGACCAAAACCGUAAUCGAGGCUUCUUUUAUCAAUUUUUUUUCUUUUUAUGGUCAAAUUUCACUUUUUUUUUGUUCAAUAUUCAAAACCCAUUUGCUUGAAUUUGAAUAAAAUUAUUGAGAAAUUAGUUAAUUUUCUUGCUAUGGAAGGGAUACCACACCUUAUACGUAGACCUGUGAAGGAGAUUUUCAAUGACUUUAAGGGCAAACAGGUUGCCUUGAUUAAGGCUUUAACUGCUGGUAAUGGCUUAAUAUUUUAUUUUCUUUGUCAAAUUAAUUAAUAAUUUUUUUUUAUUUUAGCUUAUCAUUAUUAGGGUUUUUUGUUAAUUUUAAUUUUCUGGGUUGUUGCAGAUGUUGAGAAAUUCUGCCAGUGGUGCAGUCUUGGUGGGAUUUCUUUUCCAUAUCUAUUUUUUGUUUAUUUAAUUGUAAUUUGAAUUUUUUUCUUUUUUUUCCUAUAUUUCUAUAUUAUAUAGAUUGAAUGGCUGUGUAUUUCAUAAUUAUUAAGUGUUAUUUAUUGCUCUGUUUCAUGUAAAGAUAGGCAAAUUAUGUUAUAGAAACCAACAUGUUUAUUUUUUUAUUUUUUUUAGUUGGAAGAUUUUUAAUAGAGACAAUGACUAUGAUAUGAAUUAACUAAGUUCAUGAUUUGUCUUUAAUUCAAGAAGAAAAUGCUUGUUUUUAGGUAGUUUUGCUUGUUGUAGCACUUGAAGACUUACAUUUUCUUUGUUCAUUUGCACGGUUAGUUUCGCUCUUAUUCAGAAAUUUCUGUGUUUCCUCACUUGCAUGGUCAUUAAUUCAUUCCAUGAUUUUUCUUCUGUAAACACACUUUUAUUUUCCUUUCACUAGUUUGAAGGAAUUUAUUUUUUUAAAAUAAAAAAUUCUAAAGAUUGAAAUGAAUUGAAAUUGUUGCUAUAAUGUACUUUCUUUGCUGCUGAAGUUCAAGGAAUGUCUAUUUAAAUGAACUAGAACUUGAAAAAUCUUGAAGUGUUGUUGUACCCAUAGACUUCAUUUUUUUUCCUGCACAUUACACUUAUUUUGUUCAUCUUCUUACCUUCAAUUUGUCGUAGAGGUUAACAAUGAUUGACGAGAAAUGGAGGUUUGCAUUUACUGCGGCUGAAUCUCAUGAACAAGAAGUUGGCAAACUGAGGUCUGUAUUUUUUCCUCAAAUUCAUAGUUGAAUUCAUAGUAAGCUCAAAGCAAUUGAUUGAGGGAGAAAAUAAAUUGAGUUUUAUUUAUUAGUAUAAUUUUUGUUAUUUAGUGCUUUACACUCUUCAUGACAACUUCUGCGAUCUUGUCCUAUUACCUUAAGGUACUACUGGAUAUUUGAGAAAAAAUUAAAAAUUAUUAAGAUUAUCUUUCUUUGAUGAUAGAAUUACAAUAUGUCUUCUCACUUAUUAUAGUUCAUCCAAUUUUAUUUUUGUUGCACAGUCUGUGGAAAUCAGAGUACCACAUUUAAGAGUUUUUAUAAAAUGUCUCCUUUACCUUUCCUAUUAUUUAAACUAAUUUCAUGUGUAUUUCUUUAGUUAAUGAUUGAUUUUCAAGUAGUUGAAGGAAAGUAACUUGUAGAACCUCCUUCUAAAAUUGGUCUGGAACCUUUGUGUGCAAUGGUUAGUGAAAUCAUAAUCCGUGGCUUGUGUUAAUAUGCAUCGAUUGUGUGAAAACUAUUGUUUACUAUUUUCUGUGGCUGGUUAUUAACAUGAUUCACAGAUAAACAACAAUAGACUCAUACCCAUAUGCUUGCUUGUUUUCAACAAGCAUUUUUUUUUUGUAGGUUUUUUUUUUGUGCGUCUCUCUUUGAAGAAUAAUAUGAUUAUCUUACACGAAAUGGGGAAAUUCCAUUAUCUUGCUGCAAGUUUUUUCCUAGUUCUAUAGUUCUACCGUUUUGUAUCACCUUGGAUGACAUGUCGAGUGAAUCCUGGAACAUCAUUUUAUCUUGUUUGUACCUAUAAUACGUUGUGUUCAAUGUUCUUGAAAUUUUUGGGCAUGGCUGCAAACAAAUUUAGCAGUUUUUAAUAGCCAACUAUAGAGUCAAUUUAAAAUUUGUCUAGGUGGUGAGUUUCUAUGGUUUUGUAAUUGGGGUGAAAGGUAGCAAAUACUAAUCUUGUCUAAAGAGCAUUUGUGUAAGAUUACUUGUGAGUAUAGUGGGGCAGCAUAUAUUAGUAUUUUUAUGAAAUAAGCAGAAAAAGGGAUCCCUUUCUAUUGUCAGCAAUAAAAAGAAUUUUCAAAAAUGUAAACACCAAGCGUUCUAGUUGUAUUGUUAUUUGCAAAGAUCUUUUCAAUGUAUUUGUAGAUCCCAACAUACCUUGAUGCAUGAUCAAUUAGUCUGAAGAAUGUUGAGGAUUAUGUCAUUUUGAGCUGUUUAUCAGGUAGUUUGAGGUUAGAUUUGUUUUUUGGAGUAUUAGCUUGGAAUCUGAGUGCUUGCCUAAUUUGGAGAUUGGUGUGUGAUACUUCAAUAGCCUUUUUUUGUGGACUCCCUUUUGACAUUUUGUAAUUAUUGUUCUUAUUAAUACUAAUUUCUCUGUUUCCUAUAAAAAAUAAAUAAAUAAUGAAGGAUAGGUUUUUAUAUGGUAAGGAAUGAAUAAAUAUUAUAAGCAUUUAUUGGAAAAUAAAACUAUGCAGCUUAUUUAGUUGUUUUCCUAUUUAGUGAUAAAUUAAAAUUUUUGGCUUAAUUAUAUUCGGAUAUAUAAACACCAAGUUUUCAGUGUUAAGAUGGAAAACCAACGUCUUUAAAAUUUAUGAAUUGUUAAUACUGAAUCUUUUUUCAGUUUCAGUUAAAAAACAAAAAGGCCCUUCUUUUUUCUAUCUUCAAAUUUUGUGUGAUAGAAGUAUACUGUUGGGCCUUUCUUAUCAACUUUAGCUUUUGGGAUUAUUGUUGGUUUAACUUUAGAAUUAUUUGACCCAGAGAUUUUAUGUUCCAUUAAAUAAUAACACUCAAUACACUGGAUUUAGUUCAUGUUUAUUAAAUUUGGAUUUUUAUGUGAGACGGUACAAGUAUUGGGGAUUAGUGGUCUCUCAACAUUAUGAUCGAAAACCAGCCCUCACUGCCAAUUUGUAUUUUAAGCCCAAUAUUCAGUCCUUGAUCACUAUCAAACUUCCAUAAUCAUUUCUUCUUCAUAUUCUUAUAAAUCAGCCUCAAACUCUAAAGAAAAACCUAAGCCAUUCUCUGUAAGGGGUAAGCGUCUGUUCUUGUUCGGAUGAAGGUGCCAAGUUUUAUUUUGCUCUUUAACGUUAACAAGUCAAUUCCCCAUGAUGUGUUAGGUGAUUUGUUUGUUUCAUGCUGUUUAUUUCCUCGUCUUUUUUUUCUUCUAUCUACUGUUCCUUUAUGAAUUUGCCUCUAGGCAUUUUUGCAGUUGCUUACUAUGAAAUACAAUGGGCUUAUGCUAUAUUUUGUAAAAAUAACUAUGUAAUUCAAUCUCCAAAUUAGUUAAUCUUCUUAGUUGGCUUUGUCUUUGACUGUUUUUUAUAUCAAUUAAUUUGUUUCGUUGUGUACAGGUUAAUUUCUAUUGUUGGAGCCAUGAGUCUGCUGAACACAUUUUUCCUAACAGAGGUUUGGGAUAUGGACUUGCCCAAUUUUUGUCUGUUUUGUUUCUAGGUUAUUAUGUAAAAAUUUUAUAAUGGUUUGCUUUGCUUUGGGUUAUGAUGUAAAAACUUUGUAGUGGUUUGCCUCAAAUGUUUCUGUUAUUAUGUCUUUGGUCUUAUCCUAAGAUACGCUAUAUUCUUAUUCCUCAAUUUUUACCCCUGGAUUGUUUAAUGAGUUUCUAAUUUUGGAUGUAUACUAAUAAAUCUCCAUUUAUCUUUCUUAAUCCUUAGGAUUUUUUUUUUAUUUUUUUUAUUCUUCUUAAGUUGAGUUGUGUAUAGAUCUGUAGGAAAAUCCACUCAAAUUCAAUUCUUAGCAGAUAAAUAUUCCUACCUAUUACAAUUAGCUUGCACUAAGAGAGCUAUGUAUUGUUUUUGCCCCAUUCUUUGUUAGUCUCUUUGAACACUGAAAUUGGCCUGAUUGUUUUUUCUCCCAAAAAUUCAAGAAUUAUUUUUUGUGGUAUACUAAUUGAUUUUAUGUACUUGUAGGUGGGAAAAGAAAAAUGAAGCCGCUUGUGGAUGUUCAAUGACAUUAUGUGCUUCUUUUUGUUGGUUAAUAUUUGUUGAAUCUUAACAUAGUACUUGGUUGUUAAGAGCUUGUCCAAGACUUAAUUUAGUAUUUAUAUUUUUCUUUUCCAAACAAUGAUGUAGUUGAAUGAUAUGAAUUUGAGUGAUGUAUUUGAGAUGUCUCUUAUGCAAUUGUGUUGCGAGAUUUUGUAUAUUUAAUAUAUUUUGAGUUUUCUUUCAGUUGUAAAACAAAUAGGAAAAUAUAAUUAAAAUCAAAGUAUACUAUUAACCAAAAGAAUCAUAACAUCACUAAAUACUGACACUAAAUGUUUAAAAUAACAGUAAUAAUUUUUUAUGUUAUUGAGUCAGUGUGCUCUUGAUACUGUAGUCUCAUAAAUUACUGACAUAUAAAUAGUAUCAUUAAAUACUAACGCUAUCGUGUCAUUAUUUUAGUGAUACCAUAAUGACAUGAAUUACUGACACAAAAAUCGCUGACACUAAAAAUUAGUGUCAGUGUGUUCUGUCUGGAGAAUUAUUGACACAAUUAAUAAGUGUCAGGAAAAGUAAUUACUGACACUAAUUUAGCGUCAGUAAAGCCCAUUUUUCUAGUAGUGACUAUUUCAGUAUGUCUCUCUCUCUCUCUCUCUCUCUCUCUCUCUCUCUCUCUCUCUCUCUCUCUCUCUCUCUCUCUCUAUAUAUAUAUAUAUAUAUAUAUAUAUAUAUAUAUAUAUAUAUAUAUAUAUAUAUAUAUAUAUAAUCAGCUUCAGGUCUGGAAUUUAAAUUUGUAAAGAGUCUACAAUAUCGUAAAUUGCAUUCAUCACUGUUUUACAAUGGUCUAAAUUUUAUUAUAAAUGACUGUCAAAAAAUUAAUACAUGGUUAUCAUUUAUGAUUAUAAUUAGAACAUUAAAAUUCAAGUCGACUCAUUUGUCUUUACAUUGAUGUAUUCUUUGCGAUUAUACUUAGAAUGUUAAACAAUUAAGUUGAAACGACCCGCCCCAAAUCUCCAGGACAAGUCUAUCUAAUCUCGCCUAACCGAAUUAAUAAUAGUUCUAAUAUCUAAGAAUUCUACCAAAACUUCGGCAGAGUCUCUUAUAUAAUUAUUACAUCCCCAAACUUGUAAUUUAUAAAAUUAACACUCCAAAAAAUAAUACAAUAUUUAAUCAACCUCUACAACCAACUUCCUCAAUUUAAACACCAGUAUCCUUCAAACAUAUAAUGUCAAGAAUACAAUAAUUUAUCCUUAAUCGCAAAUAAGUAAUAAAUUAUACAAUUCAAAAUAUCCCAACAAAGCAUCUAUGAUUUUUAACACCAUCAUGUGGCUAUAGUUUCAAAUCUAACUAUCGUUGUUGGAUCGACUGAUGUACCUGCAAAUCUCCUAGGGAGGGGGGGAAAUAUAAUAAAAAUAUGGUGAGUAUAAAACUCAGUGAGCUCAGUGAGUGGUGGGGGUGGGCAAAAUCGGGUUCGGGUCAACGCGAUCGGGUUUCGGGUUGUUCGGGUUAGACAAGAACCAAUUCGAACAUAACCCGAAUUAUUGACCCAACCCGAACCGACCCGAACUGGAUCGGGUUGGAUUUAAAACGGGUUGGAUUGAGUUCGGGUCAAUUCGGGUUAGUUCGGGUCAGCGUGUGUGUGUGCUGUGCAGCUCGUGUGUGUUCUGUUCUGUUCUGUCAUUCUGCAUUUCUGUGUGCGUGCUGUGCAAGUGUGCAGCUUGUGACUUGUGUUGUGUGUGUGCAACAGCGUAUGUGUGUGUGGGUGCGGCUGUGUGCUUUGCAGCUUCUAACAAGUUGUGUGUGUGUGUUGUGCAGCAGCCAAGCAGCGUGUGUGUGUGUGUGUGUACAGUGUUAGCUUAGCUUAGGUUUUUUUUUUUUUUUUGAGAACCCGAUCGGGUAUUCGGAUCGGGUCGGGUUUGACCCAAACCGAUCACAACCCGAUCGGGUUUGUAAAUUUCAAACCGCUCGGGUUUCGAUCCCGACCCGAUCCGACCCGAACCCGAAAUUUAUCGGGUCGGGUCGGGUCGGAUCGGGUAAAAUGCCCACCCCUAGUGAGUGGAUAGUAGUUUAGGAAAAAUAAUUUAUUUAAAAUGAUUUAAUCUUUUCUAAAUCAAUUUCAUCAAAAUAUCAUAAGAACUUACAUAAACUUAUUUAAUUCAAAUCAUGCACUGAAAUAACAAUAUUACAUAAAUCUGCAUAAAAUCAAUGAAAUCAUAAUACUUAUUGUUAGCCUAUAUGGCUAUAAAUAUUGAUUUUGAUGAUAACAAACCACAUGUGUUAGUUAAACAAAGAUUUAUAAAUUGUGCUUUUAUAAUAAGAAAAUGAUUUUAUGGAAUUAAAGUGUUUUGGACCAAAAUAAAAGUAUUUUAUAAUCUUUGAUAUUGUUUUGAAUUUCGGAUUUGGACCUAUUUAAAUAUUUUUGGGCCAUUCUAUAAUUUCACAUAGUUUGGGCGAUAUUCUAAUUUCAAAAAUUUUUGGGAUUGACAAAGUAUUAUUUAGAAAUUCUAAAAUUGGACCUAUUUGAACACUUUCAUAACAUUUUAGGCCAUAAUAUAAUUUUAUAAAGUUUUGGGGUCGAAUUAUAAUUUUGGAAAACAUUUCACUGUAGCAAGCAGAUAUCUGGAUCCUAACAAAUGGUAGACCGGAUUUGGGCAGAAAGCUUCUGGAACUUAAACGGCUAUCCGGAUUUCACAAGCGGUAUACCAGAUGUUCAAAAAUUUAAAUUUUGGCUAUAACGGUAACAUUACGCGGCUAACCGGAUGUCCAUAAAUGGUAAGUUAGUUAUCACCUAAAUGUGCAUAACGGCUAGUUUUUGAGUUCAAACUAUAUAAACCCAAAUCCAAUUCAUUUUCAAGCUCUUUUGCAAACAAAAUCAAAAAGCACACAACAUUCAUUGAGCUCUCAUUUCGCAAAUCAUAAAACCUUGAAUCAUAUUUUGUUCUUCAAUUUGUAUAUCUACUCUUUAAGAGAGUUUUUAUUGUAAUCUUCAAUUCCUCAUCUUAAUUGUGAGUGUUUAAGUGUGUGAGACACUUGAGUGAAGAGAUUGAGAGAUAAUCUCUUUGUUGUAAAGGUUCAUUGACACCUUAAAGUCAAUUGUAACCAUUUGAAGCCUUAGAAGGCUUGCAUAGUGAAAUCAUCAAGCUUGGAUUGCUUGGAGGCGUGGACGUAGCCGGGGAUUGUCGAACCACGUAAAAAUUCGUGUGUUUGUUUCUUUUCUCCCUUACUCAUUUGUUAUUGUACUUUUAUUGAACUUAUUGCUUUCGAAUUUAUUAAGGCGUUAGAUUGGAUUGUUGUGUGGUUUUGUUAGGAUAAUUUUUAAAAAUACCAAUUCACCCCCCUCUUGGGUUGCACACUUGUAUUUCACCUAUAAUAUCAAAUACUGAAUACCAAAAACUAUCACCAAACAAGUACCCGGGGGAAUAAUCUCAUCAUAUUCGGACCUCGACGGACGGGCAAUCAGGGAACCAUCAUACCCCGGAGCUACAACGGAUAGACGGGGAAAUGUCAUCUCAUAUCUCAUGUAUCUCAACAUCUGUAUCUUUGUAAUCAUCAUACUGCAUGCAUAAGCCUCCAAAAGGAAAAAGCGCCCAAACACACAGCCAAAAGCCUCUAUGUGUGUUCAGACGGGCCUCAAAGACCUCUCAUCUCAUAUCAUCUGUAUCAUUGUGUUCAUCUUAUAUUAUCUGUAUCUCUGUGUCUUAAGGGGAAUGAUAUUGUCCAAUGAUUUUCCAAACAACCUUUUAUAAACAUGUACAUAAACAUAUAAUCACAUCUGAAAUCUCAUUUCCUUUUAUUCAACAUAUCUCAAAUCCACUCAAUUCUAAUAUCAUGCAUUUACUCAAAAAAAAAAUGAUAAUAGAAUCAUUAAUCAAACUCAUUUUCAAUACUAAUAAAUAUCAGCACGUAAAAUAAAAAUCAAUUUUCUAGAAAAUCAUUAAAUCGAAGCAUCAAAUACUUAUCAUCAAAACAUGUUGUACUGUAUAGUAAAAUCAUAGUAUACUAUGAAAAUAGGUUUUGUAUAUUCCACUCACAGUGACAAUGUCCAGACUCGGGAUCACCAACGUCCGCAGGUUAAUUCUCGCUCGCGGGUCCUCCUAAUUACAUAAACGACAUAAUUAUUAUCCAUAUCAUGAAAUACGACUAACAGUACGAAAUAAAGCUCAAAACCAAACUCCCGGAUACAUAAAAUUUCAAAAUUACCCUUAUGUCCAAAAAUUACCCAAAUGCCCCUGACACCGAAAUUUACCAAAUUACCAUCAGAAUCAUAAUUUAUCGAAUCAUCCUCAAUAUCUUAAAUUACCAAAUUGUCCUUAAUUCGGAUAACAAAAUUAAUCACAAGUUUUGAAUUUACAAAAUUACCUUCGAAGUACAAAAUUACCAAAAUGUCCUUAAUAACUUAAAUUACCGAAUUACCCUCGAAAUCUCAAAUUACUUCUCUGUCCUAAUCACAAAUUACCAAAUUAUCCACCAUUUUCAUAAAUUACAAAUUUACCCCAAAGUUUUAUGAAAUUACCGAAUUACCCUUGCCGGUCAACGGUGACCUGACUUCAGUCAAUGAUGACGGGAAGCUCAGGUCUAAUAGUUCAGACCUCGGUGAAUCCAACGAUGCUGGCGGUGACCUCCCACGCGCGGCGAUGGUGGCAGAUCGAAGCUCCAAAAUUCGUGAGUUUCCCGGUGUUCGUUCGCGGCCAAGACAGCAUCCCCGGUGAUCGUGGUCAGUUGGAAAGUGAUAAGUGUGAGUUGAGAAACAAGAUCCAGGCAGUGGCGUGGCUAAAAAUCCGACGGGAUCGACGGCGACAGAAACGGGUUGAGUCGCGGCUUUUCGAGCUUCAAACGGCGGCGUUUCGGUCGGCUUUUCUUUGAUUUGUUAUUUUGAGUUGUAUGAAAUAUAGCUUUACUUAUGUUUUUUUUUAUCAUUAAUAGGAAUUUUCUUGUUAAAACUAUAUGAAUUGAUUGAAACUUCAAAUUCAUACUACAACCAUGAUGAUUUAAUAAAACAUUCAAACUAAAUCCACAUAUUCCAUGAGUAAGAACCCUGAGAGCACAUUUAUUCAAGUUUAUGCUUUAAGUAAAAUAAAAGUAGAAAUGAGAAUUUUAAAGAAGAAAUUUAGUUAUAAAUAAUUGUCAAAUAAUUAAUUGUUCAGCAUUUAUUUUAUAGGUCCCACUGUUGGGACUCCAUGUGAUCUGCUAACUGGCAGGCCUUUUGUGGUUAGGCGAACCACAGUAUGCCUGCCCCAUAUAAGUUCCUCUCUUCUCAUAGAUAUAACUAGUGCUAUGUCAUGUCCAACAAGGGCUCUUCGAAACUUUUUAUGUGAAUUUUAAACAUUACCCCAUUACGCUUUUGAAACACCAAAACUACCUCAAAUUUUAAAAAUAUAAAAAAAAAUACAUAUUAAAAGAAUGUUUUAUGUCUUUAGCUUAACAGUUAGCACACGUAUUGUACUCUUGACAUUUUUCUUCUGUAAAUCUUCACUUCUUUUUUCUUUGAUUCUUCACACUCCACUGCUCUUUUAUCUCUAAAAAAUUAAAUUGUCCGUAGAAGCUUACUAUUUAAUUUACUGAUCUAAUUAUUUAGCUCUAAAUAUUUAGAUACGUUUUCUUAAUUAAUUAUCUCUUCUUUAAUUUUUUUGGUAAUUUCUCUUAGAUGAAAGAAUUAAGGUUAUGUCCUAGGAAAAUAUUAACUCUCAUAUUAUAGUGUUGAUAAUGAGGUUAUCCUUGAAUUUUUAACACAUGAAAACACAUCGAGGUAACUAUAAAUUCAUUGAAGGAAAUAUUUUAAUAAAUUUAGAUUUUGGUACAUAUUAUUUGUUGAAUUUUUUUUCUUUCCAAAUUGAACGUAGCCCUUAUGAUAUUCAGUUCGUGAUGGUGCCACUAAAUGUAAAGUGUCGAACUAGAUCAUAUUUCUCCCUUAUGCAAACUCCAUCGUUUAUUUAUAUUUCAAUUUUGUGGCCUAUUGUCGAGUUUUCUAGUUUCACAGAGGGCAUCUUGGAUUUCUCUACGUGGUCCAUAGUCUCUAGUCCAAAUGAAGAAAUCGAAUUCACCAUGUACAUUAGUGUUUUUUUUCUUUUUUCUUUUUGGGCGGGGGGGGAAUUUUUUUAUUGGCACAGGAAGAAAGCUCUUCGGCACUACUCGGAAGAAGAAUAUGAGCAACACAUGGUCCAAUUCGCAUUGUAUGGAAGUAAAACCGAAGCAUUAGACCAAAAGCAAACCUUAUUCAUAUUUUUAGUUACUGAUAACAAUUUCUUUCCCCUCUUAUUAUCAUCUUAAUUAAGAAAUAUAGUAAUUCGUUAACUUUUUGGGAAAUUAAAAAGGAUGGCAAUAUACAAUAUUCUUGUGUUGAUGACCUUAAAAGCUAAUUCCCUUGAAACAGGAAAACUGGUAUCGUUUUUCAAAGCACAUAAAUGAUAUAUCCCAGCUUUCAAUGUGAUCGAAAGAUUUCAUAGCCACACUCGAAAUUAAUAAAUGAUCCCUAAGAAUUCGUUAACUUCAAGAGUUUAUAGAACAUUAAUUGAUCCAAAUCCAAUACAAACUGCUUACUAGUACAGCUGCAAGAGAGCCAUUUUUUUUCAGUAGGCAUAUUAAACAACUGCAGCAGUCACUAGAAAGCUAGUAUAGACCAAUUGUUCAUCUACCAACCAAUUGUGAAAUUGUUACAUCAUUACUUGAACAUAUUUCCCAUCCAAUCGUGGCUUUAUUUUGUUCGUCUUCAUAAGCUUUGUUUAAGAAAUCGGAGUCCAUUCGAUGAGUCUAUCAGCAUUCUUUAACUAAUUAUUAGAUUAAAUGUAUAAAUUUAAAACUAGUAAAAGUUUAGACUAUGAAAGAACCUUGAUUCAUUCAAGAAAUAAUUAAAAUUUUAAUCCUUUUCAAACUGGUUAAUAUUAACCUUAUCAUUAUGCGAAAACACAAUUUAAAAGAAAAAUAAAAUAAAAUAAAAAUCUCACAAAGUUGGUGUGUGGAAUAGUCAAUACGUUGUCCUUGAUUUUUUAUUUUUUAUUUUUUACAAACCCUUAAAGAGUCUAUAGAUGUAGUUAGUGAUAUUACAUUACAUUAAUUGAUCCAAAUCCAAUACAAACUGCUUACCAGUACAGCCUCAAGAGAGUCAUUUAUUAUUCAAUUGGCAAAUUAAACAACUGCAGUAGUCACUAGCAGCUUGCCAAGAGCUAUAGCGUAGAUCAAUUGUUCAUCUACCAACCAAUUGUGAAAUUGUUACAUCAUUACUUGAACAAAUUUCCAAUCCAAUCGUGGCUUUCCUUUGUUCAUCUUCGUAAGCUUGCUUUGAGAAAGUUGCAGGCUUCUUUGGAGUCAUUAUAUCAGCCGUGCUCUCAUUUUCGAGCAUCGAAGAAACUUCCAGCAUAGAAGGUCUAUCGUCUGGGUUCUCCUGAACACACAACAGAGCUAUUUGCAGACAUGUUAGCAAUUUCCACGAGGAAUGCGUAUCAUCUAGUGAUGUAUCCAUUAACCCCAUGCCUUUCCCAUCUUUCCACAGCUCAUAAGCCUGUAAAUAUCGAAUAUGUUAUUGAGUUACAUUCAAUUAAUUAGCACUAUAAAGUUUUGAUCCAGUGUGCAUUAUAAAGGGGGUUAUGAAGAAACUUACAUACUGUACAAGGCUUAAAUUUUCAUUCUGGCCAGAUUGAACGAACAAUCUUCUUCCACUUAUAAUUUGCAAAAGUAAAACCCCAAAACUGUAGACAUCAGAUUUGGUGGAGUAGAUGCCUCUCGUCACAUACUCAGGAGGGAUAUAGCCACUGUUGUACCAAGUACUUACAAAUAUCAGUUAAAUUGUUUGACCUAAAAGGUUAAGCUGAUUGGUAAAGGCUCAACAAUAGUAUUAAAGACAAGUCGAAAAAUAGACGUAUAUACACUUACUGUGUUCCAACAAUUCGACUGGUGUUUGCUUCAAGGUCGUCUUUCACAAAAAUUCUAGCUAAGCCAAAAUCUGAUAUUUUAGGCUUCAUAUUUUCAUCCAAUAAAACAUUACUAGCUUUCAAGUCUCGAUGAAUAAUUGUUAAUCUAGAAUAUUCUUGAAGAUAAAGAAGCCCUUGAGUUAUUCCUUGAAUGAUAUGAAUGCGUUUUUUCCAAUCCAAAAUAAACCUUCGGAUGGGAUCUACAUCAAAUAUAAGUAUAGUUGGACGGUCAGUAGCACUAGCAUUUGGAGAUGAGAAAGCAAAUGGAGGCACAUAAAUUAAGAAUUAAGCAGAAGCACAUACCAAAAAGGAAAUAGUCUAAGCUUUGUUUUGGCAUGUACUCGUAGAUCAGCAUUUGUUCUUCUCUGUCAAUGCAAAAACCUAAAACCUUAAUAAGAUUUACAUGUUGGAGUUUUGCAGUAAGCAUAACCUCAUUCUUGAACUCCUCAAAUCCUUGUUUGGAUGUCUUUGAGAGUUUCUUCACUGCUAUUACCUGUCCAUCAGGUAAUACACCCUGCAAACACCCCCAAAACAUUAAAAAGGAAAAAAAAAUGCAAUGUUCAUAUACAUAUGUGUGUGUGUGUAUUUCGCUAAUUAAUUAAUAAGAUGAGAGAUAGCCAAGCUAUCGAUAUAUAACCUUGUAAACAGGGCCAUAUCCACCCUCCCCGAGCUUAUUUUCAAUUGAAAAUCUAUCCGUGGCCACCUCAAUAUCAGCCAAGCUAUAUUCUCUAAGAUCAGGAUCAUUGCUGUUAAAAUCUCCAGCAUGUGCUUGACUGUUUGCUCCGUCCUUUGAUGACUUGGCUGAGUCAAUUACUAUUCCAAUUAAUAUCAACCAAGGAAAAAAAAGAAAAAGAAAAAGAAAAAAGCUAAUUUAAGUAAAUUGCCCACUUCUUCAGCUGUGCUAAAUAGAAUAGAAGUAAAAAUAAUCCUAAACCCCUGUAGAAGAAGUUACCUUUUAAUUUGAGGUUUUUCAUCCAGCAGUAGUAAUACAGCCAAAAACCUAGUAGAAGAAUACAAGCUGCAGUGGUAGUCAAAACAACUACCCAUAACAGUCGCUUAUUUUGACCACUCUUGUCAUCCUCUUCAGCUGAAAAGUCAAUCACUUUGCGUUGGUUAACCAUUGAUGCUGAAAUAAAGAUCUUAAUUCAAGUCAUUAUCCAGAAAAGUGAUCAACGGAUUGCAGUGAGUGCGGAAUUCCAUUUGCUUACCUGCAGCUUGAGAAAGCAUCCAAUCAUGAUCAUAGGAAACUAGCCACACAUGGUAUCCGCGUAGCUUCUUCUCCUUGGCAUAUGCAACCUUCACUCUAAUGGCCUCCACAUCAUCAAAACCAAACCAAAUCUUCCCAAUCGAGCAGUAGUUCACCACAUAAGUUGAAUUGUAAAUAACUUGGACAUUAGGACCAUAUCUCUUGAUGUGAUUCUUGAUUUCCCUAUAACUCACAAGACCAUCUUCACUCAAAGCUGGUCCCGUUGCUGCUGCACCAAUACCAUUGUCCUCAGGUUUCACAAGCGUCCAUGCAUAGCCAUAGAAAGGCAAACAUAAAACCAAUUUAUCAGCCGAUAACCCUUCGUCAAUCCAUUCCGUGAUUCCGUAUUCAGUAUUAGAGACACUAUUUGGAUCAUACAGAGCCGCAUGAGCACCAGUAAAAUUUGUCCACGUAGGGACUGAGUAAUCAGUAGUGAAAACAUGGACCCAAUUCAAGUAUUGUCUUAUCGAGUCGACUGGAUAAGCUGCUGCUGGUGAGUAUGGUGAAUAUGCAACCGUUGCCGUCAAAAUCAACUGUGAUUGGCUCGAGUUAUUUCUUGCUUCUAAAGCUACGGCAGCUCGCCAUUCUUUAAAGAGAAUGCCAAUAUUGUACUUAUCCCAGCUUGUGUUUGCAAAAUACCAAGACAGAUCUAAGCCUUGAAAGCCAUAGAGCCUUGCUAUUUUUAUUGAGGAGUCAAUAAAGGAUUUCCUGGAAGAAGGAUUGCCCGCCAUGGAAGAAUAAGUUGAAUAGUUUGGAUAAUUUCCUGCUCCGAUGGAAAGAAGUGUAGUGAUUGAUGGGUUCUUUAUUUUGACUGUGUCUGUGAAGUUGGAGAAUUGUUUUUCAUCCGAAGGUAAUAAAGAAAGCUCAUAGGAAGUUGAGUUGACACCAGCAAAACCACACAUCAGGUGAGUGAAGAGAGCAGAAUUUACAUCUGAAACUGGGAACCCAUCGCGUGAAUCCCAGUAACCAGCUCUGAUUAAAGUUUGUGCUCUUGCAGGAAGCGAUUCUGAAAAUAUAAAAAUGUGGAGGACAAGAAUGAUAAUUUUGGAUGCCAUUGUGGGAACCUGGCUGCUUGAGGCAUACCUAGUAUGUGAUUAUAUAUUUGUACACACACACACAAAAUGUAAUGGAGAAAUUAUCCUAUACCGAUUGAGAUUAGUUAUUGCACUAAUAAUGCAAACUUGAGUCAACUUUCAACUUAUGAGCUUAGUCCAUAAGUUUUUAUACGAUAUCAAAUUCAAGUUAUGAAUGAGGGACCCUAUAAUACCUUCCAACCUAACUUAAUAAUUAAUCUUAGCCAAUGUGACAUACUUGUUCUAUCACUUUAUCACGUCCAAGUCGAUCUUUUAGCUUUGUCUCUUUUUCAUGAUAAUAAGUGAUAAGAUUGAAGUUCUUAAAUUAAGCUAUGACUUUUUACCUCCGCUUAGCUUGACUUCUGAAGUUGGAGACUCGUUCUUUUGUAUUGUCUUUGUUGGUAUUUAAAUGAACUCGGAGUCCUCGACGAGUUUCUGAAGCGAAGUCAUUAUUCCUCUAUGACUCCAUCCAUGCAAUUGGAAGGCAAAAUCUUGUGAAAAUAUUUUCUAAGUUGAUUCAGUCCAUGAUCAACGUGCACAAAACGCAAAAUCUUGCGAAAAUCAAACCCGUCCUCACUCAUGACCUCACUUUAUUAAAUUACAGCUUGUCAUUGAAUUGAGUGUUGCCUUAAUUAAGCCAUCAAAUUAAUAAAGUGAUGGUCAUUAAGAAAUACACUUAGUUACUUCCUGAUGGUAAGAUUCAAUAAUAUUCUAAUUUAAAAAAAAAAAAAAAGAUCCAUAUACCUUUUUCUUGUGUAAUUUAAUUUUCAGUCCAGUCCACCCUCCCAUUUUAUCAUAAAAGUGUAUACAAACAUACGUUUUACUCAAUGUUUACUUAGAAACAAAUGGCGCGCGUACGAUUGCCGAUCUAGUACCACUCUCGUAUGCUUGGUGGGAUUCGGCUUCACCAAAUUUGUAGCAUAUAUUUUACUUUAAUGAGAAAAUCAAAUAAUUAUUGAACAAAUAAUUUUUUUUUCAAUAUACUUUCUUAAAAUGUAUGGAGUUGGUAAAGUGCAAAUUCAUUUUUUAGCCCUUUGACUCCUCCAAAAUCAAAACUAAAAUUAAUGGUCAGUUAAAUAAUGUUACUUGAAAAUCAUUUCCUAGCUAGAAUUUGUUUAAUUCUAUUAAUUUACAAUCGUUUUUCAUUUUACUUAAUUAAUUAAAGUGAAUUUAUUAUGUAUACAUUCUACAUACAUAAAGUUUUAAUAUUCAGUGUUGAAUUGAAUUGUACUAAAUUUUUUAUAAUUUUUUGUCAGACCUGCGUUUUUAACAGUUUAAUAGUAAUAUUGAUAGCACAUAAUAUACAGGAUUAAGAGAGAUCGAUUUCGACUGCUACAAGAUUUUUAGGAUUGCAUGCACAAGGGUUUAAAAACAAAGUGUACACUUAAUUACACCAAACGAGGGUGCAUUUUUAUGAUGAAAUAAAAACUACGUGCAGGGUUGUAAAAGUGGCUCCAUAAUUAGCGUACAUUAACAUUCAUCUAGCUACCACUUCCGAAAAUGAUACAUCAUAAGCCGAACAUUUUUCCAAUUUUGUUGUAGAUAAUAGUUCAAUCCCAAUUUCAUCAACUUGUUUUGAGAAAGCAGGCUUCUUGGGAGUAUUUGUAUUUGUGGUUUCAUUCUUGAGCAUUGAGGAAACUUCCAGCAUUGAAGGUCUAUCGUUUGGAUUCUCCUGGACACACAACAAAGCUAUUUCCACACAUCUCAUUAAUUUACAAGGGGAAUUUCUAUCAUCUAGGAAUGAAUCCACAAACUCCACGCCUUUGCCAACUUUCCACAACUCAUAUGCCUGAAAUUAUCAAGUACCAUCUUGUUACAUAAUUUAUACUUCUUAAUUAAGUGCGCAUAUGUGUACUCAGGGUUACUAUAGCCGAAGAAACUUACGUGCUCUAGAAUGCUUAAAUUUUCAUUGAUGCCACAUAACACUGAAAGCCUCUUUCCACUUAUGAUUUGUAGAAGUAAAACUCCGAAACUAAAAACGUCUGAUUUGGUAGAGUAUACACCUUGUCUGGCGUACUCAGGAGGAAUACAGCCUCUGCGUUCAAAAUAACCAAGUAUAUAUGAGUAAGGGAUUUUGCAAUUUAAUAAAUUUGUAAAACCCAUUUUAAAUUGUGGUAAAAGUCCAUUCUGCAUUUUAUUAAAGUGCUGAAUUCCUUAUUCGAAACCCAAUAUAUGUAUAACAAACAGAAGCUUGAGUAAAGGAUAUCAUUUAGAUGUAAUAUACUUACAUUGUUCCCACAACUUGUUCUGUAUUCGCUUCGAGACUCUCUUUUGCAAAAAUCCUAGCCAAACCAAAAUCUGAAAUUUUAGGUUUCAUACCUUCACCUAACAAAAUAUUACUGGCUUUCAAGUCUCGAUGAAUAAUAGUCAGUCUUGAAUAUUCCUGGAGGUAUAAAAGCCCUUGAGUUAUCCCUUCAAUGAUAUGAACACGUUUUUUCCAAUCCAAAAUAAGUCUUCUGAUGGGAUCUACAACAAAUAUAUAGUUUUGGACAAUAAGUGAUAUGCAAAUGAAUUUUAUACACAAUUAAUAUUAACUUGAUUUCAGAACAAACCAAAAAGGUAGCAAUCCAAGCUUUUGUAUGGCAUGUAUUCGUAGACCAGCAUCUGUUCCUCACUGUCAAUGCAAAAACCUAAAACUCUAAUAAGAUUUACAUGUUGGAGUUUUGCAGUAAGCAUAACCUCAUUCUUAAACUCCUCAAAUCCCUGUGCGGAUGAUUUCGAAAGUUUCUUCACUGCUAUCACCCCUCCACAGGGUAAUACACCCUGCAACCCAAAAAAAAAAACCACGUUCAUAUAAAGCUUUCACUAAUUAGAGAAGCUGAGAAAUGUUAGCCAAACAAUAUGCUACCCCCCAAAGUUGAGGGCACCAUUUUAAGUCCUUUAAGUCCCCAUGGACGCAAAAUGUAAAUCUCCUCUCACAGAAUAUGGAUAUGGGUAGAGGUAUCUUCCUAAAAUAUUAGUCGAAGUAGUUAUAUCCCUCUAGUGUGAGGUUAGAGGUCUCAUCUCUAAUAGGCAUAGAUUUUUAAAUUAUAUGUUUUGGGCCUCUGAAUUCUAUGACGAGUGUACAAAUUCAAACUUCCGAUAGGAUCCAAAUUGCAACAUUGUGGAUUGUAACAAAUUAAAAUAUAGGUAUACACACACACACACACAUAUGUUACCUUGUAAACAGGACCAUAUCCACCCUCCCCAAGCUUAUUUCUAAUUGAAAAUCCCUCGGUGGCCGCCUCAAUAUCAGCCAAACUAUAUACUCUGAGAUUAGGAACAUUUAUGUUAAAGUCUCCAGCUUCUGUUUCAUUAUUUGCUCUCGUGUUUGAUGCUUUAGCAGAAUCCUCUGUUCCUAACAUCAACCAAGAGUAAAUAUUAGAUAAUUAAUUGUAUGUCAGCCUCAGUGAUAUAUAUGUGUGUGUGUGUGUGUGUGUGUGUGUGUGUGUGUGUGUGUUUGUGUUUGUGUGUGUGAAUGAAAUGCAUGCUUAAUGAUAAUUGAUAGCUGAAGCUUGUUACCUUCUAUUAACUUGAGCCUUUUCCUCUGGUUGUAUUUAUAUGCACAACAGCCUAGAAGGAGAGUCAAAGCUGCCGCUGCAGUGGAAAUGAGUGCAAUGGACAGACACCGGUUGUUACUAUGUUCAUCUUUUUCAGCUGAAGCAGAAGUAAUCCUGUCUUUUUGUGCUGGAAAUAUGUAUAGUUCACCAAUUAAUAAUAACAAGCUUGAGAUACCAUAACAAUCAUUAUUAAUCAGAGAGAACAAUUAUUGCAUAUAUAAAUACCUGCAGCUUGAGAAAGCACCCAAUUAUGAUCAUCAAAAGGAACUCGCCACACAUAGUAACCAAGCAAUCUCUUCUCUUUGGCAUAGGCGAUCUUAGCUCUAACAGCCUCCACAUCAUCAAAACCAAACCAAACCGUCCCAGUGGAGAAGUAAUUCACCACAUAAGUUGAAUUGUACAUAACUUGAACAUUAGGAGCAUAGUUCUUGAUGUGAUUCUUGAUAGUCCUAUAGGUCACAAGGCCAUCAUUAGUCAAAGCUGGUCCUGCUGCUGCUGCUCCAAUACCAUUGUCUUCAGGUUUCACAAGCCUCCAUGCAUAGCCAUAGAAAGGCAAAGACAUAGCCAACUUAUCAGCCGAUAGCCCUCUCUCAAUCCAUGCCUUUAAAACCUGAUCGGUACUUUUAGCAAAGCCGCCGCUACUUGAGCCAUGGAGAGCCGCAGGUGGCGCAGUGAAGUUUGUUGACAAAGGCUUGUAGUAGUUAGCAGUAACUGCAUGAACCCAAUUCAAGUUUCGUUGCAUCGAAUUCAAAAGAUAUGAAUUCGCUGGUGGUGAAUAACGAAAUCUUGCGGUCAAAAUCAGCGGGGAUUGCUGGCGACUAGAGUUUAUUGCCUCUAAUUUUGUAGCAGCAAUUCGCCACUCGUCAAAAAGUAAACCAAUAUUGAACAUAUCGGUGCUUGUGUUGGGAGCUGUCCAAGCAAAAUCUAGGCCCUGAAAGCCAUAAAGCCUAGCUAUUCUUAUUGAAGAGUCGAUGAAAGAUUUUCUGUGAGAAGAAUUUCUCACCAUUGAAGAAUAUAUAGAAUAGUUUGUAUGUCUUCCUUCUCCAAUGGAGAGAAGCAUAGUGAUUGAUAGGUUCUGUUUCUUCACAGUGUCUGCGAAUUUGGCGAUUUGAUUUUCAUCGGAUGGUAAUGAUAAAGAUAGCUGGUAAGUGGUAGAAUUGAUAUCAGCAGAAGAGCAAAUAAGGUGAGUGAAGAGAUCAUAAUUUAUGCCCGAAAUGGUGGACACUUCGCUUAGAUUCAAGUAACCGACCCUAAUCCACGGUUUUGCUUUCGCUGGAUGAAGUUCUGAAUAGAGCAACGUGUGCAAGAUGAUGCUGAUAAUUAUGGAUGCCAUUUAAGACUUUGUUAGGAAUGGAAAUGAAUGCACACUAAGAGAAAUUAAAUAAACACUAGUUUCACAGUUCAUUUAGGUUCUUAUUAAACUAUUAACGCAUAGGUUCAUUUCGUUCCAAAAAAAAUCUUAUGUGCUCCUGAUAGGGACACAUACAUUGCAUGUUAAGAUGAUGAUAGGCGAUGCGACCAUUUCCUAAGAACUAAGAUUUUCUUCUAUCGCGUGGCUGACUUUUCAUGAAGAAAAAUGAUGCUUUGGUUGUCAUUUGGUUAAACUGAUGACAAAUUUCGGGUUACAAAUAUCAGUAUUGUUUUAUUAAACAAUAAAAGACAAAAAAUCAAUAUUUAUUAGAGAGAACAAUUAUUGCAUAUAUAAACACCUGCAGCUUGAGAAAGCAUCCAAUAUUGAUCAUAGGAAACUAGCCACACAUGGUAACCACGUAGCUUCUUCUCCUUGGCAUAUGCAACCUUCACUCUAAUGGCCUCCACAUCAUCAAAACCAAACCAAAUCUUCCCAAUCGAGCAGUAAUUCACCACAUAAGUUGAAUUGUAAAUAACUUGGACAUUAGGACCAUAGCUCUUGAUGUGAUUCUUGAUUUCCCUAUAACUCACAAGACCAUUUUCACUCAAAGCUGGUCCCGUUGCUGCUGCACCAAUACCAUUGUCCUCAGGUUUCACAAGCGUCCAUGCAUAGCCAUAGAAAGGCAAACAUAAAACCAAUUUAUCAGCCGAUAACCCUUCCUCAAUCCAUUUCGUGAUUCCGUAUUCAGUAUUAGAGACACUAUUUGGAUCAUACAGAGCCGCAUGAGCACCAGUAAAAUUUGUCCACGUAGGGACUGAGUAAUCAGUAGUGAAAACAUGGACCCAAUUCAAGUACUGUCUUAUCGAGUCGACUGGAUAAGCUGCUGCUGUUGAGAAUGGUGAAUAUGCAACCGUUGCCGUCAAAAUCAACUGUGAUUGGCUCGAGUUAUUUCUUGCUUCUAAAGCUACGGCAGCUCGUCAUUCUUUAAAGAGAAUGCCAAUAUUGUACUUAUCCCAGCUUGUGUUUGCAAAAUACCAAGACAGAUCUAAGCCUUGAAAGCCAUAGAGCCUUGCUAUUUUUAUUGAGGAGUCAAUAAAGGAUUUCCUGGAAGAAGGAUUGCCCGCCAUGGAAGAAUAAGUUGAAUAGUUUGGAUAAUUUCCUGCUCCGAUGGAAAGAAGUGUAGUGAUUGAUGGGUUCUUUAUUUUGACUGUGUCUGUGAAGUUGGAGAAUUGUUUUUCAUCCGAAGGUAAUAAAGAAAGCUCAUAGGAAGUUGAGUUGACACCAGCAAAACCACACAUAAGGUGAGUGAAGAGAGCAGAAUUUACAUCUGAAACAGGGAACCCAUCGCCUGAAUCCCAAUAACCAGCUCUGAUUAAAGUUUGUGCUCUUGCAGGAAGCGAUUCUGAAAAUAUAAAAAUGUGGAGGACAAGAAUGAUAAUUUUGGAUGCCAUUGUGGGAACCUGGCUGCUUGAGGCAUACCUAGUAUGUGAUUAUAUAUUUGUACACACACACAAAAUGUAAUGGAGAAAUUAUCCUAUACCGAUUGAGAUUAGUUAUUGCACUAAUAAUGCAAACUUGAGUCAACUUUCAACUUAUGAGCUUAGGGUGCGUUUGGCACACUGUAUUGUAUUAUGCUGUAUUGCAUUAUUUUAAUGUUGAUGUAUUGUACUAUACUGUAUUGUAUUAGCAUUGUAUUAUAAUAAUAUUGUGCAAUGUUUUAGCACUACAUUGUACUGUAUUAAUUUUUUUAUAAUUAAUUUAAAUUUUAUAUUUUAUUAUAUUAAUAUUUAUACUCUUAUGAAUUUUAAAUUAAUAUUAUUUAAAUUUGUUCAUAUUUAAAUAUUUAUUAUUAGUUAUAUUAUAUUAUAAAUUUAUUAAUAAAUUAUAAUAUAAAAAUAAAAAUAUAAUAUAAUAUUAUUGAAUAAAAAAUUAUAUAUUUAUUAAUUUAUAUUAAAUUAUAAUUUAAAAAUAAAAUUGUUAUAUAAUAUUAUAUUAAAUUAAAAAGUUAUCUUUAUUUUUUAUUAUUAUUAUAAGCAAAAACAAAAGUUAAAGCAAAAACUAAAUAGAAAAGAAAGAAGAAGGAAAAAAAAAAAGAAAAAGAAACGCAAGCCGCCAAAGAAGGAAAAGAGAAAAAAAAAAAAAAAAAAAAAAAGGUAAGCUAAUGCGGCAACUGCCGCAUUCGCUACAGUGCCCCUAACCCAUGUGAUAUUCUCCCAAACAUGGUACAAGUAUUAACUUAAUGUAAAUAGUAAUUUAAUACCCCUUAAUACUACAACCGAACACACCCUUAGUCAUAAGUUUUUAUACGAUAUCAAAUUCAAGUUAUGAAUGAGGGGCCCUAUAAUACCUUCCAACCUAACUUAAUAAUUAAUCUUAGCCAAUGUGACAUACUUGUUCUAUCACUUUAUCACGUCCAAGUCGAUCUUUUAGCUUUGUCUCUUUUUCAUGAUAAUAAGUGAUAAGAUUGAAGUUCUUAAAUUAAGCUAUGACUUUUUACCUCCGCUUAGCUUGACUUCUGAAGUUGGAGACUCGUUCUUUUGUAUUGUCUUUGUUGGUAUUUAAAUGAACUCGGAGUCCUCGACGAGUUUCUGAAGCGAAGUCAUUAUUCCUCUAUGACUCCAUCCAUGCAAUUGGAAGGCAAAAUCUUGUGAAAAUAUUUUCUAAGUUGAUUCAGUCCAUGAUCAACGUGCAAAAAACGCAAAAUCUUGCGAAAAUCAAACCCGUCCUCACUCAUGACCUCACUUUAUUAAAUUACAGCUUGUCAUUGAAUUGAGUGUUGCCUUAAUUAAGCCAUCAAAUUAAUAAAGUGAUGGUCAUUAAGAAAUACACUUAGUUACUUCCUGAUGGUAAGAUUCAAUAAUAUUCUAAUUAAAAAAAAAAAAAAAAAAAGAUCCAUAUACCUUUUCCUUGUGUAAUUUAAUUUUCAGUCCACUCCACCCUCCCAUUUUAUCAUAAAAGUGUAUACAAACAUACGUUUUACUCAAUGUUUACUUAGAAACAAAUGGCAGACGUACGAUUGCCGAUCUAGUACCACUCUCGUAUACUUGGUGGGAUUCGGCUUCACCAAAUUUGUAGCAUAUAUUUUACUUUAAUGAGAAAAUCAAAUAAUUAUUGAACAAAUAAUUUUUUUUUCAAUAUACUUUCUUAAAAUGUAUGGAGUUGGUAAAGUGCAAAUUCAUUUUUUAGCCCUUUGACUCCUCCAAAAUCCAAACUCAAAUUAAUGGUCAGUUAAAUAAUGUUACUUGAAAAUCAUUUCCUAUCUAGAAUUUGUUUAAUUCUAUUAAUUUACAAGCGUUUUUCAUUUUACUUAAUUAAUUAAAGUGAAUUUAUUAUGUAUACAUUCUACAUAUGUAAAAUUUUAAAAUUCAGUGUUGAAUUGAAUUGUACUAAAUUUUUUAUAAUUUUUUGUGAGACCUGCAUUUUUAACAGCUUAAUAUUAAUAUUGAUAGCACAUAAUAUACAGGAUUAAGAGAGAUUGAUUUCGAGUGCUACAAGAUUUUUAGGAUUGCAUGCACAAGGGUUUAAAAACAAAGUGUGCACUUAAUUACACUAAACGAGGGUGCAUUUUUAUGAUGAAAUAAAAACUAUGUACAGGGUUGUAAAAGUGGCUCCAUAAUUAGUGUACAUUAACAAUCAUCUAGCUACCACUUCCGAAAAUGAUAAAUCACAAGCCGAACAUUUUUCCAAUUGUGUUGUAGAUAAUAGUUCAAUCCCAACUUCAUCAACUUGUUUUGAGAAAGCAGGCUUCUUGGGAGUAUUUGUAUUUGUGGUUUCAUUCUUGAGCAUUGAGGAAACUUCCAGCAUUGAAGGUCUAUCGUUUGGAUUCUCCUGGACACACAACAAAGCUAUUUCCAGACAUCUCAUUAAUUUACAAGGGGAAUUUCUAUCAUCUAGUGAUGAAUCCACAAACUCCACGCCUUUGCCACCUUUCCACAACUC
rnacentral:lncRNA from 1 species